UACUACUCAUACUGAUCAAAGUCACUCAGUUGGGAUGGGUGGGAGUAGGAGGUUUGUGGGGUGGCUUGUGCGGAGGAGUUGGCAGCUUCUUUCCAGGACCUGGUUGCUUCUCUGCUGGAGUUGAAGGAGGCUUAAUCUUCCGAGGUGGCUUGUAUGAGUCUUCAGCAUUCUCAGCUGGAGGGUGACCAGGGUUGUGACCAUAAUGUGGUGGCUUCUCUCCCUUAGGUGGUUUGCCAACUGGGGUUGGUGGCUUGUAUGAGUCUUCAGCAUUCUCAGCAGGAGGGUGACCAGGGUUGUGACCAUAAUGUGGUGGCUUCUCUCCCUUAGGUGGUUUGCCAACUGGGGUUGGUGGCUUGUGUUCUGGGAGUGGCUUCUCCCCCUUGGGAGGUUUUUCCAAUGGGGUUGGUUUGUGUUCAGGAGGUGGCUUCUCCACUGGAGGCUUGUGUUCAGGAGGUGGCUUCUCCACCGGAGGCUUGUGUUCAGGUGGUGGCUUCUCCACCGGAGGCUUAUGCUCUGGUGGUGGCUUCUCGAAUGGGGGAUGCUUAGGAUAAUCAGCAAGUGAGGGGGCGGUGAGAACCACCAGGCCAAGCAACACCACUAGCAAAUAUGUAGGAGACAUCUUUGGGUUUGGGCUCAGAUGGUGCAAAACUAGGAGAAUUGGCUAGCCUUUUAUAGCGGAUCGUACCCAAUAAUGAAAUGACACGUGUCAUUAUGACCCAUGUGUAAUGGGGUCGAUUUGGGUCCUACAGUGUUGAAAACUUCGACAUCCACUUUUGGCCUUUUGCUUUCUCUACAGCCGCCUUGCUUUUUCCCUCUUUCCUUUUGUUUUCCUCCUGCCCCAUUCUAUCAACUAAACACAAUUAUGUAGUUGUUUAAUUCUUAAAUGAGAUAUUAUCCGUCAAUCGUAUUAUAUUUUAUCAAGAGAGAACGGAGUGCAAUGUGGCUGUAAUUUUAUCGUUUAGUUUUAUCUCUUGGACCACUGCAUUUUUGUUAAGAGGUGCAAUAAUACACGUCUUUAUCUGCCAUUCAAUAUUUACAGUAAAGAGAGGGCACAAAACUCUUCACUUCGCACCAUAAUUAUUUUGUUUUCUGGACACCCCGGGGCCCUUUGGUUGGUUUGGGGGUCAGAAAGUGAACAUCAUAGGGGGUUUUUCCCUUAUGUGCAUUUGUAUCUGAUGGCUUUAACUCGCCUUGUUACUACAAAGAAACUGUCACAGAUAGGAACUUAUUCCAGGCUGAGUAUCUCCUCAUAGACCCUAUAAAAGAAGACAAGUCAUAAUGAACAUCUAACCUUUGUUCAAUUUGAUUCAAUGCCCCCAUUGUGUCCAUCUCACAAAUCUGAAUUAUUAUAUCCAUUGAAUACAUAAAUUAAUGAAGAAAAUAUGAAACCCAAGAUACAUCUCUGCACAACCUCAACCCUGGUUGCUAUGUUUCCCUUCUAUUCACAUGAUUUGAUGCUAAUUGCCAAACUUGCAACAAGCCCUGAGUUUGACACCUAGUAUCGAUGGGCGAAUUUAAAGUCUCCUCCAAACAUAUAUUCCACAGCUUGAAGCUCACAGAAGAUGUUACAGGCAGGGAAAAACCUUCAGAGUUCGCUACCAAAGAUAAUUAUUAAGGAGAUAUCACAAAGAGAAUUCCAAGGGGUCUGAAUCAAAGACAAAUUGGUCGUUCGUGGGGGUUCUUACUUUCUUUUGGGUAUAACUCACUGAGGGCACUGUCUUUGUUAUUUGCAUUUCACAUUUAGAGUUCUGUUCUGGAAACAUAUAAAAGGAGCAUCAUUUUGUUCUUGGGUAACCCAUAGUCGUGAGUGGGUCCAUUUGCAUGCUACUUAGUUGAAAAGUUGGACCAUUUGCUCCGACGCCUACCUCCCGGAUUCCAUGCUCGGAUAAAACAAGAAUAAAAAAAAUAUUUAUAAUUUACAAAUGGGGGAAAGAAAAAAAUGUCAACAACAAACCAGGAAAAAAGAGUAGUAAAAUUCAUGUCACAUGCUAGUGAGAGAAGGGGUUGUUACACUCACUCGAAGUUCUUUCCAAAAUAUCGCAUGGUAUUUUAUUUUAUGUGUCAGCGCAGUUGUGAAUGGAACGUGCAAAAGUCCAAAUUGGCGUUUUUCCUUUUCCCGUGUAGGAUGGCGACCUUUAAUAAAUAUUUAAAACAAAAAACGAAAAAAAGGAGGGAAAAGGGAUCAGAAAAGAUAAAACAAUGUGUACAAGAGCUCAAUUAGUUUGCAAAUUACUGUUUGGAUUUUGAUAGUAUUUUAUUUGUCCAUCUAUAUUUGAUGGAAAAGAGAAUUUAAGAUAUUUCUGAAACAAAAGCAUUAGUGUAAAACUAAAUUAAGGUAUAAUUAAGUUAGUUCAAUGCAUUAAUUUAAGAAACUUGAUCUAUCCAAAGUACAAAAUUAGAUGAAAUCCAUUUCAAUGGUUAAAAUGAUCAAAAUCAAACUUUUUCUAAGUAUUUUUUAAAAGCAUCAAUAUUAAAAGACAAUUUUAUAUUUAGUCGGAGUUUGGACAAAACCAAAAAGCACACAAAAUCCAAGCGACCAUCUCUAGCUUGGAUAGUCACUUGAUCCCACCUAGAGAUGUGCAUGAGUAAAAGGAUUUGAAAAUGGAAAUUGACUAAAUAUUUAGUUGAUCAAUUAAAUUUGCAAUGUCAUAUGCAAUCCUAAUAGCUAGUCAUCUAAUCAAUUAGGUAGUCAAUCAAGUGUUUGUAAUGACUAUUUUGUACAAAAAACCACAUGUAUAGUUAAAUAUAAUGCAUUUCAUUUAUAAAUCUUCUAAUUCUUGAAUAACGAUCCUAUCAUCCUUUGAAAAUUUUUAUUACACCUUUUUUACUUUUGUUCUAAAACUUACAUAUCACCCUUAAUUGUACCAUGAGAACCUAGCUAUUUUUUUUUUUUUUGUAAUUCAUCAAAGUUAGCUUUUGUAUUCAUUGUUGUAUUAUUUUUAGUAUAACUUAGAAAGCUAGUGUUUUCAAGUGAGUAAAAUUAACUUGUAAAUAUUGUAAAGAUUCAUUGAUAUGUAUCUUAAACUAAGUGUACAAAUUAAAACAUUUGCUAGUAGAUUUUCUCAAAAUUUAGAAUAGAGCUUGAGGCUAUUGAAAUAGGUGGGGUUACACCAAACCACAUCACAUCGUUGUUUGCACCUUUUUUCACUCUCUUUUACUUAGUUUCUCUAUAUUUGUUGUCUAGUAAUAUCCUAUAGGCUUGAUGGGUUAGGGAGCAUCCCUUUGUGAAAAAAUUUCAUUCAAUUCUUAGUUGUAUUACGCAUAUAUAAAAUGCCUCAUUGUUUUAAUGGUAUUCAGUCGUGGCAUCACAGAUAUGGGCAUCUAAAUUUUAAAAGUUUGAAACUUUUGUAAAGCAUGUUGAUAAAAUCCAUGAGAGUUGUGUACUUGGGAAGCAACAUCGAGGUGACUUUAUUUUUUUUUCCUUUUAUAAUGCCACACCUAAGUCCGGUUUCUAAAUGCUAAAGUGAAAGGGUAGGUAUGGACCAUUGAAAUGUGAUCACAACUUUUGGCCUUUUCCUUUCUCUGCAGCCAUGUUGUCUCUUUUUUCUUUUGCAUGAUUUUCUUACCAAAACAGAAUCAUAGACUUGUUUAGUCUCUAAGCUACUAUAUUAUAUCUCGGUGGACUUUUAAGAGUGCAACCGACAUAGAGCACAUGCAAGUGGGCAUAUGGGACAUGAAAUUUCUUCUUACAAAGAUUGCAUGAUUUUUAUAUUAGAGUUGUUCACGUGCAAUGUAUUUAGCUUGUUUUGCAGUUAAAUUAAUUGGAUAAGUAAACAUUGGCAUUUCUAAAUCGACUGUGAAGUGCUUCAUGUACGUGUAAAGUAUUAGAAAUUUCUUUCUUGGCAACUUGUUUUUUCCUUGCCAUCUACUGGUAGGUUUGACUAAAAUUAUAUUCCCUGUCAUGCUAAUUAAUUUUCAUGUGCAUGCUCAAAAGAAGAGUAUGACCUUAGUGCACCAAAAUCACUUUGAUUAAUUUGUGAUAGGUUUUUUUGCAUCAUUUAGAUAAUGUUUAGUUCUAAGAAAAAUUUAUAUAAAAAUGGUUUAUUUAUCUUACAUAUAUAUAUAUAUAUAUAUAUUUUUUUUUUUUUCAUUUUUUUUUCUUCUAUUUUAUUUAUUUAUUUUAUUUUCCUUAUGUUUUCCUCACAUUUUCCGGAACUAAACAUAGUCUUACGAAAUCAACAAUUGCCUUCAACUGAGUAGAUUCUGUUGUUUUAGCAAUGUUAGGCUGCUAACUUGUGGUGGUACGAACCAAAUGACCCAUGUUAAUCUUGGCUUGGUUUGAUUUGGCUCUAUCUCAGAGAGCUAAAGGAUCACGUCAACUCUGGUUUCUACUAUUCAGGUCCAUUCCCAGAUGAACUGGUUCAAAUUUGAGAAAAUGGUAACAGACCUUUAGUGAUGUUGGUUUGGAGCCAGUUGCCAAACCCGCCCUGAGCUUUACCACUAAUGUCAAGGGAGAAAGCCAUUUGAACAAAAACAAUAGCUUCAAGAGACUGAAUCGUGGAUGAAAUCUGAUCCACAUUUCUUCUCAUUUUGGGAAAAAAUGAGAACUUAACUACAAAGAUUCUACUGCCUCAUUCAUAGUGCUUUUCCUGAUCCAAGGUUGGUUCGUUUCCCAAAUUGUGAGGUGCACGUGCCACUCUCACGCUCAGGAGUGUAUCCACGUGGUGGACAUCAGAUGGUGGCUUAAUAUCUGGUGUCGGUGGCUUUACUUUACUAGGAGAGUAGUGUGUCUUCAUCUCAUUCACUGCCGGAGGGUGGCGUAAGCAGUGACGCUAAGGUGGGGCACAGUCAAUAUCAUUUGCAUUUGACCAUUAUAGUUUUCUCCCGGCUUGAAAGUAACCUUAUCGUGAUAAAGGAUUACUAGCACUAGUUCAGAUGACCGUCAUGUUAAUUCGGACCAUGUUUGUGUCACAUUAUCAGCAACCAUGUGUUUAUGGUUCAUGCUAUCUGCAACUAAACUUGAUAUAUAACCAGGUGAACUUCAAUCAAAAUUCUGGAAGUACUCUUGUGAUAGAUGGUGCCUGUCUGCAGAGUCCAUCAAUUGAAAAAUGGAGUGAGUGUAUCUAUAAGAGGGAAGGCUUGGCAAAUGUUCAGUUUUCUGGGAAUUCAACAAGGAUCUAAAAUAGAUUGUUUUCUUUGCCGACUUCAAUGGUUGAAAUUUGAGAAGAUUGUGUCCACAUAUCACAACUAUUACUGGUCCUUCUGUUGCAAUUUAUCCUGUAAGGCUCUAACAUGUCUUCCAAUUCCCACUUCCCUGUUACUCCAGGAAAGCUAUUUCUGUCAUUGUGAAGAAGAAAAGAGAAUGUACAUAUCGAUGCUUUUAAGUGACUGGAGCAUUCAUAUCAGGUGGUCUGCAGCCAUAUAUGCCACUUUGUGAAGGUUGGAACAGUCAAUCACUAGGCUAUAUAUUGGUGUGGCCCAGCCACUUCAAUCAAGGACAAGUCUUCAUACUUAAAGUCAAAUUCUGCCUUUAGUCUCAUUAUAAAUUGCUGUUUAAAUAUUAAGCAAACUUUUGUUUAAUGCGAUUAAGACAGUACUAACUCAAUACUUGUUCUAUUUUUGGAUGCAAAUGCUUGAUGGUUUCAUCAUUGGAUGGGAUAAAGGUGCAUUCAUGAUUAUGAAUACUUGUAGUUAUAUUUUCAUUCUCUUUUUUCUCAAUGAGACUUGUUGGCACAAUGUUGCUGUUCAGAAACCUACCUCUCCAUGGAAAAUAAGUUGCGAUUGAUAGUACUGGAUAUGUUCAAGAAAGCUAAAUAUAGAUAGCACAAAAUAUUAUCGAUAUAAAUAGCAUUAACAGCGUACGUAUGUCUCAAUGCUCAUCAGCUAUAAGCAUGGGACAAACACUUACUAUGAGCAACUUACGUCAAAAUUCCAGAAUAGGACAUAGAAGUGACAGAUCUAUAUAUAUAGAACACUGCAUAUGAGUCACAAGAAAGGAAAUUACGGGUGCAUAGCAGCUCUUAUUUUACAUACUACUACUCAUACUGAUCAAAGUCACUCAGUUGGGAUGGGUGGGAGUAGGAGGUUUGUGGGGUGGCUUGUGCGGAGGAGUUGGCAGCUUCUUUCCAGGACCUGGUUGCUUCUCUGCUGGAGUUGAAGGAGGCUUAAUCUUCCGAGGUGGCUUGUAUGAGUCUUCAGCAUUCUCAGCUGGAGGGUGACCAGGGUUGUGACCAUAAUGUGGUGGCUUCUCUCCCUUAGGUGGUUUGCCAACUGGGGUUGGUGGCUUGUAUGAGUCUUCAGCAUUCUCAGCAGGAGGGUGACCAGGGUUGUGACCAUAAUGUGGUGGCUUCUCUCCCUUAGGUGGUUUGCCAACUGGGGUUGGUGGCUUGUGUUCUGGGAGUGGCUUCUCCCCCUUGGGAGGUUUUUCCAAUGGGGUUGGUUUGUGUUCAGGAGGUGGCUUCUCCACUGGAGGCUUGUGUUCAGGAGGUGGCUUCUCCACCGGUGGCUUGUGUUCAGGAGGUGGCUUCUCCACCGGAGGCUUAUGCUCUGGUGGUGGCUUCUCCACCGGAGGCUUAUGCUCUGGUGGUGGCUUCUUGAAUGGGGGAUGCUGAGGGUAAUCAGCAAGUGAGGGGGCGGUGAGAACCACCAGGCCAAGCAACACCACUAGCAAAUAUGUAGGAGACAUCUUUGGGUUUGGGCUCAGAUGGUGCAAAACUAGGAGAAUUGGCUAGCCUUUUAUAGCGGAUCGUACUCAAUAAUGAAAUGACACGUGUCAUUAUGACCCAUGUGUAAUGGGGUCGAUUUGGGUCCUACAGUGUUGAAAACUUCGACAUCCAGUUUUGGCCUUUUGCUUUCUCUACAGCCGCCUUGCUUUUUCCCUCUUUCCUUUUGUUUUCCUCCUGCCCCAUUCUAUCAACUAAACACAAUUAUGUAGUUGUUUAAUUCUUAAAUGAGAUAUUAUCGGUCAAUCGUAUUAUAUUUUAUCAAGAGAGAACGGAGUGCAAUGCAGCUGUAAUUUUAUCGUUUACUUUUAUCUCUUGGACCACUGCAUUUUUGUUAAGAGGUGCAAUAAUACACGUCUUUAUCUGCCAUUCAAUGUUUACAGUAAAGAGAGGGCACAAAACUCUUCACUGCUCUGCAUGUGUCCCAAAAAUGCGAUUGGACAAAUUAUGAUUUGCAUGCUAAAAAGAGGCAAAUGAGGUUAAUUCGCACCAUAAUUAUUUGGUUUUCUGGACACCAUAAAAAGAUGUUAUACAGGCAGGGAAAAACCUUCAGAGUUAGCUACCAAAGAUAAUUAUCAAGCAGAUAUCACCAAGAGAAUUCCAUAGAGUCUGAAUCAAAGACAGAUUGCUCGCUCGUGGGGGUUCUUACUUUCUUUUGGGUAUAACUCACUGAGGUCACUGUCUUUUUUAUUUGCAUUUCACAGUUAGAGUUCUGCUCUGGAAGGUUUGUUCUGGAAACAUAUAAAAGGAGCAUCAUUUUGUUCUUGGGUAACCCAUAGUCGUGAGUGGGUCCAUUUGCAUGCUACUUAGUUGAAAAGUUGGACAAUUUGCUCCGACGCCUACCUCCUGGAUUCCAUGCUCGGUAAAACAAGAAUAAAAAAAAAUAUAUAAUUUACAAAUGGGGGAAAGAAAAAAUGUCGGAAAAAAUAGUAAAAUUCAUGUCACAUGCUAGUGAGAGAAGGGGUUGUUACACUCACUCGAAGUUCUUUUCAAAAUAUCGAAUGGUAUUUUACUUUAUGUGUCAGCGCAGUUGUGAAUGGAACGUGCAAAAGUCCAAAUUGGCGUUUUUAUUUUUCCCAUGUAGGAUGGUGACCUUUAAUAAAUAUUUAAAACAAAAGACGAAAAAAAAAAGGAGGGAAAAGGGAUCACAAAAGAUAAAAUAAUGUUUACAAAAGCUCAAUUAGUUUGCAAAUUACUGUUUGGAUUUUGAUAGUAUUUUAUUUGUCGUUCUAUAUUUGAUGUAAAAGAGAAUUUAAGAUAUUUCCGAAGCAAAAGCAUUAGUUUGCUCUGUGAUGUCCCACAUCGAAUAGGGGAGAAAGUUUCUGGCGCUAUAUAUGUAGAGGCUCCUCUUAACCAAGUAGAUGCGUUUUAAAACCAUGAGGGCCCCCUUAGGUCCAAAGCGGACAAUAUCUACAUGAUUGGGUGUAAGUCAUUACAAAUGGUAUCAGAGCCGAUCCCCGACCCCGGUGUGGGGGUUUGUUUGGCCCUGUAAGGGGUGUUUGUCUGUUUGACCCCACAAUCCCAUGGGACACAACGAGGACGUUGUGUCUGCAUGGGGGGGCGUUUGUGAUGUCCCACAUCGGAUAGGGGAGAAAGUUCCUAGUGCUAUAUAUGUAGAUGUUUCUCUUAACCAAGUAGAUGCAUUUUAAAAUUGUGAGGGCCUCUUUGGGCCCAAAGCGGACAAUAUCUACAUGGUUGAGUGUAAGUCAUUACAUGCUCCAUGUCAAUUUCAGCAUUUCUCAUAUGUUUCACACAUACACAGAAGAGCAUCGUUUUUUAAAGCAUGCAUUUAUGUUGGAUUAAUUUGGAUUUUGUGGGAACUGGGGCAAGGAUCACAUGGAAGAGAGGUUGACUUUUUUCAGUACUUCAAUGGUUGAAAUAUGUGAAGGCUUGAUUGAUACUAAAGCUUGAAAUUGCGACUCUGUCAUUUGUAAAAAAAUAUGACAGCUUCCAUGCUCUCGUUUGGUUGCAUUGUCCGGUCGAGAGGUGCAAAAAGCAUUCUCUCUCUUCUAAUAGUCUUUUCGUUUAAAUCAAGGGAUUUGCCUUCCCGGUCGAGGUCCAAUAGAGGGUAACGGUCACCUACUAAACAUUAAAUGCUCCAACAACUAGUGAACUGAUCGACCCCAGCUCGACUAGUUGAGGUUACUUUUUGGUUUUCUUGUCUCCCGAGGUUAGAAACCUAUAAAUAGAGAGCUUCACUUCAUUUAUGAGUAAGAGAACACCUAAAUUUAUUUGUUUACCUACUUGUUUUUGCCAUAAAAGCUCUCAUUUCUUUUCUUGGUGUAUUAAAUCUCCAUUUGCAUAUCCUUUAGUGCACCUUUGUGAUUCAUUCUAGCCUUGAGUUGUAUUUAAGCCUUUGUUGAGCUAGGUUGAGAGUUUCAUACUUGUUUAUUGAGUGUUAAAGCCUUCAAGUGAGUUAAAACUUGAAGAGAUUGUGUAAGAGCCCAUUGGAGUCGGAAUCCAAGUGUAAAGGUGAUUAAAAGCUUGGUUGAAGCUUCAAGUUAGUGGAACUCUCACUCGGUUAUGAGCUUGAGAAGAGUGGACAUAGACAAGGCAGUGUCGAACCACUAUAAAAUCUGAGUUUGAUUUCUCUAACCUUAUCUCUUUAUAUUUGCUUCUCUUGUGCUUAAAUUUUUUGUGUUUAAAAAGAAUUUUUAAAAACUCAAUUCACCCCCUUCUUGGGAGUUUUUCUCUUUUAAGAUCAGCUUUUAUUUUCUCAAUUGGUAUCAGAACUAUGCCUCUUGUUUAAGACUUAAUCGUCUAAGAGGAAAUGGCUAAUCCAUCAAGUUCAUCUCACAUUGAAAGUUUUGCAACCAAUAGACUUCUUUUUUUUUUUUUGCGGGAACUGAUUAUCCCUAUUGGAAAACUAAAAUGACUUGGUUUUUACAAUCAAUUGAUUUAGAUGUAUGAGAUGCCAUUGAAGAUGACCUAACUUUUCCUUCAAAACUAGUUGAUGGAGUCAUGGUUCCAAAACCUAAGCAAGAAUGGGAUGAGCGUGAUUGAAGAAAUUUUCAAUUAAAUGCUAAAGUCGUUUAUACUUUGCAAUGCUCUAUGGACAGAAAUGAAUAUAAUAGAAUAUGUCAAUGCAAAUCGGUUAAAGAAAUUUGGAGAUUGCUUGAAAUAACUCAUAAAGGAACAAAUCAAGUUAAAGAGUCAAAAAUCAAUUUACUUGUUCAUAGAUAUGAAUUGUUUUUUAUGAAAGAUAAUGAAACUAUUGUUAAGAUGAUCACUAGGUUCACCAACAUUGUUAAUGGUCUUAAAGCCUUGGGAAAGACCUACAAGGAAUCCGAAAACGUGAUGAAGAUCUUGAGGUCACUUCCAUCAAAGUGGCAUACCAAGGUCACCGCAAUUUAAGAAGCAAAAGACUUGAUCAAGCUACCUUUGGAGGAGUUCAUAGGGUCAUUGAUGACAUAUGAAAUCAAUUUGGCAAAGAAGUAACAAAAAGGUGAAGACAAAAAGAAGAAGAACAUAACUCUCAAAGCUACAACUAAGGAAGAAGAAGUUGAAGAAGAAAAACAAAUUGAAGAAGAUGAAGAUUUAGCCCUCAUCACAAGAAAGUUCAACAAAUUCAUGAGGGGUGAAAGGUUUAGAAGAAGAAGGUUCACUUCUAGAAGAGACUUUUCUAAAAAGGAAUCUUCAUCUAAUGGUGACAAAAAGAGAUGGGAAGAGAAAAGAGACUUGGUGUGUUUCAAGUGCAAGAAACCGGGACACAUUAAAUAUGAUUGUCCUCUCUACAAAAGUGAAGUCAAGAGGAAAAAGAAUAAGGCAAUGAUGGCCACUUAGAGUGAAAGUGAAGAUGAAUCAUCCGAAGAAGAAAAUGAGAAAGAAGUGGCAAACAUGUGUUUCAUGGCAAUAGAUGAACUUGAUGAGGUAAAAUCUAACCUUAGUGAUUAAGAUAUACAUGAUGCAUUUGAAGAAUUGUAUGAGGAUUUUUAAAAACUUAGUUUGAAAAAUAUUUCUCUUAAAAAGAAAGUUCAACAACUUGACAAAGAACUUAGAGAAGUAAAAGAAAAAUUUUCAAAUGUUAAAGUUUCUAAAACUCAUCUUGAAAAAGAAAAUGAGAUUCUAAGAAAGAAAAAUGAAUAGUUGAACUCCUCUCUUUCAAUCUUUUCUUCUAGACAAAAAUCUUUUGAAAUGAUUCUAACUAGCUAAAAAUGUGUUUUUGACAAACAAGGGUUAAGAUUUAAAUCUUCAAAAAAUCAAAAGUAUUUUAAAAACUAUUUUGUAAAGGAAUCCACAAGUGCAAGUCCUUCCACUACUUGCAACUUUUGUGGAAGAGAAUGGCACAUUAGUAGUACGCCCUUUAAGAAAUGGUUCUCAAAAGAAUUUAAAUGCAAAAACUAAAAAAGAUUUGGAUUGAGAAAUCCAAGGUCACUAACCCUCAAGGACCCAAAAAGAUAUAGGUACCUAAAUCAACUUGAGUUUUAUGUUGUAAGGUUCAAAGAAUGAUAAGUGGUUCUUAGAUAAUGGUUGCUCAAGACACAUGACCGGAGAUGAAUCCAAGUUUGCUUUUCUUAAAAAGAAAAAUGGAGGAUAUGUUACCUUUGGAGACAAUGCAAAAGAAAGGAUGAUUGGUCAAGGCAACAUUGGUAAUGGCACAUCCUCUCUCAUUGAAAGUGUUUUAUUAGUAGAUGGUUUCAAACAUAACCUUUUAAGCAUUAGUCAAUUUUGCGACAAAGGUUUUUAAGUGAUUUUUUAAGCAUCUCAUUGCAUCAUCAAGGAUAUUCAAAAUGAUAAAACCAUUUUCAUGGGCCAUAGAUGUGAUAAUGUUUAUGCUAUAAAUAUUUCAAAAUAUGAUGGCCAUGAUAGAUGUUUUUCAAGCAUGCAUGAUCAAAGUUGGUUGUGCCAUAGGAGAUUGAGACAUGCUAACAUAGACCUCAUUUCCCAACUCAACAAAGAUGAACUUGUUAGAGGCCUUCCCAAAAUAAUUUUUUAAAAAGAUAAAGUUUGUGAAGCUUGUCAAGUGGGAAAGUAAAUCAAAAACUCUUUUAAAAACAAAAACUUCAUUUCCACAUCUAGGCCACUUGAGUUGUUGCAUAUGGAUUUAUUUGGUCCCUCUAGGACACCAAGUCUUAGAGGAAAUUCUUAUGCAUAUGCUAUUGUGGACGACUUCUCUAGAUACACAUGAGUCUUGUUUUUUAGUCAAAAGAAUAAAGUUUUUUAUGAGUUUUCAAAGUUUUGCAAUAAGAUUCAAAAUGAAAAAGGUUUUUCAAUUACUUAUAUAAGAAGUGAUCAUGGGAGAGAAUUCGAAAAUAUUGAUUUUGAAGAGUAUUGCAAUGAGCAUGGAAUUGACCACAAUUUUUUGGCUCUUAGAACUCCUCAACAAAAUGGGGUAGUUGAAAGGAAAAAUAGAACUCUUCAAAAAAUGACAAGAACCAUACUAAAUGAAAACAACUUACCAAAAUAUUUUUAGGCCAAAACGGUUAACACUUCUUGUUAUGUUUUAAAUAGAGUAUUAUUGAGGCUCAUACUUAAGAAAACUCCCUAUGAGCUUUGGAAAAACAAAAAACCCAACAUUAGUUAUUCCAAAGUCUUUGGAUGCAAUAUUUUAUAAUAAACACCAAAGACAAUCUUGGAAAAUUUGAUGCAAAAUUGGAUGUUGGAAUUUUCCUUGGUUACUCAACUUCAAGUAAAGCUUUUCGAGUUUUAACAAAAGAACCAUGGUUGUAGAGGAGUCCAUCCAUGUUAUUUUUUAUGAAUCUCCAAGAAAGAGAGAGGAUUGAUGAUGAUUUAGGUUUGAAGACCUCUAUAGGAAGAUUGCAAAUCGAAGAUAGAAGACAACAAGAAGAAAAUGGAGAGAAUCCAAAGAAAGAAGGAUCACCAUUGGCACUACCCCCUCAUCAACAAGCGCAAGGUGAAUCAAGUCAAGAGCUUCCUAAAGAAUGGAAGUUUGUCAUCAAUCACCCACAAGAUCAAAUUAUAGGCAAUCCAUCUAGUGGGGUAAGAACUAGAUCCUCUCUUAGAAAUAUUUGCAAUAAUCUAGCUUUUAUCUCUCAAAUUGAGCCUAAAAAUAUAAAUGAUGUUUUAGAUGAUGAAAAUUGGAUAAUUGCAAUGCAAGAAGAGUUAAAUCCAUUUGAAAGAAGUGGAGUAUGGGAAUUAGUACCAAGACCUUCAAAUCAAAGUGUUAUUGGAACUAGAUGGAUCUUUAGAAAUAAAAUGGAUGAAAAUAGCAUAAUUGUUAGAAAUAAAGCAAGAUUGGUAGCCCAAGGUUUUAAUCAAGAAGAAAUGAUAGAUUAUGAAGAAACCUUUGCCCCCGUAGCUAGGUUGGAAGCCAUUAGGAUGCUACUUGCCUUUGCAUGUUUUAAAGACUUUGUUUUAUAUCAAAUGGAUGUGAAAAGUGCUUUUUUAAAUGGUUUUAUAAAUGAAGAAGUAUAUGUUGAACAACCACCCGGUUUUCAAAGUUUCAACUUUCCUAACCAUGUUUUUAAACUUAAAAAGACACUUUAUGGUUUGAAACAAGCACCUAGAUCAUGGUAUGAAAAAUUGAGUAAAUUUCUUUUGAAAAAAAUGUUUUAAAAUGGGAAAAAUUGACACAACUCUUUUUAUAAAAACCAAAGAAAAUGAUAUGCUCUUAGUUCAAAUAUAUAUUGAUGAUAUCAUUUUUGGUGCUACUAAUGUCUCUCUUUAUGAAGAAUUUUCUAAGUGCAUGCAUAGUGAGUUUGAAAUGAGCAUGAUAGGAGAACUCAACUUCUUCCUUGGACUUCAAAUCAAGCAACUAAAGGAAUGAACCUUCAUCAAUCAAGCAAAGUAUAUAAGAGAUCUUCUCAAAAGGUUCAACAUGGAAGAAGCCAAAACAAUGAAGACUCUAAUGAGCUCAUCCAUUAAGCUUGAUAAGGAUGAGAAAGGUAAAUCCAUUGACUCUAUUAUGUAUAGAGGCAUGAUAGGUUCUUUGCUCUAUUUGACCACUAGUAGACCUUACAUUAUGUAUAGUGUGUGUUUGUGUACUAGAUUUCAAUCUUGUCUUAAAAAAUCUCACUUAAGUGUCGUGAAAAGAAUCCUCAAAUAUUUGAAAGGGACAAUGGACAUAGGCUUAUGGUAUCCUAAGAGUGAUAACUUUGAAUUAAUUGGUUUUUUGGAUGCUGAUUUUGUCAGUUGUAGGGUUGAAAAAUAAAACACUAGUGGCACUUUUCAUUUCUUAAGACACUUACUUGUCUCAUGGCAUAAUAAGAAGCAAAAUUUGGUAGCUUUGUCAACAGCAGAAGCUAAAUACAUAGCAACUGGUUUAUGUUGUGCACAAAUCCUUUGGAUGAAAUAAACACUUAGUGAUUUUGAUUUAUCUUUUGAGCAUAUUCCUAUUAAAUGUGAUAAUAGUAGUGCCAUAAGUAUAUCAAAAAAUCUCGUGCAACACUCUAGGACUAAGCAUAUAGAGAUUAGACAUAAUUUUCUUAGAUAUCAUACACAAAAGGAUGAUAUAACACUUGAAUUUGUAAGCAUAAAAGACCAACUUGCCGAUAUCUUUACAAAACCUCUAAGAACAUUUUGUUGAUAUUAGAGGACAAUUAGGAGUGAUUUCUUUAUGAUCUAAUGUGAUGAAUUCUUGAUGAAUAUACUUUUUGAUUGCAUGAAUUUCAUGUCAUAUAUGCAUCAUAUAGAAAUAUACUUAGAUAAUGGUCAAAUUUCGACCAAAAAUCAAAAUUCCCAUGGCAUUAGGCAUAAAAAUUUUGGAAUUUCAACUGAAAAUGGUAGGAGGAGGAUCACAAAAUGAGAAAGUAUGCAAAAAUUGAAAAAUCAAAACGUUGACCAAGCGGUCAAUCGGACUAGACCGAUCGACUAGUUUGUCGAGAUUUAGGAUUUUUAAGAGACUCCAACGCUUCAAUUUUUGCACCGUUCUCCUCUAUUUCUUCACGGUUUCUCUGAUUUUGUCUUUUAGAGACUAAUUUGAGUGCGUUUUGGAUCAAUUGAAGCAUUUUGGAUUGGAUUUUAGGAAGAUUGAAAGUUAAGGUUUCGGAUUUGGGUCGCCUUCUCUUCCUCUCGCGUGUCACAAUCAGCUUUAGCAUUGUUCUCUUUCCAUUUUCACACACCUAGGGUUUCAGUUGUGAGCAUCUCUCUCUCUUUACCAACCACUACUCCCUUGCUUCUUCCAUAUGGCUCCUAGGCGAGAGUCCGCUACUUCUAGGGCACAAGGCAAGCACCCAACUGAGUCGUCUCAGUCAAAGGCACGUCGAAAAGUGAGAUUUGACAUUGCCUUGUUCAGUUCCAUGGAGGACUACCAACUAUACAAGCAACACUUUGCUUAGAGACGAGUAGUUCCCAAGAGAAAUAUUAAUUUUCCUCAACUUCAGCAUUUCGAAUUUAAGGGUCUAUUUACUAGGAUGGUUGGUUGUCUAUUGUCACAAUUUCGGAGCCGGUUUUCCUGACCUUAGUGCGAGUUUUUUACUCGAGGGCGACUUAUGGCAUGGGUGGCAUGAUCAUUUCUACUGUUGGAGGAGUUGAGAUCUGUCUGGACCCAGAGAGCAUCUGCCAUAUUUUCGAUAUUGCUCUGGUUGGACUCAAAGUAUACAAGUCCAAAAUGUGGCCCAUUGUGCCAGGAUUUGAGCUUAGAGAGGUCAUUCAGAGGAUUUGUGAACUUCCAGACGCCCAGGAGAUGGGCAAACCAUUGCCACACAGUUUGACGGUCAUCAACAGGGUGCUACACCAUAUAUUGUGCUCUAUCUUUCUACCACGAAGUGGACAUUGAGAUGAGGUCUCUUAUUAUGAGGCAUUCCUUAUUGACUCCAUUCUAACGGAGAGACGAAUUCAUCUACUAUGUCAUCAUUCACUAAGCCUCCUCACAGUGACAUACCACCUCAUCAGGCACCUCUUGCUCCUGACCAUGCUCCAUUGAUGGAUUUAUUUACUCAUAUUAGCUCUCUAGGCACUCGCAUGAAGGAGUUUGUUGUAGUUAGUGAUACAUGGUUCUACUCCAUAGAGGAUCGCAUGGAUCAGUAUCAGACUGGCUUCACGUCACAGUUUGAGUAUCUCCAAUAGAGGAUUGAGCAUAUUGAGGAUCACUUGAGCAUGAGAAGAUGAUGGCUUUUCUAUGCUCUGUGUUUCCACCUCCACCUCGUCAACCUUGAUUUCUUAGAGACCCAUUGUUUUCAUUUUGUAAUGUUGCCAAAAGGGGGAGAUAUUUAGGAUCUAGGACUCUAUAGGAGACUUACAUGCAUAUCAUUUUCAUAUCAUUGUUUGGAUCGUACAUAUUGGAUAGUGAUACUUUUUACUUAUAUAUGAUAUGCCUAUAUGUUUCAUGUCUUACAUUGUUUCUUAUUGCAAAUUAUCUCUAACAUGUCUUGAUUAUCUUUUUUUUAACUUCAUAAAUUUUGAUUGUUAACCCAUGAUUGGUUUGAGGGGAAGAUUCUUCUUCUCCUAGAUAACCAAGGUUUGUCAUCAUAAAAAAAUUGGAGAUUGUUAGCCCAAGGGUUCUCCUAAUCAUGUUUUGAUGAUAACAAACCAUGCUUAAGUUACUAAUUGGUUUGAAUUAUAAAGAAUUUCAAGUGUUAAUUUGAAAAUUCAUCAAAGAACCUAAUGGAUGCAAGAUCAAGAUUUUUGGAAGACCUUUAAUCAUAAGAAACAUAUGUAAGAUGAAUGCAUGGGUGCACUUAAGAUUUGCAUAUCAUUUCAUGCAUAUUUGGAAAACACGGUUUAUGCUUUAAAGUUACAUUUCCAUCAAAAUUUGAGAUCCAUCAAAUGAACCUUAGGAAAAAUGUUUUAAAAUUGGCAUAUAAUUUUACCUAAAGACCUUGCCUAAGUGUUAGAAGCAAAAGGACAAAAAAAAUAUAGGUUUUCUGGUCAAAAAUGGUGAACCAGUCAAGGCAUUGUCUAAAUCAGCUCAAUCGGCCAAGGUACCGGUCGAUCGGUUUCCCUUUCCCUGUCGAGAUCUAGUCAAGAGGUACAAAAAUCACAAUCUCUGUCUCUUUCUCUCUUUGUCUAUCUUCCAGUAGUCUUUCCUUCCCGGUCGAGGGAUUUGCCUUCCCGAUUGAGGUCCGAUUGAGAGUAAUAGUCACUUGCCAAAUAUUAAAUGCUCCAACAGUUAGUGAACUGGUCGACCCCCACCUUGCCCAGUUGAGGUUACUUUUUGGUUUUCUUGGCUCCCGAUGUUAGAAACCUAUAAAUAGAGAGUUCCACUUCAUUUAUGAGCAAGAGAACACUUGCAUUUAUUUGUUUACCUACUUGUUCUUGCCUUAAAAGCUCUCAUUUCUUUUCUUGGUGCAUUAAAUCUCCAUUUUGAUAUCCUUUAGUGCACCUUUGUGAUUCAUCUUAGCCUUGAGUUGUAUUUGAGCCCUUUUUUUAGCUAGGUUGAGAGUUUCAUACUUGUUAAUUGAGUGUUAAAGCCUUCAAGUGAGUUGAAACUUGUAGAGAUUAUGUGAGAGUCGAUUGGAGCCGAAAUCCAAGUGUAAAGGUGAUUAGAAGCUUGGUUGAAGCUUCAAGUUAGUGGAAUCCUCACUCAAUUAGGAGCUUGAGGAGAGUGGACGUAGCCAAGGAAGUGUCGAACCACUAUAAAAUUUGAGUUUGAUUUCUCUAACAUUGUCUCUUUAUAUUUGUUUAUCUUGUGCUUAAAUUUAUUGUGUUUAAAAAGAAUUUUUAAAUACCCAAUUCACCCCCCUCUUGGGUGUUUUUCUCUUUUAAAAUUAGCCUUUAUUUUCUCACAAACUAUUGUAGUAUAGUGGUUUUUAGGUGUCAUCCAUUAGGAUGAAUUGUUCUCGGUAAUUAAGGCGUGAAUGAGAGGAGAAUUAAUGAUUGUGAUUAAGUAAAAUUGAUUUGAAAAUUCAUGGUGAAAAAUCAAUUUAACAAUGGUUUCUAAUUGAGAAAAACAAUGAAAUGUGAAAUAAAAUAAAAUUAAUAGGAAAUGAAAUUCUCGAAGUUAGAAUUUUCUAAAAAACAAAUUCCAUGGUGAAUGGAUGUUGAGAUCUAAUUUUCAUCAAGUUAGAUUGAAAACCGAAAUUUUCAUAUAAACUGAUUUUUUAUUUAGUUUUAGGUCUAGAUUUAAUUUCCCUUAAAAUUAGGUUAUUUAAUCCAAGAAAUCAAUUCAAAUCAUAUAUUCAAUUCAUCUUAAAUUAUCUUCCAAUUAUUCACACAAUGCAACUAUUCAAUCUCAUCAAAUCUAGCUUUUAAGAAUUUAAUGAAUCUACCUAGUUUGCAUUGUAAUAGUCAUCCAUGACAAUUUGAAGAGAAAAAUAAUUCAAUUAAUCAAUCACUUGGAUCAAAUUACCUUUGCAAUUAAAGUUCAUUUCUCUAAUUCACCACAGAUUUUGUCUCUAGAUCCUCCUUUCUCAAAGAAAAAUGAGAUUUAGCCACACAUGAUUGGAGAUUUGGUCUCAUAAGGCAUGUUUAGCUAGUGAUAAAAUGAGAGAAAAUAAAGAAAAAUAGAGAAUUCGAUUAAGAAAGAAAAUCUAAAAAAUUCUACAAUUAGAAAUGUCCAAAAAGCUUUUUCAUGAGAAAAUCAAGUUUCUAUUUAUAGGCCAAGGUCAAGUGGACACUUGACAUCAUCUAAGAGGUCUUCCGGAAGCUUCUUCAUCAAGAAAUCUGGAGUUUAAUAAUAAAAUGGUCAUUUCACAAGAGCUCAAACAAUUUCGCAUGAUUAUGUGAAAUAAAAAAUGCAACAACAGCAAUUUACAUCUUCUUGGAGCAUUUCGCAUGACUGUGUGAAAUUUUCACAUGAUCAUGUGGAAUCGACUUGACAACUCUCAUUUAGCCUACAACAUAAUUCCACCUUUUGGUCCAUUUUUCAUAGUCAUGCGAAAUGGAAAUAUUUGAUUUUUAAGUUUUCUUUUGUCAUUUCUUUCAUUUCCUUCUCUUGAUUCCACUUCAACUACCUCCGAAUCCUGGUCCAAACCAAUUGCAUUACUUCUUUCAUUAUGCAUUUGGAUCAUCAUCAACAUUAUUUGUUCUCUUCAAUUUGAUUCAUCUCUUUUGUCACCAAUUUAUCAAAAUCAUACCUUGAAAUGACUCCAAAACUUCAUAAAACUUGUUAGUAACUCUUGCAAGGGCAACAACAUAUUAAUUAAGUGUUUUAGGCAUAGUUACUACUCAAAAGAUGCGAAACUCAUGAUAAUUAUUAUAUAAAAUAUGCUCUUUUUGAGUAGUAAUCAACUUUCUUGCAUAAGCAGACCUUUUAGGGUGGAGUACUAAAGACCAAUAUGCUUGUCCUUGUUGUAAUAAAGAAACUUGCUCUUAUUGAUUGCACCAUGGGAGAAAAUUUUGCUACAUGAGUUAUCAUCAAUUUCUUCCCACCAAUCAUAGAUUUAGACGUGACAAGAGGCCUCUUAAUGGCAAGGAGGAACUGACACUCACACUUAUACAAUUAUCGGGCAUUGAUGUGUUGCAACAAUUAGAAUAACUUACACCAAUUAUGUUGGGGAAGUCACAAAAGGCAAACAUGAAAACUAAAAGGAAAAAAGAAAAAUGUUACAUAUCACCACAACUGGAAAGAAAAAAGUAUUUACUUUCAUUUGCCAUAUUGGAAAGCACUUAUUUUACAUCAUAAUAAUUUAGACAUAAUGCAUAUUGAGAAAAAUGUGUGACAAUAUAAUUGAGACAUUGUUCAGUAUUGACGAAGAAACAAGGACAACCUAAAUAGUCAUCUCGAUUUACAAGCUCUAACUAUUAGAAAUGAGAUUCACCCAAUAGAAAGCAGGACCAAAUUUAUUUUGCUUGCAACAUGCUACUCACUCACCCCAAAUGAGAUUAAGGAAUUUUGCAAGUUUUUGAAAUCAAUAAAGGUCCCCAAUGGCUAUUCUUUCAAUAUCUCUCGUUAUGUGCAACUCAAUGAAAGGAAGAUAUAUGAGCUCAAAUUGUAUGAUUGUCAUGUCCUAAUGCAACAACUUCUCUCACUUGUAGUUCGUGGAGUUCUACAUAAGAAUGUUUGUGGAGUUAUCAUAGAAUUGCGUAAUUUUUUCAAGCAAUUGUGCUCAAAGGUGUUAGAAACAAAUCACUUACACCAACUUGAGAACAAUAUUAUUGUCAUACUAUGUAAAAUGGAGCAAAUAUUUCUUCCAUCAUUCUUUGAUAUUAUGGUGCAUUUACUUGUGCAUCUAGUAAGGCAAAGGUUGCAAGACUUGUGCAAUAUUGUUGGAUGUACCUAAUUGAACGAUAUUGUUAUAAUUUCAUAUGAAUCAUUUAAUUUUAUUUUAUAUUAUGUUCAGUUCAUUAACAUGUACAUUGGUCUACAUAUGGAUGAUGAUAGGUACCUAAGCACUUUAAAGUCAUAUGUGCGUAAUAGAACUUUUCUAGAAGGUUCUAUUGUAGAAAGGUACCUUGCAAAAGAAUGUACAACAUUUUAUUCUAGGUACUUGAAUGAUGUGGAAAUAAAGUAUAAUCACAAUGAUAGAAACUUUGUUGGUUUCAACACUAGAGGAGAUGAAAGGGGUUAUCUUUAAACAUAUUGGACAUGCAUUGGGAAAGCCCAUAUUUCAUUAACUUAGUUCAAAAGAGUGGUCACAAGCACAUUUAUAUGUGUUGACAAAUUGCGAAGAUGUCAUACCAUUCAUUGAGUAAAAAAUUUAUUUGAAUUUUAAUUAAAGCUCUAGUUUAUAUCCUUAAUCAAUGUUUUUUAAAUUCACAAGGAGCACAAGCAAACCAUCAAGGCUAGACCACAUAUACGUGUUUGAGACGUAGAUUUAAUUCAUAACAAGGAAUUUAUCAAGUGGUUUGAAAGACAUGUAAGUAUAUUCCUUAUUAUAAGGGAUUUAUUUCACAUUAUGUUUAUAUUGAAUCCAAACCUAUUAUUGAAUUGUAGGUUGAACAAUUACAUAAUGAAGGUCAUAUAUCUGAACACCUUCUCACAUUAUCAUGUGUUCCAAAUUCAUUAGUUACAUGCUUCAAAUGAUAUAUUGUCAAUGGAUUUAGAUCCCACAUUAAAGAACGUGAUAAAAAAGUUUUUAAAAAAAGACUCAGAAUAAUGGAAUUGUUGUAGUUGCAAAAACGUCAAGCUUUACAAGUGCAUGUGAUAUGAGUCCAAUUAUUAGUGAUGCUCUCUACUAUGGUGUUCUAACUAAAGUUGUUGAGUUACAUUAUCUUGGUGAAAAUAAGGUUGUUUUAUUCGAGUUUGAUUGGUGGGAUGUUACAAAUAUUGGAAAAUUGAUAAAAGAUGAUGAGUACAAUUACACAUUUGUUAACUUUGCAUGAAUUCUAACCACGAACGAACGAUUUGUACUUGCAUCUCCAGCAAAGUAAGUGUUCUAUGUGAAGAAUGCGAAUGAAUCAGAUUGGCAUACUAUCAUGGAGAUGCAACCUCAAGACCUCUAUAAGAUGAACGGGAUAGGAUCCAAUGGUGAUUUUGAACCAUUUCAACAAAGUGAACUACAUGAUCACUAAUAUAUCUCAGAUUUAGUUGAUGAAGAUAUAAUCAAGUGGAACAAAAGUGAUGUUUUAGGACUAAUCAUCCUAAAAAAUAUUGUAGUUUCUUAAAAAAAAAAUGAAAAUGAAGAAGAUAAUUGAACCUUUGUCAUACUUUAAAAAGCAACUAUGCAUUGUUCAUUUUGUAUGUUUUGGUUUUCUUCAUUUAAUUUCCUGAUUUUUGUGAUUCAAUGUCAUAUUAUUGAUCUUGAAAUAUUUUUCUAAUUUUUCAUUCUACGAUGGUUUCAACAAGGAUGACAUCAAGUCAAAAAAGGAAAUGUGGUCCCACACACAAUAUUGCAUUACAGGGAUUAAGGUCAGGGAAGAAGGUAAAAGUUGCAUUUAAUGAGUACAAUCAAUUGGUUAAACAGAAAAAUGGAAAACACUUAUCGAGCUACAUAGGGACACUUGUAUCUAACCAACACAAUGUACCUCUCCAAGCUAGUGAUUGGAAAAAUGUUCCAAAUGAUGCAAAAGAGAAAGUAUGGCCUUUGUUUUGGUAUGUUGUAUUUCUCACUAUAUGAUGUCAUUUCACUGUUAUUCUAUUUUGUGACUAACGUUUGAAUCAUAUGUAAGAAAAAUUUGAAGUAGAUAAAGACUGAAAAGAUUACAUGUUGGGUAUAGCCUCAAAUAAAUAUAGAAGCUAUAAAAAUAUGAUGAAUGCAAAAUACUAUGACCCUUGGCAUAAGGAUGCAUGAGGAGAGGUUAAUACAUAAAUCACCAUUUGUCUCUGAUGUUGAUUGGAAGUGGCUUGUCUCUGAUGCAUAAACCAAAUCCCCCACUGAAUGUUUGAUAUUUGAUAGCAGGAAAAACACACCCGCAGCUAUACACCUCCAUCAUUCAGAUAAUUAUAGUGGGGGAGAUGAUUCAUGGUUGCCCUUAUACCCUUUAUUUGCACCAUCUAUUGAGAUUCUUUAUCAUGGCCAGGUUUUACUGCAGCAAUAAGAUAUGGUGGCAACAAUUUUAUCUAUAGGUGCGGUUCCAGACCGCCUCCAUAGGUGCGGUUCCUGACUGCCUCCAUAGGUGCCUCUUCUUGUAAUGUUUGUUCUGGGAAUUACACUUGAAAGCCUUAUCGUGAUAAGGGAUUACAAACACUAGUUCAGAGGACAGCCAUGUUAAACUUCCACUAUGUUUGUGUCACAUUAUCAGCAGCCUAGUGUUUAUUGGUCAUGCUAUCUGCAACUAAUAUAACCCGGUGAACUUCAAUCUAAAUUCUGAAAGUACUCAUGUGACAGAUGGUGCCUUUCAGCAGAUAUCAUCAAUUUAAAAGUAGUGUGUGUGCCUAUAGGUGGGAAGGCCUUGGCAAAUGUUCAGUAUUCCGGUAAUUCAAGAAGGAUAUAUCUAAAAUAGAUUUUCUUCUUGCCCAUUUCAAUAGUUAAAAUUUGAGAAGAUUGUGUCCACAUCACACAAAUAUUAUUGGUCCUUCUGUUGCAAUUUACCUCUGAACAUGUCUUCCAAUUCCCACGGUCCUGUUACUCCAGGAAAACUAUUUCGGUCAUAUUGAAAAAAAAAAUAUUAAAGAAGGUACACAUGCUUUUAAGUGGACUGGGGCAUUCAUAUCAGGUGGUCUGUAUCCACAUAUGCCACUUCGUGAAAGGUGGAACAGCCUAAUCACUAGGCUAUUUAGUGUGGCCCAGCCACGUUAAUCAAGCACAAGUCUUCAUACUUAAAGUCAAAUGGUGUCUUUAGUCUCAUUACACAUCGCUAUUUGAAGAUUAACUCAUCACUAGUGUAAUGCGAUUAAGACAGUCCUAACUCAAUAUUUGUUCUAGUUUUGGAUGCAAAUGCUUGCUGGUUUCAUCAUUGGAUGGGAUAAAGGUGCAAUCAGGACUAUGAAUACGUGCAGUAAUACUUCAUUCUCUUUUUUCUCAAUGAGACUUCUUGGCACAAUUUUGCUGCUCAGCAACCUACCUUUCCAUGGAAAAUCAGUUGUGACUGAUAGUAAUGGAUAUAUUCUAGAAAGCUAAACAUAGAUAGCAUUCAAUAUUAUCGAUAUAACAUUAACAGCGUAUGUCUCAAUGCUCAUCAGCUACAAGCAAUGGACAAACACUUUGAGUAACUCACAGCAGUCAAAAUUCCUAAACAGGACAGACGUGACAGAUCUAUAUAUAGAACACUGCAUAUGAGUCACAGGAAAAGAUAAUACGGGUACAUAGAAGCUCUUAUUUUACAUAUUACUCAUACUGAUCAAAGUCGCUCAGUUGGGAUGGAUGGGAGAAGGAGGUUUGAGGGGUGGCUUGUGCGGGGAAGUUGGCAGCUUCUUUCCGGGAGCUGGUUGCUUCUUUGCUGGAGUUGAAGGAGGCUUAAUCUUCCGAGGUGGCUUGUAUGAGUCUUCAGCAUUCUCAGCAGGAGGGUGACCAGGGUUGUGACCAUAAUGUGGUGGCUUCUCUCCCUUAGGUGGUUUGCCAACUGGGGUUGGUGGCUUGUUUUCUGGGAGUGGCUUCUCUCCCUUGGGUGGUUUGCCAACUGGGGUUGGUGGCUUGUGUUCUGGGAGUGGCUUCUCCCCCUUGGGAGGUUUUUCGAAUGGGGUGGGUUUGUGUCCUGGUGGUGGCUUCUCUCCCUUGGGAGGUUUACCAAUUGGGGUCGGUGGCUUGUGUUCUGGGAGGGGCUUCUCUCCCUGGGGAGGUUUAGUGGGUGGCUUGUGUUCUGGAGGUGGCUUCUCCACCGGAGGCUUAUGCUCUGGUGGUGGCUUCUCGAAGGGGGGAUGCUCAGGGUAAUCACCAAGUGAGGGGGUGGUGAGAACCACCAUGCCAAGCAACAACACUAGCAAGUAUGUAGUAGACAUCUUUGGGUUUGGACUCAGACAGUGCAAAACUACGAGAAAUCGCUAGCCCUUUAUAGCGGCUCGGACCUAAUACUGACAUAAUAUAAAAUAAAUAUUAUAUUUUAUCAAGAGAGAACAGAGUGUAAUUUUAUCAUUAAUACCGAUCGAGGCCAAAGAAAGAAGACCCAUAAUCCAUUUCCCACAAGCAUACACAAUGCAGCUGUAAUUUUAUCAUUUACUUUUAUCCCUUGGACCACUGCAUUUUUGUUGAGAGACACAAUAACACAUUUUUAUCUGUCAUUCAACAUUUACAGUAAAGAGAGGGCACAAAACGCAAUUAGAUAAAUUAUGUUUUGCCUGCUAAAAAGAGGCAAAUAACUUUAUUUGCAACAUAAUUAUUUUGGUUUCUAGUGACCCCGGGGCCUUUCGGUUGGUUUGGGAUCGGAAAAUGAACAUCAUAGGGGGGGUUGUGCCCUUAUGGGCAUAUAUAUCUGAUAGCUUCAACUGGCCUUGUUCCUAGAAAGAAAUUGCCAAAGAUAUAAACUUAUUCCAGGCUGAAAGUAGAUGAGAGUCAUAAUGAACAUCAACCUUUGUUCAGUUUGAUUCAAUGCCCCCAUAGUGUUCAUUUCACAGAUCUGAAUGAUUAUAUCCGUUGAAUACAUAAAUUAAUGAAGACAAAUAUGAAACCCAAGAUACAUCUCUGCAUAACAACCCCAACCCUGGUUGCUAUGUUUCCCUUCUUCUAUUCACAUGAGGAUACUGGUUAUAAUUGUCAAACUUGCAACAAGCCCUUUGACACCUAACGUCAAUGGACGAAUUAAAAGUCUCCUUCAAACGUCUAUUUCACAGCAUGAAGCUUAUAAAGGAUGCUGACAACCUUCAGAGUUAGCGACAAAAGAUAAUUAUCAAGGAGAGAUAGUUCCAUGAGAAUUCCAAGGAGUCUGAAUCAAAGACAAAUUGCUCACUCAAGGGUUCUUAUUUUCUUUUAGGUACAAAUCUCUUGAGUGUUGUUAAAGAAACACGUCACUGUCAUUUUGAUUUGCAUUUAACAUUUCACUUUUGUUCUGGAAGGUUUGUUCCGGAAACAUAUCAAAUGAGCAUCAUUUUCUUCUUCGGUGACACAUGGUCGCGAGUACGUGGGUCCAUUUUCAUGCCACUUAGUUGAAAAGUUGGAAAGAAAAAACAUGCCAACAAGAAGAUAGUGAGAGAAGGGGCACUUCAAGCCUUUAACAUGAACAAACAGUAAAUAAAAGAUGUUUCUCCACUCAUAAAAGUGUGUUAGAUAGCAAUAUAACGAAUCACAUCCAAAAUCUUUACUAGGCUCAAACAUAAAGAAGACUCAUUUUUAAGAAAAGAUAAAAAUGGCAUUGUCUGAUAGUAUCCAAUACACGAGAUGGCACUUAAUUUGUACAAGAUCUGUCAAUGCUGACGCACAUUUUCUGAUUAAAAAAAAACUGAUCAGUCAAAAGCAAUGAAGAGAAGUGAUGACAAUGAAUGAUGCUUCCAAUAUUUUCACCCCUUAUAGUGUUCUUCAUGAUUCAGAUAUAUAAUUGGAAAUAGAACAACCCUAUGCCAUACAUUCGUCUAAGUAUGGUGUCUAAUUUUUUGUGUCAGCGGUUGCGAAUGGAGCGUGCAAAAGUCCAAAUUGGCGUCUCUCCAUUUCCACAUAGGAAGGUGACCUUUAUUGACAAAUACCCAAUAUUUGUAGACAUUCCUUAAAUAUCAUAACUUCUUGUUGAUUUGAAAAUCAUUUUUCAACUACCAUGUUUUAAUAAAUAUUUUUUAAAAUGUAUUUUUAUCAAAGUCCACCAUGAUGGAUAAUAUUCACCAUGCAAUAAUUAAUAAAGUACAAACUAAGCGAAAUGAAAAGCAUUUUCUUUGCUUUGAGUUGAUUUUGGUUGCAUUGAGUUGAUUUUGGUUUCAUGGUUUUUUCAACUCUUAUUUUGAUUGGAAGAUGUCAAGAAAAGAAAACAUAAAGAAAAAUUAAAAGGGAAAAAAGAAGAAAAAUAAAAAAAAAUAGAUUUAAAAGUUAAUAAAUUAUUUUUUAUAUUUAUUUUAAUUCAUUUCACUUAUUUUUCUUUUACUAUAUAAAAUUUAAAUAAUUUAAAUUUUAUAAUUAAUUUAAUUACAUUUCAUUUUCUUCUAUAUUUAAAUAUUGGAAAAAUAUUUUACUUAAUAUUUUUUUCUUUAAUUUCUUUGGCAUUUUGGGAACCAAACUUAGCCUUUAAAAUAAAAAACAAAAAAAAAAUGAAAAUAAGGAGGGAAAAGUGAGAAAAGAUAAAAACAAUAUGUAAAGGAUUUGAAAAGUAUUAGUUUGUAAUUACUAUUUGGAUUUCAAUAGUAUUUUAUUUGUCUUUCUAUAUUUCAUGUAAGAGAGAAUUUAAGAUAUUCCCCAAGGCAAAGCAUUAGUUACCUGCAAUCAGUGGUGAUAAGGCUCCAAGCCAAUUUUGGGCCCCAUAUCUUAAGACAGUACAAUUUCCAUUUCAACAUUUCUGAUUUCUCAGAUGUUUCACAUACCACAGAAGAACAUUGUUUGUGAAAAUAUGCAUUUAUGUUGGAUUUUGUAUGCUGUGGGGACUGGGGCAAGGAUCAUAUGGAAGAGUGGUUGACUUUUUCUGUACUUUAACGGUUGAAAUAGGAUAAGCACGGGCAUUUGUGAGGCUUAAUUGAUUUUGAAGCCUGAAAUUGCGUUUCUGUCAUUUUGUCAAAAAAAUGGCAGAUUCCAUACUCAUAUGUUUGGCCUGUGGCCAUGUACAGAUGCCAUUUAGUGACCAGUUUGUAACUGUCAAUCGUUGCGUUUUGACUCUGCCUCAACAACAUCUGCCAUUGACGGGUUUUCAUACUUGCAAAUCAAAUAGUCUUUCGUCCCAUCAGGAAUUUCGGUUUAAAUAUUAUUAAGCAUACGUUUGGCUGACAAUCAUUAUCCAGUUCAUGAUUUGGUUUCUUACCCUUAAUCAAUGGUUUCUAAGUGAAUAUAUGUAGAAGGAAAUCCGAAGUGUAGACAGUAGUAUCGAUAACUCUCAAUAUUCUCUAUAUAAUAGAAUAAACAGCGUCAUAGUGAUCGUCGCCUACAAGCAAGGUACAAAUACCAAAACGAGUGACUCACAUAGACAUCUCCCAACAAGAUGUAGUAGUGACUGACACAUGGACACAAUUAACUCGUAGAAAAGGAUAAGACCAUUGCACAGCAGCUCUUAUUUUACAUACUACUUAUGCUAACCAAAGUCAAUUAGUUGGGAUGGGUGGGAGAUGGAGGUUUGUGCGGUGGCUUGUGGGGCGGAGUUGAUGGCUUCUUUCCAGGAGCUUCUGGCUUUUUCAUCGGAGCUGAAGGAGGCUCAAUCUUAUGAGGCGGCUUGUAUGAGUCUUCUUUACUCUCGACAGGAGGGUGGCCAGGGUUGUGAUCAUAAUGUGGUGGCUUCUCUCCCUUAGGUGGCUUGCCAACUGGGGUUGGUGGCUUGUGUUCAGGAAGUGGUUUCUCUCCCAUGGGAGGUUUAGCAAUUGGGGUUGGUGGCUUGUGUUCUGGGAGUGGCUUCUCUCCCUUGGGAGGUUUAGUAGGUGACUUGUGUUCUGGAGGUGGCUUCUCCACCGGAGGCUUGUGCUCCGGUGGUGGCUUCUUGGUUGGAGGGGGCUUGGGGUAAUCAGCAAGAGAUGGGGUGGUGAGAACCACCAGUCCAAGGAACAACACUAGCAAGUAUGUGGGAGACAUUUUUGAGUUUGGGCUGAUCAGAUGAUGCAAAACUAAAGCAUUACGUGACCUUUUAUAGCAUGUAGCUCCCAAUACCCACUAAGUAUUGUGGGGUCCAUUUGUGCCCUACGGGGUUGAAAACUUAGACAAUUGGGCAAGGACCCACCUGACUAUGGAGGACUAGUGAGGUGUGAUCAUAGCUUUAGGAUUUUUCUUCCUCUGCAGCCGUCGUGCCGUUGGCAUGAUUUUCUUAAUCUUAAAUAAAGGCAUAGUUAUAGAGUUGUUUAAUCUCUAAAUGGGAUUUUAUAUAUAUCUUCAGAUAGCCAUUAAUAUAUUUGAUGAAGAAAGAAAGACAAGUGCAUACAACAUGUAUACGACUAGCUUUCAUGGAGUUCAUUUAUGAUCAGUUUUCCUGUACAUGUAAACCAGGAUCAUAUAUAUGUUUCUGUUCCACAACUAUUUUGGAAUCUUGUUUAUCAGUUUUUAUCAUUAUAAUGUCACAUAGGCUGCCAACUUGGGCGCUAAAAGAACCAGUUGGGCUAGUUCGUUUCAGAAUUUCAAUGUGGAUUCAGGAAUUGUUUUGUAAGAUAUGCGAAAUAGUAGAGGGAUGAAUAGUGUUUCAUUAAUAAAAGUGUCCUGUAAAUUAGAAGGUGUCAUAGAAACUAUAAUCAAUAAAUAACUUUUUUUCCCCACGGGUGGUGUUUCUUGUGGGGAUCAGUGACUGGUUUAGGUUCACCCAAAAUGAGUUCAGACUAAAAUUGGUUUGAGUCAAUGCCGUGUCUCUUUUUUCCAGAAAUCAACUAUUUUAUGCAUUGAAUAAAUCAUACAAAGAAAAUAUGAACGCCCGCAAAACCUAAACCCUGGUUGCUAACUUUCUAUGUUUCAGUUCUAUUCACGCAAGAAUAUUAGUUUAAGUUUGGGAAAAAUGGCAACUUACCUAGUGAUUACUUGGUUUUGGUUUGCGACUAUUUACGCAACCAACCAUGAGUUUGACUUUAACGUCAUGGGUUGAAGCCUCCUACAGGAAGGGAGAAAGCUCCACAGCUAGCUCCAAAAGAGAAUUAUCACAUUGAUAGCUCCAGAGAUUCCCAAGGGGACUGAAUCAAAGACAAGUUCCUCACUUUUUCUUCUUUUGAGGCCAAAUAUGAACCAAGGAUCACACAACCUCAUUCAACUUCAUAAGUUUGAUUUCAUGCAGUUGAACACUGGGUGAAGGCCAUGACAAGAAUUGAUUCAAAAAUUCUAUCACUCUUUUAAGUAAUGGAAGAUUAUUAUCUCUGAUUGGCAUCACAACAGCACAUGCUCCUAGAUCUUUCUAGACACUCCAUGCAAUGAAAGCACAAUGGAUCUUGUAACGAUAGAAACUAAGCCAUGCUACAGUACUAGAUGAUGAGGUAAAACUAGUAGACACGGGUGGCAGCCUAUAUGGGAGGGACACAAGUCUAAUUGAUUUGCAUUUCAGCAUUAUAGAUAGGUAUGUUUUGGAAGAUUUGUUCUGGAAAUACCGCACCAAGUAGGAUUCUUUUUCUCUUUAGUGGGUCCACUUGCAUGCCAAUUAACGAGUUGAAAAGUAUGAGCACCUACCUCGUGCUCGUGGAACCGAAGGUCAGUGAAGUGGGGCUCCUUUUGGCCUCGUGUAAACUUGAUUCAGAAGUGAAGUUAAUAGUCUUCCAUUCAGAUGGAUACAUGGGAAUUUUUCUCUUUUAUUUAUUUAUUUAUUUUUUUUUUGUGUGUGUAUGUCAAAGGAUAAUGAAUGAAGCGCGUUAGCUUGUUUUCUGACUGGAACCGCAGAUGUCCAAAUUGGAGUUCCUUCAUUUCUUACUUAGGAUUGUUACAUGUAUAAACAAGGUAUAAGAAAUAUGCCAACGUGUCUUGAGGAGUUAUUGAUUAGAAAUAACAAGUCACCCGACUGUAGAGUUCCAAGAUUUGAAUCUUCAGACCCUAUAGCAGCCUCUGGGGUACGUGGCAUCCUAUAGCAUAUUAAUGAAGGCUUUUUCGAUUUAGACUUCACAAUACCAAUUAAUAUGUAUGCACAAAAUGGAGAUGACCCCAAAAAAAACAGAAUCGCCAUAGUUUAUGAGGUUAAGGUGAUUCUCCACUUAAUAUCUACAUUAGCUAAUUAUGUAAAUCAAAUGAACUUCUAUUUUUCCUUUUUUUUUUUGGUUUAUGUCAAAUAGUAGCCCAUAAUUAACCCAACCAUUAGCCUGUUUGAAUUGAUUUCACAUGCACAAUGUUGUAGUAGUUCAUAUUUUGAAUUUUAUUUUUACAAAGGUAGUUAAGGAAAAUGAAGUAUAAUAAUUAUAAAAGCAGACUAUAUACACUACAAUAAUUGUUAGAAUGGUAUCUCAAAUUCUAAUUUAAAAUAUUAUUUUUUGUAAAAGAAAUAUUAUAUAGAAUAUUUCCUAAUUUUAUAAAUGAUUAUAAUUAGAUCUUUAUAAAAUAAGGAAAGUUGGUAAGAAUAUCUUUAUAAAUAUUUUAGGUCAUGAGAGAAAGAAAUGGGAUAAAAAUGUGAUGAAGAGGUGAAAUAAGAGAGUUGAUUAGGAUAUAGAUGUGAAGAAGAAAGGGAUUCAAUAUAUAUAUAUCUUUCAAUUACCACAUUAAAACCCUGUGAACCUUUUAUAUGGUUUACUUUAUUUUUAUAUUCCUCCUUUAAUAUAUUUACAUUAAUGCUUCCAUUGGCACAACAAUAACGAAUUACAAAUACAAGCAACAAGUCCCAUGUUUUAUUACCAAAAGCAGGUAAAAUCCACCUAAUAUAUUACAAUAUAUUCAUCCAAUAUUUUAGACCAAUUCUUCACCAUAAAUAUCAUAAUGUGGCUUUUGUUCUUUCUUAAAUUUAAAUUGAAUUGUCUUAUAUCAAUUUGUUUGUGAUUUUUUCAUUAACUUCACUUUCAUUUGGUUAUCUUUGGUUUUUGAAAAGUAUUAAGGAAUUAAUUAACAAAAUAAUGUUAAGAAAAAUAAUUUUCUCUCUUUUGAUUUUGAUUUUGUAGUAGAAAAAUAUAAUUAAAAUUAUUUAAAAAGUAUGUAAUUUUAAAUUAUUUAAUAUUUAGAUAAAAAAAAUAAGUCUAAUGAGUUUAAAAUAACAUAUAAAAAUAAUUUAUUUAUUUUAAAUUUAUUUUUUAUUUUCCAUUAUGUUCUCUUUCUCUUUUACUUUUUCAUAUUUUUUCUUACGAAGAAUCAAACACAACCUCAUAUUAUAUGUCAAGUGUUUGUCUAUAUUUGAGCAAUGUUAGAUACGGCCAUGGAUUCAUCAAACUAAACUGAUUUUAAUAGAUACUUCACAAAUUGAUUUAUACACUAAAUCAUUGGAUAGCAAUGAUGCAUUGGAAUUAAACGUAGGAUGAAGCUCGAAGAACACUGUUUGUGUAACAACAUAUUUAUGAAAUUAUGCAAAGGAUGAGCUUCGGGGUAGUAGUACAAGGUCAUUAAUGGAGAGCCGUGUUAAACCUUGAUUGUGAUUGGAUUCCGUUAUCAGCAACAGCAACCUUGUUUGUAACCUUGAAAGUCAUUCUGUCCACAUCGAAACUCCAAUUUGACGUUUGUAAUUACCAUUCCUGGAGUGUUCCUUGAUUGAAAUUUAAAUAAUAAUUGCGGCCCACAAGGAAUAUUUUCGAUUCUGUGGGAAUUUGACAAGGUUUGUUAGAGAAGACUGGUGACAUGUUGACUUCAAUGGUUCAAAUAGGAGACGUAUGUGGAUUUGGGGGGUUUAAUUGAAACUGAGUCCCUAUGGCUUUUUAAUAUUUGCAUUGAGCAGUCUCCAUGUGACUUCCUAAUUCCCACCAACCCUCCUGUCCAUGCUGUGAAACUAAAUUGUAAUUUAUCAGCCUUUGUCAAUGGUUUCUAAAUUAAAGAUAUAGACCAUGCAUGUACUUUAAUAAAAGCAAAUCUAAAGUGUAGAUAGCAGCAAUGGUGACACCCAAUAUUCUCCAUAAAAUAGAAUUAGAAUAAGCAGUGUUACAUUGUUCAUGAUCACCUACAAGCAUACAAGAACUUCCAUGAAUAACUCAUAGCAAUUGCCAACAGGGCGUCGUAGAGACUCAUACAUAGAACACUAUCCACCCAGAGGAAAGGACAAGACCAGUGCGCUGCAGCUCUUAUUUUUCACAUGUAUACCACCACUCGUAAUAACCAAAUUCACUCAGUUGGGAUAGGUGGGAGAUGGUGGUUUGUGGGGUGGCUUGUGGGGAGGAGUUGGAGGAGGCUUUAUUUUCUGAGGCGGCUUGUAUGAGUGUGCAGGAGGAUGCCCGGGAGUGUGACCAUAAUGUGGUGGCUUCUCUCCCGUAGGUGGUUUGCCAAAUGGGCUUGGUGGCUUCUCUCCCUUAGGAGGUUUACCAAUUGGGGUUGGUGGCUUGUGUUCUGGGAGUGGUUUCUCUCCCUUGGUAGGUUUGCCAAUUGGGGUUGGCGGCUUAUGUUCUGGGAGUGGCUUCUCUCCCUUGGGAGGUUUGCUAAUUGGGGUUGGCGGCUUAUGUUCUGGGGGCGGCUUCUCUCCCUUGGGAGGUUUGCCAAUUGGAGUUGGCGGCUUAUGUUCUGGGAGUGGCUUUUCUCCCUUGGGAGGCUUGCCAAUUGGGGUUGGCGGCUUAUGUUCUGGGGGUGGCUUCUCUCCUUUAGGAGGUUUGCCAAUUGGAGUCGGCGGCUUAUGUUCUGGAAGUGGCUUUUUUCCCUUGGGAGGUUUGCCAAUUGGGGUUGGCGGCUUAUGUUCUGGGGGUGGCUUCUCUCCCUUGGGAGGUUUGCCAAUUGGAGUCGGCGGCUUAUGUUCUGGGAGUGGCUUCUCUCCCUUGGGAGGUUUUGUUGGUGGCUUGUGUUCUGGAGAUGGCUUCUCCCCUGGAGGCUUGUGCUCCGGAGGUGGCUUCUGAAAUGGCGGGGGCUUGGGGUAAUGAGCAAGAGAUGGAGUACUGGUGAGAACCACCAUUCCAAGCAACAAUACUAGCAAGCAUGUGGGAGACAUCUUUGAGUAGUUGUAGCUAAGAUGGCGCAACACUGUAGGCAUUGGGUGGCCUUUUAUAAAGGGCUGGACCCAACAGCCAUAUGACACGUGUCAUGAUGACAAAUGAAGUUGAGGGGAUCCAGAUGGGUCCUACUGAGUCGAAAACUUGCACUAAUUGAUCUGGUGAGAUGACUAUUUCUGUCCUUUUGCCCUUCUCGGCCACCCUGUGCUGUUUUCCUUUUGCACGAUUUUCGUUGCCAAACAAGCAAAUAAUAUUUCGCCAAGAAAGAGGAGAGUGAAUGUGGAAUGCAUCAAGUCCCAUCAAGGAUGGCAGAGAAGAAAUAGAAGAUUGCCCAACUGUGAUAAACAUAGCAUACACGUAGCACCAGGAACUUCAUUUACUUCCAUCUAAUGGAACAUAACAAUCUUCUAAAGUUUUUGCAUGAUUUUGUUAUAUGUCUCUUAGCCUAAAGUUGGAAAUGCGCAACAAAUUUUGUCACUUCUCUAUUUCCCACUGAUGAUGUUAAUUAGCCUUCAUAGAUAUCAUCCUUUCUACAAAGUGCUUCAUUUGUGUGUUAUUGUAAAGUGUAAGAAAAGUAAUUGAACAUGUUCUUUUUCCUUUCAUAGAUGACUUUUGAUGUGCAUUUUAAAAGCAGCGCUGUGAGUCGGUGACCUUGAUUCACACGGAAACUAAGGCUCCUAUAGGACCCACUUUUAGCUGGUUAGGGGUGAAGAAAAUAUCAACUUUUCAGAGUGAUUUAAGUCAAGGCCAAGCCUCACUGUGUCAUUACUCGUGUGAAUUUUAUAUGCACAUACAUACAUAAAUAAAGUAUGAGACCCAAAUAACACCUUCCCUUUACAAACUUAACCCCAGCCGCUCUCUUUCAAUUCUUUUCACACAAGGGUAUUGACUCUAUAAAGGUCAAGAAAAUCAUAAUUUCCUAGGGUUUACAAGGUAAUUGGCUUAAUGCUAAUGUGAAAACAUAAAAGAUAAUAGUAUAUUGUAAGCUAACGAAUAUUCUAUAGUUAUAAUUAUUUGUGAUGUGCAUAAAUAAAUCUUCAUAUAUAUAAUGGAACAAUGAAUAAAGAACCAAUGAAAAAAUACUAUAUAUCAUUGCUUGGCAUUUAAACCGUAUAUGCUGCUCUUUCUAGCUACUCCAUCCACUGAAAGACAACAAGGUAAUCCAUGUUAUAAUGAUAGAAGAUACUGUCUCUAGGCUUUUUGUGAUGAAAAAUAUAAGAUAUGGGUAGGGUUGACCCUUGUAUGUUUGUCCUAUAAACACUUCAAAGUAACAUAUUUUUCUUCUUUAGCAACUCAUAAUGAUGGGGUUCAUUUGCAUGUCACUGAGUUGAAAAGUUGGACAAUUGCCCAUGUCGCCUUCCUCCUAGAUUCCGUAGUUCACGGGAAGGUAACUCAAGUUUGACAUAUUUUGAAUUCUUUUCACUCGGACGUCUUCAUAACCUGACAAAACAAAAAUGAAAAACAGAGGAUUGGUAUAUUAUUCAUGGUAAGCCUCAAAUUAUAGUAGUAUGAGAAAGGAGAAAAAGAUUUUGGGAACUCCAAUCUGGAUAAUUCUCGUUUCUUCUCUUGAAUAAAAAUUUCACUUACCUAACUUCGUUUGGAGAAAUGGCAUAUUUUAAUUUUGUACGUCAUUGCUAAUAAAUGGAGCAAUUUAGCAUGUUUUGUGACUGAAACUGCAAAUGUCCAAUUGGCAUUUCUUCAUUUCCCACUUAGGAUCUGAUCUUGUAGACCAUAUAACGAUAUGUAUCUGUGCAAGCAUUGAAAACUAAUGUGAACUAUGAGGAGUUACAAGCCACUGGACUGUAGAGCGAGUGCCAAGAUUUAAAUCUUCAGGCUCUAUCUGGGUAAGGGGAGGAUAGCGACCUAACCUUUUACCAAAGGCUUAGAAUUUAGACUUUUGGAAAAAAAUUUCUCAUGUUUUGGCUGGAUUUCUUGUGCUUGGCGCAAAAAGGAGAUGGCCUCAAGAAAUAGCAGACUCACUUUUGUUUUCAGCCCUUAAUAAUUCUCCACUGCUUUCCAUAACUACAUGGGUUAUACAUGCAGUCUGCUGCAAUAUUCCAGUUAUAUUUAUUAUUUCAAAGAGGGUGAAUGACUUCACAUGCAAUAUGUUGCAGUAACAACCCAAAUUUUGGCACACCAUCUUAAGAAUAGAAAAGUAUAAUAAAAGAAAUCAAUCAGAGAAUCACUUUGCAUGCAGUUCAUAGAGUUCGCCCAAAAUGGAGCCACAUGUACGGACAACCCCACAAUAGACAAUCUUCUCUAUACAGUAAUAAAAUACAGAAAUGGUUAAUGAAGCUCUGUAUUUCCUUAUCAUAUAUGACCGGUUGAAAACUCAGCAAGUCUUCCUCAAUCACAGACAGUUGGAGUUGCUUCAUCAAAAUCAUGCCUUCAUUACUGGCUUCAUUUUGGUUUCAAUGUCUGUUCUACCCUUAAAUUGGGUCUCUGCUUACUACCGGGAUAUCCUUUAGCGUCCUGCAAUUCUACUAGAUUAAAGAGAAUGACUUAAUUCUGCAUUCUGCCGUCCCUAGUCCAAGUGGUACUAGAAUUGAUGUUUCCUUUAGUGUCCUUUCUUCAUACUUUCAGGUUCUUCCCUUGUUUCAAUAAUGCUGUUUUCCUUCAUGUUUAACCUCUGUUGAACCACUUAAAACAACACAAUUUGCACACCAAUGUUUCUUUACAGAAAAGACUGUUUGCAAAAAUGCACAUGUUAUAAGGUUAAUGGAAGAAUUAAUUUGGGGAUAAGGGACUAGGAUUGGGCCAAUGAAGUUUGGUGUUAAAUUUUGAUUAUGAUUGCUUUUCAUUAUCAGGUACCUUAUAUUUGCUGAUGCUAUCUGGAACUAAAUUCAAAUCAGACAUUAUCCGAUUACUAACAGGACAUAUCAUGUCCCUCUGCAGAGUUUCUAAACUAACAUGUAUCGAAAUGUGGCCCCAAAAGGAAGGCUAGGAAGAUGGAGGAUUUUGUAGGAAUCGACCAGAAUCAGAUGGAAGAGAGAUAGUCCUGUUGACUUUAAUGGUUGUGAUAGGAACAUGCAUCAUUAUAUGAGAAGUUGCAUGAAUUUAUGUAUCCUGUUAUCGUUCCUUGACGAUUUCCCAAUGCAAUUUCACUGUCCACAAGACUAACCUCUCCAUGCAGUCAAAUGAAUUGUAAUUUCUCUAUUGGUACCAGUAGUACAUUUCAUACCAAACAUAUAGUAAAUAUAAAAUAUAAAUAGAUCAAGGAAAUCUGAAUUGUAGAUAGCACUGCAAGUAACACUCAAUAUUCUCUAUAUAUAAUAAAAUAAACAGUGUCACAAUACUCAUCACCCAGUGGCAAGGGAGAAAAACCUACAAUGAGUACUCAAAUCACCAUUCUCAAACAGAAACAUAGCAGUGACUGAUACAUAGAACCUAUAUGCUCACAGGGAAAGAAUAAGAUGACCAGUGCACAGCGGGCAGCAGCUCUUAUUUUACGUACAACUCAAAUCCCAAACUAACCAAAGUCGCUCAGUUGGGAUGGGUGGGAGAUGGUGGUUUGUGGGAUGGCUUCUGGGUAGGAGCUGGUGGCUUCUGUCCCUUUGGUGGUUUGCCUAAUGAGCUUGGUGGCUUGUGCUCCGGGAGUUGUUUCUCUCCCUCGAGUAGGUUUCGAGUCUUGUCAGAUGGCUUGUGUUCUGGUGGUGGCUUCUCUCCCUGGGGUGGUUUGCCGAAUGGGCUUGGUGGCUUGUGUUCGGGGAGUGGCUUCUCUCCCUGGAGAAGGUUACGAGUUUUGUCAUAUGGCUUUUGUUCUGGUGGUGGCUUCUCUCCCUGGGGUGGUUUGCCGAAUGGGCUUGGUGGCUUGUGUUCGGGGAGUGGCUUCUCUCCCUGGAGAAGGUUACGAGUUUUGUCAGAUGGCUUGUGUUCUGGUGGUGGCUUCUCUCCCUGGGGUGGUUUGCCGAAUGGGCUUGGUGGCUUGUGUUCGGGGAGUGGCUUCUCUCCCUGGAGAAGGUUACGAGUUUUGUCAGAUGGCUUUUGUUCUGGUGGCGGCUUCUCUCCCUGGGGUGGUUUGCCAAAUGGGCUUGGUGGCUUGUGUUCGGGAACUGGCUUCUCUCCCUUGGGAGGUUCAGUUGGUGGCUGCUGUUCCGUAGGUGGUUUCUUCACCGGCGGCUUGUGCUCCGGAAGCGGCUUCUCUACCUGGAGAAGCUUACGAGUUUUGUCCGAUGGCUUGUGUUGUGGUGGUGGCUUCUCUCCCUGGGGUGGUUUGCCAAAUGGAGUUGGUGGCUUGUGUUCGGGGAGUGGCUUCUCUCCAUUGGGAGGUUUAGUUGGUGAUUGGUGUUCCGUAGGUGGUUUCUGAAGUGGGGGAUGCUUGGGGUAGUCAGCAAGAGACGAGGUAGUGAGAACCACCAGUCCCAGCAGCAACACUAGCAAGCAUGUGGAAGACAUCUUUGAGUUCAGGCUGAGAUCUGUGCAAGGAUAACAGAAUUAGGUGGCCUUUUAUAGAGGCCUGGACCCAACACCCAUAUGACACGUGUCAUGCACUCAUGGUGACACAUAAUUCUAUGGGACCAUUUGGGUCCUACAGAAGUUGCAAAGUUGGACUACUGAGGUGUGAUCACAACUUUUGUCCUUAUUGCUUUCUCUGCGGCCAUUGCACGAUUUCCUUUAGCAUCAUUUUCUUGGCUAAAUAAGCGUAUUAUAUUUGUGGCAGACCGUCCACGUGUCAUAAACAGAUAUAUUAUAAUAAUGUAGUAUGCUUUUCUCCAAUGGAACAUGACACUCUUCUAAGUCUUGUUUUAAAUAUUGUGCAGGAUUACUUUAUACGUUGCAGUUCCAAGUCAAAAUUGGUGGGCAAACGUUGGCCUUUUUUCAUUUCACCUAAGAUUAAUGCUCACCUGGGAUAGGCACUACAUGACUUAUCUGCUCUUUUACUGUAAAGUUGCUUUGUGUAUGAGAUACACCUCCCCUGCACACCCUCAACAUUCGUUGCUCUGUUUUCCUUGUGUCCAGACGAGGAUAUUAAUUGGAGGCUGACAAAACGACUGCUAGCCCAGGAUUUACAAGGUCCUGGUUUGAGGCUUCGGUGAAAGUAUUUUUGAAAAGACACACAUAGAGAUAGUGCGUUUGGUGCAAUGCAGCACUGUGAGCCAUUCUGACGCGUUCUUAAUUUCAAAACUAAUGAAUGCUUCAAAAUUUUAAGAAGUGACAUUUCCAAAUAUUUGAGUUCGUUUAAUUGAACAUUGGAUAACUAGUGAUCAUAGAUUAUUAUCUGUGCUUGGCACUAUAAGAGGGUAUAUGCUUCUUUUUCUGGCCCCUCCUUCAAGGGAGGAGGGACAAUGUGAUCUGUAACGUUAGAAGCUAUUCCAUGUCAUCUUUGGGCUCAGUUCAAAACUAAAAGAUAAUGGGGGGGGGGGGGGGGGGCAUAUCAUUUUAUAUUUCUUCUAGAAGGUUUGUUCUGGAAAUAUUUCACAGGAGCAUAUCUUUUUCUUCUAUUACGUCAUCCGCAGCCUCCAAUAGGUCGGUUAACAAGCCACCGAGUUGAAAAGUUGGAAAAAUGGGAACACAGCCCGCCUCUUGUAUUCAGUAGUUAAAUAAAAGGUCACUAGAAGUGAGAUCCCUUUUGGCGUCUUGAUUUUCAAUCCAGCACCUCUGUGACCUGACAAACCAAAAAAACUAAAAAAUAAAAAACAGUACGUGGGUUGGUGUUAAGCAUCAAGACAUGUUAAUGAAAGAAGGUAGAGAAUAGGAUAUUGAAAUCCCAAUCCUGAUAACAUGAUUUUCUUUGCUAACAACCAUAUUAUAUUUUAUCAAGAAAGAGUAAUGCAUGUGGCGUCCAUCAAGACCCAUUAGAGUUCCGCUAAAGCUAUAGUUCUGUCAACGUUAUCAUUUACGUUUCCUCUAGAUAAUGGCAUUUUCCUCUAAAGCUCUUGCACCAUUAGGCUUCAAGUCAAAAUUUCACAUGUGAACUUUGGAAAUUUUCUCCAUUUGCCCCUAAGGAUACAGUUAGAAUUGACUUAAAAUCCUGAUUGAUAUGUACUAUUAACCAAAGAAUAUUGUAUAUAAUAAUUGAAAUAUUGUUGAUUCAUCGUGGAAAUACAUUUUGUAAGGAAAGUUGUUGAGAAUUUAGUAUGCUAUAUGGAGAAAAAAGUCAUGACUUAAGGUUGUGUAUGUAUAUUCUAUAUCAAAUAUUAGGUAGGAAUGUGGGAAAGAGCAGAGUGUAAUGAUAAGAAACAAAGAAAUAUAAGAUAUUCUUGAAAGUGGAAAAUAUAAAAUGGCUAACGAGUCAAAUUUAUGAUGCGUAAGGGGGAUCAUGUCACAUAAGAAAACCAUGGCAUACUAAAGACGUACGUGUGGUAUGGAGUAAUAAUUUUGUUAAAAUAAGUUUCUUGUUGGAGUACAUUAGGUGACUAUUCAUAACGUAUCAAAUUAAAGAGUCAAGUGCAUCAAUGAAGGCAUAUGUAGAAAAUUUGUUUGUGACAUGUACCAUAAAGAUAAGAUUGACUUGAUAGAAUUUAGUCUAAGUAGGAGUUGUUAAAGGUGUCUUAAAUUUCUAAUUGAUGUAUAUUUUUUUCUAAAAAAAUAUUAUAUAGAUAUUUUAAUAAAUGAUUAAUUCUUUGUAAAAAUACUUACAUAAUAAAAAACAUCAUUAAAAAUAUCUUUAUAAAUAUUUUAAGUUACAAGAAGGAAAAAAACCACUGUGAGAUAAUGAUGAACAUGCAACACUGUACCAAGUAAAUAAAAAUGUGAUAAAAAAAAAAGAGAAACACUCGAUAAAGGAAGGCUCGUAUAUAAAGAGUAAUAUUUUUAAUCAUAUGAUAGAAUGAUUUUCUCUCAUUCAUGAAUAUAGGCAAGAUUGGGGAACCAUUAUAAAAUUUUGUACACCUCGUGUAAAUUGAUGUUUGUCUUCAUAUUUUACACCAACAAAUGACAUUGAAGUUGUCAUUGAUAAAAGGGAAAAGGCAUGCCUCCACACCAUGUGCUUGAUUCGAAUGGUUCAAGUUUGAAGAAUUUUCUCCGGAAGAUCUAAAACAUUUUCGCCUUUAAAUUUCAUUUGAUUAUUAAUAUCCGAAAAAAUAGUUAAAUACUCUUUCUAUUUUUGAGUUGUUGAAUUUUUUGAAAGUUUUUAUAUUUGUUAUCAAGAAUUUCUAUUUUAUUAAGGGUGAAUAUUUAUAAAUAAGAUAUUAUAUAAUAUUUGGAUAAGAGAGAAUGGUGGAAUAUAAUAAAGUUUUAAUCCUUCCCAAUUUUGAACCUUUUUUUUUUUUUUUGAUAUAAUCGCCUUUCUCUUGCAAUCCUAUUAUCAGGUACCUUAUAUUUGCUGAUGCUAUCUGGAACUAAAUUCCAAUCAGGCAUUGUCCAAUUACUAAUAGGACAGAUCAUAUCUCUCUGUUUCUAAACUAACAUGUAUCGUAAUGUGACCUCAUAAGGAAGGCUAGGAAGAUGGAGGAUUUUGUGGGAAGCGACCAGAAUCAGAUGGAAGAGAGAUAGCCCUGUUGACCUAAUGGCUGUAAUAGGAGAAGCGUGUGGUUUUAUGGGACUUAACUGAUACUAAACCUGUAUGAUGCUUGGAGUGGUGUUUCUUUCAUUUUGUUAAGAAAAUAUGGCAGCAUACAUGCUUUCAACUGAGUGCAUCAGAGCAUCCAUAACAGAUGGUCUGCAACCCUAGGUGCAUGCCACUUUCUGACUGAUAAUGAAAUUGUCAGGUACCUGGCCUUGACUAAGCUCAACAGCAUCACAUAAAGAGAAGCUUUCAUACUUAGAUUACUGUUUAAAGUUUUUGCUUAUUUGAUUUCUUAAUGCCAUUAUGACAUUAUUGAUUCAAUUCUGCUUCCGAUUUUCGAAGUUCUGGGCAUCUACUGAUUGCAUCAUUAUAUGAGAAGUUGCAUGAGUUUAUGUAUCCUGUUAUUGUUCCUUUGCGAUUUCACUGCUCACGGGACUAACCUCUCCAUUCAGUCGAAAUGAAUUGUAAUUUCUUUACUGGUAGCAGUAGUACUUUUCAUAGCAAAGAUAAUAGAAAAUAUGAAAUAUAAAUAGAAGGAAAUCUGGAUUGUAGAUAGCACCAUAAGUAACACUCAAUAUUCACUACAUAAUAAAUAGACAGUGUUACAUAGGUAGAGAAACCUACAAUGAGUACUCAUCACCAUUCUCAAACAGAAACAUAGCAGCGACUUAUACAUAGAACCUAUAGGCUCGCAGGGAAAGAGUAACAUGAUAAGUUCACAGCGGGUAGCAGCUCUUAUUUUACGUAUUACUCAAAAUCUCAAACUAACCAAAGUCACUCAGUUGGGAUGGGUAGGAGAUGGUGGUUUGUGGGGUGGCUUCUGGGUAGGAGCUGGUGGCUUCUUUGUUGGAGUUGAAGGAGGCAUAUUCUUCUGAGGUGGCUUGUAUGACUCUUCGGCACUCUCUGCAGGAGGGUGCCCAGGGUUGUGACCAGAAGGAGGUGGCUUCUGUCCCUUUGGUGGUUUGCCUAAUGGGCUUGGUGGCUUGUGCUCCGGGAGUUGUUUCUCUCCCUCGAGUAGGUUUCGAGUUUUGUCAGAUGGCUUGUGUUCUGGUGGUGGCUUCUCUCCCUGGGGUGGUUUGCCGAAUGGGCUUGGUGGCUUGUGUUCGGGGAGUGGCUUCUCUCCCUGGAGAAGGUUACGAGUUUUGUCAGAUGGCUUUUGUUCUGGUGGCGGCUUCUCUCCCUGGGGUGGUUUGCCAAAUGGGCUUGGUGGCUUGUGUUCGGGAACUGGCUUCUCUCCCUUGGGAGGUUCAUUUGGUGGCUGGUGUUCCGUAGGUGGUUCCUUCACCGGCGGCUUGUGCUCCGGAAGCGGCUUCUCUACCUGGAGAAGCUUACGAGUUUUGUCAGAUGGCUUGUGUUGUGGUGGUGGCUUCUCUCCCGGGGGUGGUUUGCCAAAUGGACUUGGUGGCUUGUGUUCGGGGAGUGGCUUCUCUCCAUGGGGAGGUUUAGUUGGUGGUUGGUGUUGCGUAGGUGGUUUCUGAAGUGGGGGAUGCUUGGGGUAGUCAGCAAUAGACGAGGUAGUGAGAACCACCAGUCCCAACAGCAACACUAGCAAGGAUGUUGAAGACAUCUUUGAGUUCAGGCUGAGAUCUGUGCAAGGAUAAAAGAUUUAGGUGGCCUUUUAUAGAGGGCUGGACCCAACACCCAUAUGACACGUGUCAUGCACUCAUGGUGACACAUAAUUCUAUGGGACCAUUUGGGUCCUACAGAAGUUGCAAAGUUGGACUAUUGAGGUGUGAUCACAACUUUUGUCCUACUUGCUUUCUCUGCGGCCAUUGCACGAUUUCCUUUAGCAUCAUUUUCUUGUCUAAAUAAGCGUAUUAUAUUUGUGGCAGACCGUCCACGUGUCAUAAACAGAUAUAUUAUAAUAAUGUAGUAUGCUUUUCUUCAACGGAACUUGACACUCUUCUAAGUCUUGUUUUAAAUACUGUGCAGGAUUACGUCAUAAGUUGCUUGUUCCAAGUCAAAAUUGGUGGGCAAACGUUGGCCUUUUUUCAUUUUCCCUAAUAUUAAUGCUCACCUGGGAUAGGCACUACAUGAUUUAUCUGCUCUUUUACUGUGAAGUUGCUUUGUGCAUGAGUUACACCUCCCCUGCACACCCUCAACAUUUGUUGCUCUGUUUUUCUUGUGUCCAGACGAGGAUAUUAAUUGGAGGCUGACAAAACGACUGCUAGCCAAGGAUUUACAAGGUCCUGGUUUGAGGCUUUCACGAAAGUAUUUUUGAAAAGAUACACAUAGAGAUUGCGCGUUCGGUGCAAUGCAACAAUGUGAGCCAUUCUGAAGUCUUAAAUUUCAGAUUAAUGAAUGCUACAAAAUUCUAAGAAGGGCCGUUUCCAAAUAUUUGAGUUCAUUCAUCCGAACAUCGGGUAUAUGCUUCUUUCUCUAGCCCCUCCUUGAAGGGAGGAGGGACAAUGUGAUCUGUAUCGUUAGAAGCUAUUCCAUGUCGUCAUCUUUGGGCUCAGUUCAAUACUAAAAGAUAUGGGCGGGGCCCUUAUCAUUUUAUAUUUCUUCUAGAAGGUUUAUUCUGGAAAUCUUUCACAGAAACAUAUCUUUUUCUUCUCUACGUGAUCCGUGGUUUGAAAGUUGGAAAAAUGGGUCCGUUAACAAGCCACCGAGUUGAAAAGUUGGAAAAAUGGCAACACCGCCAACCUCUUGUAUUCGAUAGUUAAAUAAAAGGUCACUGGAAGUGAGAUCCCUUUUGGCCUCUUGAUUUUCAUUCCAGCAUCUCUAUGGCCUGAUAAAUUAAAAAACUAAAAAAAAAGACAGUACGUGGGUUGGUGUUAAGCAUCAAGAGUCAAGACAUGAUAAUGGAGAGAAAGGAUAUUCAAAUUCCAGUUCUGACAACAUGAUUUUCUUUGCUGAACUACCAUAUUAUAUUUGAUCAAGAAAGAGUAGUGCAUGUGGCCAGGAUCAAGACAUACAUUAAUUUCCACAUGAUGAAGACAGUUUCUGAGAGUUUCUUCUAAAGCUCUUGCGCGAGUAGGCUUCAAGUCAAAAUCUCCCAUGUAAACACUGGUUUUUCUUUCAUUGCCACUAAGGAUGCAGUUAAUAUUGACUUAAGAUCCUACGUGAUAUAUUUUUUUAAAAGAGCUAUAUUGUAGAUAAUAUUUGAAAUAAUGUUGAUUCGUUGUGGAAAUAUAUUUGUAAGGAAAGUUGUUGACAAUUUAAUAUAGUAUAAGAAGAAAAAAGUUAUCAACUAGCUAGAGAUGAGUAUGUAAAGUGAGGCUCACGAUUCAACGCGUAAAUAUAAGAUAUUUUAAGGCUCAAUAGUUAUGAUAUCUAUUUUAUUUUUUGUAUCUCAUAUAUUCAAAGAUAUAGUAAAAUGAUUUUACAUAUAUAUAUAUAUAUAUAUAUGAACAUAACUAUUUGUGCCAAUUGAUUUUUAUCUUUAUUUUGUAUAUUAGUAAUUAUAUUAAAGUUUUUACUAAUAUAAUAACUAAUAUAAAAGCUUUUUCUAAAAGAGUCAACAGAGCAAAACACUUAUUAUAAAAAAUAAUUUUGAUUGAAGGUGGAGUCAAUUAUUCUUUAUUUAACAUGUAAUGCAUACGGCGUGUACUUCAUAACUAAAGUAUAUAAGUGUAACAUCUCUUAUAUAUUCUCAUUCAAUCUCGAAAGUGGAAAUUUUAAAAAGAUUAAACGGUUCAAAUUUGUCGUGCAUAAAGGGGAUCAUGUCACAUAAGCAAACCAUGGCAUACCAAAGACAUAGGUAUGGACUAAGAAUUUUUUUCAAAUAAGUUUCUUAUUAGGGUACAUUAAUAGGUGACUUUUUAUGACAUAUCAAAGGAGUCAAGUGCACCAAUAAAAACAUAUAUAGAAAAUUCAUGCAUGACAUGUAUCACUAAGAGAAGAUUGACUUGAUAGAGUUUAAUCCAAAUAGGAGAUUGUUAAAAGGUGUCUCAAAUUCUUGAUUGAUAUAUAUUUUUUUUAUUAAAAAGGUUAUUAUAUAGAUAUUUCAAUAGACUAUUAAUUCUUUGUAAAAAUAGUUAUAUAAUGAGGAUGGUGAUUAAAAAUAUCUCUAUCAAUAUUUUGGAUUAUAAAAAGAAAAAAAAUGAGAUAAUGAUAAACAUAUAAAACUUGUACAAGUAGAUAAAGAUGUGAUGAAAGACACUUGAUGAAUGAAGGCUUUGUAUUUCAAGAUAUAAAUAUAUGGAGCAAAACUCUUAAUUAUAUGAUCAAAUGAUUCUCUCAUAUUCAUGAAUAUAAGCAGGAUUGGGGAACCAUGAUAGAAUCUUAUAUGCCUCUCCAUGUAGAGUGAUCGAUGUUUAUCUUCAUAUUUUACACCAGUGAAUGACAUUGAAACUCUUAUUGAUAAAAGGGAAAAGGCAUGGCCUCCACCCCAAGAAAAACAAGUAACCUCGGUUUAAAUCACUAGUCUACACCCCGAAGAGAGAACUAGCCAAACCUACUAAAAGAGAAACUUAACAAUUUAGAAAGAAACCGUCCAUGAUAAAGGGCCCCUAAAGGUCCAAUUCAGUGAGGUCGUGAACAAAAACACUUUCAUGUCAAAACAGAGAUAGGUACCACCAAAAUGUAAAGGGAAAGAUGUAAACCACGUCGAACUUUGGUAAUCAAUGGUAAAGAUAGCAUGAUAGCUAAAAGCACUAAAGCUGUGCUUGGUAUGCAAAAAUGAAAAGUGGAAAUCAGCGUCUUAUUCUUUUUCACCUUUAUUCACAUAUUAGGAUAACUAAUAUCUAAUGUUUUUUAUGUCUCAAAUUCUAUUCCAUGUUAUGGUAAACUUUCAUCUUGUUUAGAUCACUUUUGUCUGGUUUGGGCUCAAGACGAUAAGCCUAUAGAGACUUCAUAUUGGGUUGAAUCGAUGCCCUUGAUCUGAUCUGUUCGUUAGAAAAAUCUGAAUUAUUAUAAGCAUUUAGAUAAAAAAUAAAUAAAUGUGAAACACAAACUACUCCCUGCACAACCUUGACCCUAGUUACUCAGUUUCACUGCUCACAGGACUAACCUCUCCAUUCAGUCGAAAUGAAUUGUAACAAGAAGAUUUUUGACAGGAGGACGGUAGUUUAAAAUAAUAAUUUCUAAAGUACUUUUGUGAAAAAAAAUAAUUCCAAACGUGGAUUUUAUCAAGUAAAAAGAAAAAAAAAAGUUAUUUUCUUUUAAAAUCUGUUCUUCUAAAGAUGAUAUAUAUACCAAAAAAAAAAAUUGUUUUCUGAAGGUAAAAUUUUUAAAAUUCAUUUUUAAAAAAAUUUACACACUAAAAUUAUCUUUUCAAGAGAAGAUUUUUUUAAUUUUAAAUAAUUAUUAAUUUAUAAUUAAUUUGUUAUUAAUUAUUUAUUAAUUUUUUUAUUUGAAAAAUGCAUUUAUAAAAAACAAAUUUGUUAUUAAUUUAUUAAAUAAUUUUUACAAAAUAAAUAAUUUUUUUUUAUUUUAAUUUUAAAAUUAAUUUUAUUAUAUAAAUUUUAAAAUUAAAAAUAUUAAUAUUUAAUUUAAAAUUUAACUAUAAAAGGAAUAAAAUAUAGAAAAAUAAAUUAAUUUAUUAUUCAAUAAAUUAAUUUUCAAUAAAAUUUUCAGCAUUAAGAGAUAAAUUUUUAAGUAUUAAUCAAUUUAAAAAGAAAUAAUGAUCAUUUGUAUAUUAAGAUAUUUUAUUUAGUAAUUAUGAAUGAUAAACAACUAAAGUAAUUUGAAAAAAUAAUAAAAUAUUUAAAAAAUAAUAAUUUAAUACACGUAAAAUUAGAAAUGAUUAACUAUUUUUUAUUAAGAAAAAAUUGAGGAAAUAUUUUGUUAUUUAAAAUUUUUUAUUUGUUUUCAAUUUUUAAUGUUAUAGGUUUCAAGAAAAUUGAUCAAAUAAAAAUUAAGAAGUCAUUUUUUCAAAAACUAUAUAUCUAAAUAAAAGCCUUGAAAUUCAAAUACACAAUAUCAUAAAUAUAAACACCAAGUCAAUCCUUAAUUAUCAAAUGUUUUUAAUAUUAAAGAAUCAAAAUCACCUACUAUCAUGAUAAUAAGAAAACCAAUAAUAUUGUUCAUAUAAAUACUAAAAAGCUAACAAAUAUCCCAAACAAUUAAUAAAGUAUCAAACAUGAUAAAAAGUCAAUUAUUAUCAUGAAUGCAAAAAAUCAAUAAUUUUGUUUAUAUGAACCAUCAACAAAGAAAAAAAAAAUCAAUAUCUAAAUAUUAAACAUAAUUUAUAUUUUUAUAAAUAUUAUUGUUGAUAAAUAUCUUAACAAUUAUAAUUUUAGUAAAUAAAAUUAAUUAAUUUUAGUUUAAGAAUUAUUUUUUUAUACUUUCGUAUUCUUAUCAAAAAUCCCCAUUUUGCAUGUCUCCUUUGGCAUGACUUUCUUACCUAAACAAGCAUAUAUAUAUAUAUAUAUAUAUAAAAUAUUUGGUUAAGAAAGAGUACUAAAGUUUAUAUGGCACACAUCAAGAUAGAAACAGAAGUGGAAGAUAAUCCAAAUGUAUGAACAGAUAUAUUAUAUCCAUGUAGUGGUAGUGACUUCAUUAUUUACUUUUAUCUAAUGGAGCAUGACACACUUCUUCUGAAUAUUUUGCACGAUUAUGUUAUGUGUCAGCUUGUUCUAAGUCAAAACUAGUGAUAAAAAUCGGUUUUUUUUGCAUUUCCUUCAUGAAGAUGGCACCUGGAUGGGGCACUACAUGAGUGGCAUAGCACGAAGUGAUUUAUCUGCUCCCUUUACUAUAAAGUGCUUUGUGUAUAAGUUACACCUCCCCUGCACUGCCUCAACAUUUGUUGUUCUGUCUUCCGUCUGUCCAAACGAGGACAAACGUAUGUUGUAGGUUGACAAAACCACAGCUAGCCUAGGAUUUGCAAGGAUCUAGUUUGAUUCGUAUGCAAAAGGAUUGGUGAAAAGAUUCACAAAGAUAAUGCUUUUUGCAAUGCAAUCUUGUUCUAAUUCAACAGUGUGGACCAUUUUCAUGUAAUGCUUCAACUAGAUGUCAGUUUCAUGAAUUUUUGUUCAUCUAAUUGAUCACUGGAUAGGCCAUAACCCGAAGAAAUUCAAAAUUCCCUUCAGUACUGUAGCUAAGGAAAGAUCCCUAUCUACCACUGGGAUUUUAAGAGGGUAAAAAUGUAGGUGGGUGCCUAUAUCAUUUGCACUUCACUAUAGGCCUCUUUGGGAAGAUUUCUUCUGAAGACAUUUCAAAGAAACAUAUUUUUCUCUUCUCUCCGUAAACGGCAGCUGCAAGUCAGUCCAUUCACAGGCCACCGAGUUGAAAAGGCUGGAAAAUUGGCCAAAGCACCCGCCUCCUGGAUUCCAUGGGUAAGGAAAAGGUCACUGGAGGUGUGAUCCCUGUUGGCCUCUUGAUUUCCAUUCCGCCAUCUAUAUGACCUGAUAACCCAAAAACACAGAAGGAAAACGUCACCUGGGUUCAUAGUAAGCAUCAAGUCAUGAUAGAGACCAGACAACAUGACCAACAAAGAGUAGCGAAUGGGGCCAACAUCAAGCCCCAUUACGGUUAGAAGAUGGAAGAAGUAGAAGACAAUCCAAUUCUGAUAGAUUCGGGCAAAUGUAGUGCUGUUCAAACUUAAUCAUUUACUAUUUCUUCAUGAAUCACGGCAUUUUUCUUCUGAAAAUUUUCCAAGAUUAGGCCUCUGAAGAAAAAUUUCAUAUGUAAAUUGGUAUAUUAAGGAAAAGGCGUUACAAAGGUGAAAAAAAACCAAUCAAAUCUUAUAUAUGACAUCUCAAAAAUAUGAACUUGCUAUAAAUAUUUAAAAUCAAAAUCUUGCACAUCACCUCGUAGUACGAACUUGCUAUAAAACUUGAAAAUCAAGAAGAAAGGGGCAGUAUUGGACGAGACUACUUAGCACAUAUUAUUAUGAUGUUUUUUCAUUUUCUUAAUGUUGUUUUUAUGUCUUAAAUUCUAUUAUUCUAUGUUACGGUAAACAUUCAUCUUGUUUGUGUGGAAUAGGAUCACUUUUCUCUGGGUUGAGUCGAUGCCCUUAGUUAAUUUGUUCAUUUGAAUAAACUAAAUUAUUAUAAGUAUUUAGAUAAGAAAAACGUGAUACAUAAAUUACGCCUCUCGGCACAACUUCAACACUGGUUACUCUGUUUCAGUUUCCUCACACAAGAUUAUUGGUUCUAGGGUUUAUUUGGUUUUGGUUUGAUUCUAAUUGCUAAACUUUCUCAAGGAAGAUGUUAUAUAGGGAGUGAGAAACCUUCACUCUUGGCUACCUCCAAGAGAAGAGCAAGUGGUCUGAAUCAAAGAUAUACUGCUCACUUUUUCUUCUUCUAAGGACAGCUAUGACCUUGCUUUAAGGUUCGAAUAGCCUAAUGCAACCUCCCAUUUCUCAAGUCAGCUGAUGAUGUAAGUCACCUUGGCUUUCCACAUUCAUACGGUGAGGACGUUUGUGGGUGUAAUUCUCUUAACAGUUUUCAUUUUAUAUGGAAAAAUUCAUAAUUAAGGGUAAUUACUGAUUCCAUUUGACAGUGACCAAGUUUAAAAUAUUAAUUCAUAUAUUAAAUGCACAUUAAAAAAUCAUGGAAUAAAUAUAUUUACUAAUAUAUAGUUCUUUUGCCAUGUUCUGUCACAGAAGCAUCGAACUUUCCCUAGAAAUUUUUGCAUGGUAUUCUACUUAUGAUUUUGAAAACUCUAGGCACCUGAGGCCACUAAUUGCAUGGUUGGAUGAGGAGCUGCAUGAGAUUAUGUAUCGUGUUGUUCCUUAACUACAAAUAUCAGUUUUAAGUAGCAUCUCCAUGUGACAUUUUCCUGAUGCAAUUUCGCUGUCCACCAACAAAUUUCACCAUGCAGCAAGAUGAAUUGUAAUUUCUUUAUUGUUAUCAACAGCUUUAAUUAAUCUUGAUAUAUAUAUAUAACUUAGUAGAAGUAUAUUAAUCUAGAUUGUAGUUGCACUAAGAUAAUAGGCAAUAUUAUAACAGUGCCACAAUGCUCAUCGCCAAAUAGAAAGGUAGAAAAACUACAAUGAGUAACUCACAACAUUCUCAAACAGGACAUAGCGGCGACUGAUACAUAGAACACUAUUGGCACUCAGGAAAUGAUAAGAUCAGUGCCCAGCAGGCAGCACGUCUUAUUUUACAUACUACUUAAAACUAACCAAAGUCAUUCAGUUGGGAUGGGUGGGAGAUGGUGGUUUGUGCGGUGGCUUUUGGGUAGUUGGUGGCUUCUUUCCUGGAACUGAUGGUUUUUUUGUUGGAGUUGAAGGAGGCUUAAUCGUCUGAGGUGGCUUGUAUGAGUCUUCAGCACUCUCUGCGGGAGGGUGCCCAGGGUUGUGACCAUAAUGGGGUGGCUUCUCUCCCUUAGUUGGUUUGCCAAGUGGGCUGGCUGGCUUGUGCUCCGGGAGCGGCUUCUCUCCCUUAGGUGGUUUGCCAAAUGGGCUUGCUGGCUUGUGCUCUGGGAGCGGCUUCUCUCCCUCAAGAAGUUUACGGGUUUUGUCAGAUGGCUUGUGUUCUGGUGGUGGCUUCUCUCCUUGGGGUGGUUUGCCAAAUGGACUUGGUGGCUUGUGUUCGGGGAGUGGCUCCUCUCCCUUGGGAGGUUUAGUUGGUGGCUGGUGUUCCAUAGGUGGUUUCUCAACCGGGGGCUUGUUCUCCGUUGGUGGUUUAUGAACUGGGGGAUGCUUGGGGUAGUCAGCAAGAGACGGGGUGGUGAGAACCACCAGUCCCAGCAGCAACACUAGCAAGUAUGUGGAAGAGUACAUCUUUGAGUUCAGGCUGAGAUUUGUGCGAGACUUGAAGAAUUAGGUGGCCUUUUAUAGCUGGCUGCACCCAACACUCACAUGACACGUAUCAUGGUGACACAUGUGCUAUGGGUCCAUUUGGGUCCUACAGAAGCUGAAAACUUUUGACUAUUGAGGUGUGGUCACAACUUUUGUCCCUAUUGCUUUCUCCGCAACCGUUUUACAUGUUUCCUUUGGCAUAAUUUUCUAAGCUAAACAAGCAUAUAUCAUAUUUGGUUAAGAAAGAGUAAAGUGUAUAUGGCACACAUCAAGGAAGAGAAACAGAAAAAGUGGGAGACAAUCAAUUGUGAUAAACAGAUAUAUUAUAUUCAUGUAGUACUAGUGACUUUAUCAUUUACUUUUAUCCAAUAGAUCAUCACUCUUUCUUCUAAAUAUUUUGGAGGAUAAUGGUACAUGUUGCUUGUUUCCAAGUCAAAAUUGGUGGCAAAAAUCGGCAUGAUACGAAAGGAUUGGUGAAAAGAUUCACAUAGAUGGUGCUUUGUGCAAUGCAGUCUUGCUCUAAUUCAACAGAGUGGACCAUGGUGAUGUAUUUUAAAUUUUAAAUUUUAAAUUAAUGCAUGCUUCAAAGUUUUAACUAGAUGUCACUUCCAUGGAUUUUUGUUCAUUUAAUUGAGCACAGGAUAGGCUAUCAAACUUGAAGUAAUAUAAAAAUCCCUUCAUUACUGUAACUAAUGAAAGAUCAUUAUCUGCGCUUGGUAUUUUGCCAAGGUAUUUGCUGCUCUUUCUAGCCCUGUCUUACAGUUAAGGACAAUGUGAUCUAGUUAACCUUAGAAGCUAUUCCAUGUCAGAUACAAGAGAUCAAGCACAUUAUCUUUGGGCUCAGUUCAAAACUAUAAUAUAUGGGUGGGGUGGAGGCCCAUAUCAUUUGCAUAUCACCACUAUUGGUUUAGUUUGGAAGGUUUCUUCUGGAAGAUUGCUGCUUUCUGGAAUCAUUUCAAAGAAAUAUAUCUUUUUGUUCUCUUGGUGACGAGCAGCGGCAAUCAAGUCUGUUGACAAACAACCGAGUUGAAAAGUUUGAAAAUUGGUCACAGCCCACGUCCAUGGUUAAGGAAAAGGUCACUGGAAGUGAUCCCUUCUGGGCCUCUUGAUUUCCAUUCUGACAUCUAUAUGACCUGAUAAAUAGAAAGAAAAAAAAACAGAAGAAAAGCGGCACCCGGGUUCAUAGUAAGCAUCAAGACAGGAUACUGAAAGAAGGGAGAAAGGAGAUUGCAAGUCCAAUCCUGAUAAAAUGAUCAACAAAGAGUAUCAAAAUGGGGCCAACAUAAAGACCCAUUGAGGUUAGCAGAUGGCAUGGCAUUUUUCUCCUUAAGUUUUCCAUGAUUAGACUUGAAGUCAAAAUUUCACAUGUAAAUUUGUAUUUCUACAUUUCCCACUGACGACACCCAACUUCAACUUGAGUUAGAAUAACAUUGUGUGAACUUAUCUGGCCCUCAAAAUUUACUGUGAAGUGCUUUCUGCGUGUGAAGAUUCAGAAAAGCACCAAGGGAACAUGUAUGGUCUGCCUUUUUCUGAUGUUAUGUUUGUCUCUAAUUCUGUUCCAUGUCAUGGUAAAUGUUCACAUUGCUUGUAUGGAACACACCAGGAUCACUUUUUCGGGUUUAUUUUGAGGCUUCAUAUUGGGUUCAUAUUGGGUUCAAUGCUUUUAAUGUGUUCAUUAGACAAAUCUGAAUUAUCAUAUGCAUUUAGAUAAGAACAAUAAUGUGAAACCCUAGUUACACCUCCCCUGCAUAACCCCAACCCUGCUUACUCUAUUUCAGUUUACUCACACAAGUUUUACCGGUUCUUAUAAGUCAAGAAAAGGCAACUGAUGUUGGAUUGACUCUCUUCCAUGUAUAAAAAGCAACUUUUAUAUAUACAUAAAAUAACUUCUUCCCCUCACCAAUGUGGGAUAUCAUGGAUUUAUUCUGGAAACACAUCAAAGGAACAUCUUUUCUCUUGGGUGACCCUAAGUGGUGAGUCAGACCAUUUGCAUGCCAUUGAGUUGCACAGUUGGAUAAAUGCACCUACCUCCUGGGCUCCAGAGUUAAAAGGGUGGAUCCCUGGAUCGCAACCCUCUUGGCAUCUUGGUUUCCAUUCCAACAUCCACAUGACUUGACAAAACAAAAAACAGAAUAAAAUCAUCACUAUUUUCAUGCUAAGCACCAAUACAUGAUGGAAAUCAUUGCUUAAAGAUUUGGGGUCAUUUAGGUUUUGACUGCCUCCUAACACCUCACCUAAUCACAAGUUUUUAUGCUUACAAAUCAAAUAUCGUUCUUCAUUAUAUUAAAAUCAUUUUAAGAUUUCAGAUCCAUCUGCUAAUUAUGAUUAUGAUAACAUUAAUUCACCUGUGCUUCUCAUUUUCGACACACAAGGCAUCUAGGUUUGCAGGAUUUCCUUAUUAGAUGAGAUAAAUGAGUACGCAUGGUUAUGUAUGCAGCAUUCAUUAACCAUGGUAUGUGACAUUUAGAAUUAAGAUAGCAAGCAAACUUUCCCUGCAGCUUGAGUAAAUUGUGAUUUCUUAGCCUCUAUGAGUGGUUCCCAAAUCAAAUUAACAUAGUGAAAUAUACGUAGUCCAGUGAAAGGAAAUGUAAAUUAUAAACUAACAGCACUACACUACUGGUAACACUCGAUACUCUCUAUAUAAUGCAAUGAAAUAUACGUUAUACGUUGCUUGUUCCAAGUCAAAAUUUGUGGCCAAACGUUGGCCUUUUUUCAUUUUCCCUAAGAUUAAUGCUCACCUGGGAUAGGCACUACAUGAUUUAUCUGCUCUUUUACUGUAAAGUUGCUUUGUGUAUGAGUUACACCUCCCCUGCACACCCUCAACAUUUGUUGCUCUGUUUUCCUUGUGUCCAGACGAGGAUAUUAAGUGGGGGCUGACAAAACGACUGCUAGCCAAGGAUUUACAAGGUCCUGGUUUGACGCUUCCGCGAAAGUAUUUUUGAAAAUAUACACAUAGAGAUUGCGCGUUCGGUGCAAUGCAACAAUGUGAGCCAUUCUGAAGUUUUUAAUUUCAGAUUAAUGAAUGCUACAAAAUUCUAAGAAGGGCCGUUUCCAAAUAUUUGAGUUCAUUUAUCCGAACAUCGGAUAAGUAAUGAUCAUAGAUUAUUAUUAUUAUCUGACGUUCUUAUAAUGGUUGGCAUUAUAAGAGGGUAUAUGCUUCUUUCUCUAGCCCCUCCUUCAAGGGAGGGACAAUGUGAUCUGUAUCGUUAGAAGCUAUUCCAUGUCGUCAUCUUUUGGCUUAAGUCAAUACUAAAAUAUAUGGGCGGGGCCCCUGUCAUUUUAUAUUUCUUCUAGAAGGUUUGUUCUGGAAAUCUUUCACCGAAACAUAUCUUUUUCUUCUCUACGUGAUCCGUGGUUGGAAAGUUAGAAAAAUGGGUCCGUUCACAAGCCACCGAGUUGAAAAGUUGGAAAAAUGGCAACACCGCCAACCUCUUGUAUUCGAUAGUUAAAUAAAAGGUCACUGGAAGUGAGAUCCCUUUUGGCCUCUUGAUUUUCAUCCCAGCAUCUCUAUGUCCUGAUAAACUAAAAAACUAAAAAAAAAACAGUACGUGGGUUGGUGUUAAGCAUCAAGAGUCAAGACAUGAUAAUGGAGAGAAAGGAUAUUCAAAUUCCAGUUCUGACAACAUGAUUUUCUUUCCUGAACAACCAUGUUAUAUUUGAUCAAGAAAGAGUAGUGCAUGUGGCCAGGAUCAAGACAUACAUUAAUUUCCACAUGAUGAAGACAGUUUCUGAGAGUUUCUUCUAAAGCUCUUGCGCUAGUAGGCUUCAAGUCAAAAUUUCCCAUGUAAACACUGGAUUUUCUUUAAUUGCCACUAAGGAUACAGUUAAAAUUGACUUAAAAUCCUACGUGAUAUAUAUCUUUAACAAAAGUAUAUUGUAUAUAAUAUUUGAAAUAAUGUUGAUUCGUUGUGGAAAUAUGUUUGUAAGGAAAGUUGUUGACAAUUUAAUAUAGUAUAAGAAGAAAAAAGUUAUCAACUAGAGAUGAGUAUGUAAAGUGAGGCUCACGAUUCAACGCGUAAAUAUAAGAUAUUUUAAGGCUCAAUAGUUAUGAUAUCUAUUUUAUUUUUUGUAUCCCAUAUAUUCAAAGAUACAGUAAAAUGAUUUUAUAUAUAUGAACAUAGCCGAUAGUAUCAUGUUAAAACCUUAUAUGACUCUUUGUGCCAAUUGAUUUUUAUCUUUAUUUUGUGUAUUAGUAAUUAGUAUUAAAGUUUUUACUAACAUAAUAAUUGAUAUAAAAGCUUUUUCCAAAAGAGUCAAACAGAGCAAAACACUUAUUAUAAAAAGAAUUUUGAUUGAAGGUGGAGUCAAUUAUUCUUUAUUCAACAUGUGAUGCAUACAGCGGGUACUUCAUAACUAAAGUAUAUAAGUGCAACAUCUCUUAUACAUUCUCAUUCAAUCUCGAAAGUGGAAAAUUUUAAAAGAUUAAAUGGUUCAAAUUUUCCGUGCAUAAAGGGGAUCAUGUCACAUAACCAAACCAUGGCAUACCAAAGCCAUGAUAUGGACUAAGAAUUUUGUUAAAAUAAGUUUCUUAUUAGGGCACAUUAUGUGACUAUUUAUGACAUAUCAAAGGAGUCAAGUGCAUCAAUAAAGACAUAGAAAAUUCAUGCAUCACAUGUACCACUAAGAGAAAAUUGACUUGAUAGAGUUUAGUCCAAAUAGGAGAUUGUUAAAAGGUGCAUCAAAUUCUUGAUUGAUAUAUAUUUUUUUUAUUAGAAAGGUUAUUAUAUAGAUAUUUCAAUAGACUAUUAAUCCUUUGUAAAAAUAGUUAUAUAAUGAGGAUGGUGAUUAAAAAUAUCUCUAUCAAUAUUUUGGAUUAUAAAAAGAAAAAAAAUAUGAGAAAAUGAUAAACAUAUAAAACUUGUACAAGUAGAUAGAGAUGUGAUGAAAGACACUUGAUGAAUGGAGGCCUUGUAUUUCAAGAUGUAAAUAUAUGGAGCAAAACUCUUAAUUAUAUGAUCAAAUGAUUCUCUCAUAUUCAUGAACAUAAGCAGGAUUGGGGAACCAUGAUAGAAUCUUAUAUGCCUCUCCAUGUAGAUUGAUCGAUGUUUAUCUUCAUAUUUUACACCAAUGAAUGACAUUGAAACUCUGAUUGAUAAAAGGGAAAAAGCAUGGCCUCCACCACAAGAAAAACAAGUAACCUCGGUCUAAAUCACUAGUCUACACCCCGAAGAGAGAACUAGCCAAACCUACUAAAAGAGAAACUUACCAAUUUAGAAAGAAAUCUUCCAUGAUAAAGGGCCCCUAAAAGUCCAAUUCAGUCAGGUUGUGAACAAAAACACCUUCAUGUCAAAACAGGAAUAGGUACCACCAAAAUGUAAAGGGAAAGAUGUAAACCAAGUCGAACUUUGGUAAACAAUGGUAAAGAUAGCAUGAUAGCUAAAAGCACUAAAGCUGUGCUUGGUAUGCAAAAAUGAAAAGUGGAAAUCAGCGUCUUAUUCUUUUUCUCCUUUAUUCACAUAUUAGGAUAACUAAUAUCUAAUGUUUUUUUUAUGUCUCAAAUUCUAUUCCAUGUUAUGGUAAACUUUCAUCUUGUUUAAGUGGAAGAGUAGGAUCACUUUUGUCUGGUUUGGGCUCAAGACGAUAAGCCUAUAGAGACUUCAUAUUGGGUUGAAUUGAUGCCCUUGAUCCGAUCAGUUCGUUAGAAAAAUCUGAAUUAUUAUAAGCAUUUAGAUAAAAUAAAUAAAUAAAUGUGAAACAGAGACUAUUCUCUGCACAACCUUGACCCUAGUUACUCAGUUUCACUGCUCACGGGACUAACCUCUCCAUUCAGUCGAAAUGAAUUGUAAUUUCUUUACUGGUAGCAGUAGUACUUUUCAUAGCAAAGAUAAUAGUAAAUAUGAAAUAUAAAUAUAUAGAAGGAAAUCUGGAUUGUAGAUAGCACCAUAAGUAACACUCAAUAUUUACUACAUAAUAAAAGAGAUAGUGUUACAAAGGUAGAGAAACCUACAAUGAGUACUCAUCACCAUUCUCAAACAGAAACAUAGCAGUGACUUAUACAUAGAACCUAUAGGCUCGCAGGGAAAGAGUAACAUGAUAAGUGCACAGCGGGUAGCAGCUCUUAUUUUACGUAUUACUCAAAAUCUCAAACUAACCAAAGUCACUCAGUUGGGAUGGGUAGGAGAUGGUGGUUUGUGGGGUGGCUUCUGGGUAGGAGCUGGUGGCUUCUUUGUUGGAGUUGAAGGAGGCGUAAUCUUCUGAGGUGGCUUGUAUGAGUCUUUGGCACUCUCUGCAGGAGGGUGCCCAGGGUUGUGACCGGAAGGAGGUGGCUUCUGUCCCUUUGGUGGUUUGCCUAAUGGGCUUGGUGGCUUGUGCUCCGGGAGUUGUUUCUCUCCCUCGAGUAGGUUUCGAGUUUUGUCAGAUGGCUUGUGUUCUGGUGGUGGCUUCUCUCCCUGGGGUGGUUUGCCGAAUGGGCUUGGUGGCUUGUGUUCGGGGAGUGGCUUCUCUCCCUUGGCAGGUUCAGUUGGUGGCUGGUGCUCCGUAGGUGGUUUCUUCACCGCCGGCUUCUCUCCCUGGAGAAGGUUACGAGUUUUGUCAGAUGGCUUCUGUUCUGGUGGCGGCUUCUCUCCCUGGGGUGGUUUGCCAAAUGGGCUUGGUGGCUUGUGUUCGGGAACUGGCUUCUCUCCCUUGGCAGGUUCAGUUAGUGGCUGGUGUUCCGUAGGUGGUUUCUUCACCGGCGGCUUGUGCUCCGGAAGCGGCUUCUCUACCUGGAGAAGCUUACGAGUUUUGUCAGAUGGCUUGUGUUGUGGUGGUGGCUUCUCUCCCUGGGGUGGUUUGCCAAAUGGACUUGGUGGCUUGUGUUCGGGGAGUGGCUUCUCUCCAUUGGGAGGUUUAGUUGGUGGUUGGUGUUCCGUAGGUGGUUUCUGAAGUGGGGGAUGCUUGGGGUAGUCAGCAAGAGACGAGGUAGUGAGAACCACCAGUCCCAGCAGCAAUACUAGCAAGGAUGUGGAAGACAUCUUUGAGUUCAGGCUGAGAUUUGUGCAAGGCUAGAAGAAUUAGGUGGCCUUUUAUAGCGGGCUGGACCCAACAACCAAAUGACACGUAUCAUGAUACACAUAUGUGUUAUAAGAUCCUUGUGGGUCCUACAGAAGUUGAAAACUUUGACAAUUGAGGUGUGAUUACAACUUUUGUCCCUAUUGCUUUCUCGUCAGCCGUUUUGCAAGAUUUUUGACAGGAGGACGGUAGUUUAAAAUAAUAAUUUCUAAAGUACUUUUGUGAAAAAAAAUAAUUCCAAACGUGGAUUUUAUCAAGUAAAAAAAACAAAAAAAAGUUAUUUUCUUUUAAAAUCUUUUCUUCAUGAUUCAUAUACCAAAAAAAGAAUUGUUUUCUGUAGGUAAAAUUUUUAAAAUUCAUUUUUAAAAAAAAAAAAUUACACACUAAAAUUAUCUCUUCAAGAAAAUAUUUUUUAAAUUUUAAAUAAUUAUUAAUUUAUAAUUAAUUUUUUAUUAAUUAUUUAUUAAAUUUAUAUGUGAAAAAUGCAUUUAUAAAAAACAAAUUUUUUAUUAAUUUAUUAAAUAAUUAUUUACAAAAUAAAUAAUUUUGCUUUAUUUUAAUUUUAAAAUUAAUUUUAUUAUAUAAAUUUUAAAAUUAAAAAUAUUAAUAUUUAAUUUAAAAUUUAACUAUAAAAGGAAUAAAAUAUAGAAAAAUAAAUUAAUUUAUUAUUCAAUAAAUUAAUUUUCAAUAAAAUUUUCAGCAUUAAGAGAUAAAUUUUUAAGUAUUAAUCAAUUUAAAAAAUAAUAAUAAUCAUUUGUAUACUAAGAUAUUUUAUUUAGUAAUUAUGAAUGAUAAACAACUAAAGUAAUUUGAAAAAAUAAUAAAAUAUUUAAAAAUAAUAAUUUAAUACACUUAAAAUUAGAAAUGAUUAACUAUUUUUUAUUAAGAAAAAAUUGAAGAAAUAUUUUGUUAUUUAAAAUUUUUUAUUUGUUUUCAAUUUUAAAUGUUAUAGGUUUCAAGAAAAUUGAUCAAAUAAAAAUUAAGAAGUCAUUUUUUCAAAAACUAUAUAUCUAAAUAAAAGCCUUGAAAUUCAAAUACACAAUAUCAUAAAUAUAAACACCAAGUCAAUCCUUAAUUAUCAAAUGUUUUUAAUAUUAAAGAAUCAAAAUCACCUACUAUCAUGAUAAUAAGAAAACCAAUAAUAUUGUUCAUAUAAAUACUAAAAAGCUAACAAAUAUCCCAAACAAUUAAUAAAGUAUCAAACAUGAUAAAAAGUCAAUUAUUAUCAUGAAUGCAAAAAAUCAAUAAUUUUGUUUAUAUGAACCAUCAACAAAGAAAAAAAAAAUCAAUAUCUAAAUAUUAAACAUAAUUUAUAUUUUUAUAAAUAUUAUUGUUGAUAAAUAUCUUAAUAAUUAUAAUUUUUUAUAUAUUAAAUUUAGUAAAUAAAAUUAAUUAAUUUUAUAAUAUAAGAUAUAUAUAAUAAUUAAGAGACUAUUUGUCCCAAACAAUUUAUUUAUUUUUUUUUUAGGAAAUUGUCUCUUCAAGAGACGACUUCUCCCAACAUUUUUAAAAAAAAAAAAAAAAACAUCUAUUCAAAAGACGAUUUCUCCUCAUUUUUUAAAAAUGAAUUUUAGAAAUCAUAUUUUCAAAAAUGAAUUUUAGAAAUCAUAUUUUCAAAAGACGAUUUUUUUUUAUAUAAAUUAUUUUUUAAAAUGACGAUUUUAAAAGGAAAUAACGAUCUCUCUCCUACUUGGCAAAAACUAUGGUAAAUUUGGAAUUAUUUCUUCCACAACCAUAGUUUAAGAAUUAUUUUUUUAUACUUUCGUAGACUUAUCAAAAAUCCCUAUUUUGCAUGUCUCAUUUGGCAUGACUUUCUUACCUAAACAAGCAUAUAUAUAUAUAUAUAUAUAUAUAUCACUUUUGUCUGGGUUGAGUCAAUGCCCUUAACUAAUUUGUUCAUUUGAAUAGUCUAAAUUAUUAUAAGCUUUUAGUUAAGAAAAAUGUGAAACAUAAAUUACACCUCUCGGCACAACUUCGACACUGGUUACUCUGUUUCAGUUUAUUCACACAAGAUUAUUGGUUCUAGGGUUUAUUUGGUUUUGGUUUGAUUCUAAUUGCUAAACUUUCUCAAGGAAGAUGUUAUAUAGGGAGUGAGAAACCUUCACUCCUGGCUACCUCCAAGAGAAGAGCAAGUGGUCUGAAUCAAAGAUAUACUGCUCACUUUUUCUUCUUCUAAGGACAGCUAUGACCUUGCUUUAAAAUGUUCGAAUAGCCUAAUGCAACCUCCCAUUUCUCAAGUCAGCUGAUGAUGUAAGUCACCUUGGCUUUCCACAUUCAUACGGUGAGGACGUUUGUGGGUGUAAUUCUCUUAACAGUUUUCAUUUUAUAUGGAAAAAUUCAUAAUUAAGGGUAAUUACUGAUUCCAUUUGACAGUGACCAAGUUUAAAAUAUUAACUCAUGUAUUAAAUGCACAUUAAAAAAUCAUGGAAUAAAUAUAUUUACUAAUAUAUAGUUCUUUUGUCAUGUUCUGUCACAGAAGCAUCGAACUUUCCCUAGAAAUUUUUGCAUGGUAUUCUGCUUAUGAUUUUGAAAACUCUAGGCACCUAAGGCCACUGAUUGCAUGGUUGGAUGAGGAGCUGCAUGAGAUUAUGUAUCCUGUUGCUCCUUAACUACAAAUAUCAGUUUUAAGUAGCAUCUCCAUGUGACAUUUUCCUGAUGCAAUUUCGCUGUCCACCAACAAAUGUCUCCAUGCAGCUAGAUGAAUUGUAAUUUCUUUGUUGUUAUCAACAGCUUUAAUUAAUCUUGAUAUAUAUAUAACUUAGUAGAAGUAAUUAAUCUAGAUUGUAGUUGCACUAAGAUAAUAGGCAAUAUUAUAACAGUGCCACAAUGCUCAUCGCCAAAUAGAAAGGUAGAAAAACUACAAUGAGUAACUCACACAACAUUCUCAAACAGGACAUAGCGGCGACUGAUACAUAGAACACUAUUGGCACUCAGGAAAUGAUAAGAUCAGUGCCCAGCAGGCAGCACGUCUUAUUUUACAUACUACUUAAAACUAACCAAAGUCAUUCAGUUGGGAUGGGUGGGAGAUGGUGGUUUGUGCGGUGGCUUCUUUCCUGGAACUGGUGGUUUUUUUGUUGGAGUUGAAGGAGGCUUAAUCGUCUGAGGUGGCUUGUAUGAGUCUUCAGCACUCUCUGCAAGAGGGUGCCCAGGGUUGUGACCAUAAUGAGGUGGCUUCUCUCCCUUAGGUGGUUUGCCAAGUGGGCUGGCUGGCUUGUGCUCCGGGAGCGGCUUCUCUCCCUUAGGUGGUUUGCCAAAUGGGCUUGCUGGCUUGUGCUCUGGGAGCGGCUUCUCUCCCCCAAGAAGUUUGCGGGUUUUGUCAGAUGGCUUGUGUUCUGGUGGUGGCUUCUCUCCUUGGGGUGGUUUGCCAAAUGGACUUGGUGGCUUGUGUUCGGGGAGUGGCUCCUCUCCCUUGGGAGGUUUAGUUGGUGGCUGGUGUUCCGUAGGUGGUUUCUCAACCGGGGGCUGGUGCUCCGUAGGUGGUUUAUGAACUGGGGGAUGCUUGGGGUAGUCAGCAAGAGACGGGGUGGUGAGAACCACCAGUCCCAGCAGCAACACUAGCAAGUAUGUGGAUGACAUCUUUGAGUUCAGGCUGAGAUUUGUGCAAGACUAGAAGAAUUAGGUGGCCUUUUAUAGCUGGCUGCACCCAACACUCACAUGACACGUAUCACGGUGACACAUGUGCUAUGGGAUCCAUUUGGGUCCUACAGAAGUUGAAAACUUUUGACUAUUGAGGUGUGAUCACAACUUUUGUCCCUAUUGCUUUCUCCGCAACCGUUUUACAUGUUUCCUUUGUGGUGUUUAAUAGUGUUUUUUUCCUUAAUUCUAAAUAAACCUUAAUACUUAAUAAUGUUAAAUAUUAGGUUAUUUAUUUUUAUAAUAUUUUAUUUAUAUUAAGUAUUAAAAAGUAAAGAAAAAUCAAUAUAUUUAUUUUUCUAUUUAGAAAAAACUAUAUAUUUUUAAUUUUUUUAUUUAAUAAAAAAUUUAUAAUAAAUCAUGAAAAAAUAGAAAAACAAACAACCUAAAUUUUAAAAAUAAAUUGUUUUUAGUAAAAACCCAAAAAAACAAACACCACCUUAACUAAACAAAUAUAUAUUAUAUUUAGUUAAGAAAGAGUAAAGUGUAUAUGGCUCAAAUCAAGGAAGAGAAACAGAAUAAGUGGAAGACAAUCAAUUGUGAUAAACAGAUAUAUUACAUGCAUGUAGUACUAGUGACUUUAUCAUUUACUUUUAUACAAUAGAUCAUCACACUCUUUCUUCUAAAUAUUUUGGAGGAUAAUGGUACAUGUUGCUUGUUGCCAAGUCAAAAUUGGUGGCAAAAAUCGGCAUGAUACGAAAGGAUUGGUGAAAAGAUUCACAUAGAUGGUGCUUUGUGCAAUGCAGUCUUGCUCUAAUUCAACAGAGUGGACCAUGGUGAUGUAUUUUAAAUUUUAAAUUUUAAAUUAAUGCAUGCUUCAAAGUUUUAACUAGAUGUCACUUCCAUGGAUUUUUGUUCAUUUAAUUGAGAACAGGAUAGGCUAUCAAACUUGAAGUAAUAUAAAAAUCCCUUCAUUACUGUAACUAAUGAAAGAUCAUUAUCUGCGCUUGGUAUUUUGCCAAGGUAUUUGCUGCUCUUUCUAGCCCUAUCUUACAGUUAAGGACAAUGUGAUCUAGUUAACCUUAGAAGCUAUUCCAUGUCAUAUACAAGAGAUCAAGCACAUUAUCUUUGGGCUCAGUUCAAAACUAUAAUAUAUGGGUGGGGUGGGGGCCUAUACCAUUUGCAUAUCACCACUAUUGGUUUAGUUUGGAAGGUUUCUUCUGGAAGAUUGCUUUCUGGAAACAUUUCAAAGAAAUAUAUCUUUUUGUUCUCUUGGUGACGAGCAGCGGCAAUCAAGUCUGUUGACAAACAACCGAGUUGAAAAGUUUGAAAAUUGGUCACAGCCCACGUCCAUGGUUAAGGAAAAGGUCACUGGAAGUGAUCCCUUCUGGGCCUGUUGGAAGCAGGGGAGGUUAACACACCAAGCAACAAAGAACAGAGAUAUGCUGCUACUGAUCUAUAUUUUUUAUUUGAUCAUAAGGCUAAAUUUAUACAGAUUGUGUAACAGAUAUGACCUCAAAAAAAAGCAUCAAAUCAAGCUACUUGUUGAACAAACAACUACCUUCUACAAAAUAACAUCAAAAUUUAACUUAAAAGCAAAAACAUAAAAAUAGCAACAGCAAAAAUAGAAACAUAAAAAUAGCUUCAGCAUUCUAGUAAUCUCGUUGACUUCAAUUGCAUGUGGUUGACGAUUUCAGCCUUUUCCUCAGCAGCUACUAAGGCAUAACUCUCAACACUCCUCCUUGACUUAGGAGGUGCAAACUCCAAGUCUUUCUCAUAGAAACUCAAAUCUUAUUUUAGGAAGAGCUUUAGUCAGAAUAUCUACAUUUUGACUGUCUGUAUUGCAGUAGACUAGUUGUAUAUCUCCUUCUUUCUGUACUUCCCUCAAAAAUUACAAUUUAAUCUUGAAGUGCUUUGUUUUACCAUGAAAAACUGGAUCAUUUGCAAUAGAUAUAGUGGCCUGGUUGUCUACAAACACCUUUGUACUCACUUCUUGCUUCAUAUCCAAAUCUGUCAGCAACUUUCCAAGCCAUAAGGCUUGAUUUACAGCUGUAACAGCAGCAAUAUACUCUGCCUCAGCUGUGGAUUGAGCCACGACUUCUUGCUUCCUUGAACUCCAUGAAAAAACACCAGAACCAAAACUAAAACAAUAGCCUGAAGUACUUCUCAUAUCGUCAACACAACCAGCCCAAUCACUAUCAGAAAAUCCAUGAAAAUUGAAACUUUGAACUUGACUGAACUUAAUGCCAUAAUCCACAGUGCCUUUAACAUUUCUUAUCACACGCUUUGCUGCCUGGAAAUGAAUUUCACUAGCACAAUGCAUGUAUCUCGAAAGUAGACUUACAGCAUGCAUUAUAUCGAGUCUUGUUGCAGUCAAGUACAUUAAGCAUCCAAUCAUGCUUCGAUAAAGUCCUUCAUCUACCUUUUUAGCACCGUCCUCCUUACAGAACUUCUCUUUCUGGUUCAUAGGGGUAGAUGUAGGUUUGCAUUCCUCCAUUUUGAAUUUCUUCAUAAUUUCUUUGGCAUAUUUUUGUUGGCAGAUGAAAAUCUCAUUCUGCUUCUGGUGUACUUCCAUUCCCAAGAAGUAAGACAUCUCAUCUAGGUCUGUCAUCUCAAAAACCUGCUCCAUUUCAGCCUUGAAUUUGUUCACAAACCCUGCAUUACUUCCUGUUACAAGCAAAUCAUCAACAUAUAGAGAAACAAUUAAUAUAUCUUCUUCAAUCUUCUUAAUGUAGAGUGUAAAUUCACUCAAGCUCUUGUGAAAGCCUAAAGUUAGCAGGUGAGUGUCAAUCCUGCUGUACCAAGCUCUAGGGGCUUGUCUUAACCCAUACAAGGCCUUCUUAAGAAGGUAUACUUUUUCUUCUUUUCCUUUGAUAGCAAAACCUUCUGGUUGUUCGACAAAAAUCUCUUCCUCUAAGUAGCCAUUCAAAAAUGCUGACUUCACAUCUAGUUGAUAAAUCUUCCAUUUUCUUUGAGCUACAAGAGCCAACAACAUCCUGAUUGUAUCCAAACGAGCUACUGGUGCAAAGGUUUCCGAAAAGUCAACACCAAACAUUUGUGCAUACCCUUUGACAACCAGCCUUGCUUUAUGUUUGUUUAUAGAACCAUCAGAGUUGAGUUUGGUUCUGUAAACCCACUUAACCCCAAUAGGUUUUUUGUGUGAAGGUCUAUCUACUAGCUCCCAAGUGUUGUUCUUGUCAAUCAUAUCUAGCUCCUCCUGCAUUGCAACCCUCCAUCUUUUAUUUUCAGCAGCUUCAACAAACCCUGCAAGUUCAAGAACAGCUAUAUUACACCUUUGAUAAAUAUCAAAAAGUGUCAUGAAACCUCUAACUGGAAGUUCAUCAACAUCUUCAUCAAUAUAUUGCUGAUUCUGCUCAUCCCAACUCCAUUUCUCCGUUUCCAAAAACUUAACAUCUCUACUUACCACAAUUUUACUAUUUUGUGGCAAGUAGAUUCUGUAAGCUUUUGAGGUGCUGUUGUAUCCAAUGAAAAUUCCUGGUUCUGACUUUUUAUCUAGCUUGUCUCUUUUCACCUGAGGAACAUAAGAGAAACACAAGCAACCAAAGGUCUUUAAAUUCAUUAGCAUAGGCUUAUAAGCAAACCAGGCCUCAAAAGGUGUCUGUUUCUGCAAUGCUUUUGUUGGUAGUCUAUUUAGCAAAAAUACUACUGUAUUUGCAGCUUCAACCCAAAAACUUUUUGGCAGCUCUUUCUCAUGCAAAAGACAUCUUGUCAUUGAUUACUACUCAAAAAGUGCUAUUUGAUAGCCUUUAAUUAAUCCUUUUUAACACUUUUGAGUAGUAGUUUAGGCCUUUUAACUCAAUUGGCAUGUUAAGGAUCCUUUAAAGCAAUUUUGAUCACUUUGUGCAAGUUUUGGUGUUUUUGUUAGUAUUUCGAUCACCAAAGCAAGUCAAGAAUGAGGAGAGCUAUGAGGAAUCUUGGGCAAAGCUUAGAAUUCAAUUGCCAAGAGUGAAUCCGGAUUGCAAGGAGAAAAAGCAAAGAGGAUCAGUCAUGGAGCAUAUUCUUGAUGACAGUCGUAGCAGCCACUUUUGGAUCACUUUCUGAAGUCCAAAUGAUGCAAGCUAUAUACCAUUUCAAAGCUCAGGAAGUCAACAAUCCAAUGCUUCAAACGGUGUGCGAUUCGGAAUUGAAACGAAGAAGUUGCAGCCAUUACAAGCCAGACACUCUAAAGUGUUGCGGAAUCAGCCAUGUGUUGCGAGAAUUUCGCAGCACUUUUGUACAGUAAGGUGUUUCUCCUUCUAACGAUGCACGAACCAUGCCGCGAGAAGGGAGCUGGAAACUUCAAGAUGGAAGCCAACUUUGCAGCCUAGUGAAGAUAGCUCGGUCUUGCAAGAUAAUUUCGCAGCCCUCUUGGGUGUCUGCGAAAUUUCGCAGGCCUCAUUUUUCACCUGCGAAAUGGCUCUUGAAGCCUCCCGAAGCUUGCUACCGACAUUGGGAGAUAUUUUCCAUUAGAUUUUUGUUGUCUAAAUCCCAAAAUACUCCUUGUAAACCACCAAUUACAUGAUUCCUUAGUUUUUAAGUUAGUAAAAAGACCAAAUAUCUUUGUAACAAUUAGUUUUAUAUUUUGUUGUUAUAAAUACCUCUCGGGAGCCUGUUCUCAGGGAGGAGUUCCUUCUGUAAACGUUUGGUAAGCAAGUAAAGUCUAUUUUCUUUCUACUGCCUUACCUUCUCACUUUGUAUUUUCAUUUUAUUUCUAAGUUAUGAAUUCUCUGAGGAGUUUUCCCCAAAGAAUGAGUAACUAAACCUCCAAUUCCUUGGAGCUAAGGUUGCCGGGGAAGGUUCCAAGUGCAAGAAUGCAAAGCUCUGUGGUUUUAGCUAGUAAUGAAGAGGAAGUGAAAUCCUUUAGUGAUUUCAAUGUUUUUAGUUAACUUAAAACACUUUGGAGUCACCUGGGCCAACACUUGGUAAGGCAAGUGAUUUCCAACCAUGGAAAUGCACUAGUUUACCCCUUGCGAGCCUCUGGUAGGUGACUUCAAGGUAGGAUUUUCUGGAAUUACCAACACUUGGUAAGCUUUUGGACUCCUAGGAGACAUCCAUUAGUUAUCUCUUGCGAGUUUGUGAAGGGAAUCCAAGGUUAAAGAUCACCUUGAAUGGUAAGUGCUCGUGAGAGGCAUGAACCAUUGCAAGUUGUAUCAGUGAGAGAAUUAAAGUGAAAUCUAAUUGAAGGAGUCUUUGUACAUCACCGGUUAGAGAAUUGACUAUAAGUUGAAUCUCUAAUGCGAGGAAAUGAACCAACUGACCAGAGCCGUGUCUUUUGCAUGAGGAACCACCCCAGUGAACCUAAAUCUCCAAGGAAUGUUUUUUUCUUCCUAAAUUAUUCCAAACUUCUGUUAAGUUAGUUAGUUUAAAUCUCAACCUUUACAAAUCAAAGUUUGUGUUUUAUUCCUUAAGCUAACCGUGAAAUGAAACAAGACCAAUUCACUUGGAAUUGGUAUCAUUGAUUGCCUGCAAAUCAUUCCCAGUGAACGAUCCUAGAGCCACUAUACUAUAGUAGCUUUGUAUUUGCUACCCUAGUGUAUGGUGUUAUAGGUAUAAAUUUUGUUGAUCACUUCCUCAAUCAAGGAGCACCAGCUGAACACAAAUCAGCUGAGACACCAAUUAGGCAUGAGUCAAAUGGCGCCGUUGCCGGGGAAUGAAUGUCAAGUUCAUUGUGAUACCAUUGUUGAGCACUUGUGAUUUUCAUCACAAGUUGGUAAAGUUUCUUUCACUUUACUAAUUUUCAUUCUUUCUUUGUUUAUUUACAAUCUAAGUUUAUCUUUUUAAAUUUUAGUCUAGUUUAAUUUUGUUGUUGUAGCCCUGUUUUUCUUGUUGUCCUCUGUUUUCAUUUUUUUUUUCAGGUAGAUACUAGUUGUGUAUGCCCAAGUGGAUACGAGACAUAGGAGGUAGGCUUGUUAAGUGUGAUACACCUCAGAAAGGAGAAUUUGAAGUAAUCUUGAAUAUCAUGGAGGCUGCACCUGAAGAUCAGCAUAGUCACCAAGGUCGUCAAGACAAUCUCAAUGAAUUCAGAUCAAUGAGGGACCGUAUGCAUCCACCUCGUAUGAGUACACCAUCAUGUAUAGUGCCCCCUACAGAGCAGCUAGUGAUCAGACCAUAUCUUGUUCCACUUCUACCAACUUUCCAUGGGAUGGAAAGUGAGAAUCCGUAUGCACACAUCAAGGAAUUUGAAGAUGUUUGUAAUACAUUCCAAGAAGGAGGAGCUUCAAUUGACUUGAUGAGGCUUAAGUUAUUUCCUUUUACUUUAAAGGAUAAGGCCAAAAUUUGGCUUAAUUCUUUAAGGCCAAGGAGUAUCCGCUCUUGGACUGAUUUACAAGCUGAGUUCCUUAAGAAAUUUUUUCCUACUCAUAGAACAAAUGGCUUGAAAAGGCAAAUUUCAAACUUCUCAGCUAAAGAGAAUGAGAAAUUCUAUGAGUGUUGGGAAAGAUACAUGGAAGCUAUAAAUGCUUGUCCUCACCAUGGCUUUGAUACUUGGCUAUUGGUGAGCUAUUUUUAUGAUGGUAUGUCCUCCUCAAUGAAGCAACUCCUCGAGACAAUGUGUGGAGGAGAUUUCAUGAGCAAAAAUCCAGAGGAAGCUAUGGAUUUCUUGAGCUAUGUAGCUGAUGUUUCAAGGGGAUGGGAUGAACCAACUAAAGGAGAAGUGGGAAAGAUGAAGUCUCAGUUGAAUGCUUACAAUGCAAAGGCUGGGAUGUAUAAUUUGAAAGAAGAUGAUGACAUGAAAGCAAAGUUGGCAGCUAUGACAAGAAGAUUGGAGGAGCUGGAGCUGAAAAGAAUGCAUGAAGUGCAAGCUGUUGCUGAAGCACCAGUGCAAGUGAAGCUGUGUCCCAAUUGUCAAUCAUUUGAACAUUUGGUGGAGGAGUGCCCUGCAAUUUCAGUUGAAAGGGAAAUGUAUAGAGAUCAAGCAAAUGUUGUUGGACAAUUUAGGCCCAAUAACAAUGCUCCUUAUGGAAAUACCUACAAUUCAAGUUGGAGGAAUCAUCCAAAUUUCUCAUAGAAGGCCAGAGCAACUCAAUACCAACAGCCGGAUCCACCAUCUCAGCAAUCUUCAAGUAUUGAACAAAUAAUAGCCAAUCUCAGCAAGGUAGUGGGAGAUUUUGUGGGAAAGCAAGAAGCCACCAAUGCUCGAGUUGAUCAAAGAAUGGAUAGAAUGGAGAGUGUGUUGAACAAAAGAAUGGAUGGAAUGCAAAAUGAUAUGAACCAAAAGUUUGAUAACAUCCAAUAUUCAAUUUCAAGGCUUACAAAUUUGAAUACACUGCAAGAAAAAGGAAGAUUUCCUUCUCAACCUAACCAAAAUCCCAAAGGUGUCCAUGAAGUGGAAAGCCAUGAGGGAGAAUCAUCACAGGUGAAAGAUGUGAAAGCUUUGAUCACUCUAAGGAGUGGUAAGAAAAUUGAGCAGCCAACACCCAUGCCACAUGUUGAGAAAGAAGAAGGGAUAAAGAAAGGAAAGGAAAUAGAAGAUAAAGACAGUGAGAUCAGUGAAGAAAAGAAGGACUCUGAUUCAACAAUCAAAGCAAUUCCAGAGAAAGAGCUUCUGAAGGAAGAAAUGCUGAAGAAAUCAACUUUUCCACCUUUUCCUCAAGCAUUACAGGGGAAAAAGGGGGUUAGAAAUGCAGCUGAAAUCCUUGAAGUCUUAAGACAAGUAAAAGUUAAUAUUCCACUGCUGGAUAUGAUCAAACAAGUUCCAACGUAUGCAAAAUUCCUAAAGGACUUGUGUACUAUCAAAAGAGGGGUUGACUGUAAACAAGAAAGCCUUCUUGACUGAGCAAGUAAGUGCAAUCUUACAAUGCAAGUCUCCUUUGAAGUACAAAGACCCUGGAAGUCCUACCAUUUCAGUCAUGAUUGGAGGAAAGGUAGUGGAGAAAGCCUUGCUAGACUUGGGAGCAAGUGUGAAUUUGCUUCCAUACUCUGUCUACAAGCAACUGGGACUUGGAGAGUUGAAGCCAACAGCAAUCACUUUAUCUUUGGCAGAUAGAUCAGUGAAAAUUCCAAGAGGAGUAAUUGAGGAUGUAUUGGUUCAAGUGGAUAAUUUCUACUAUCCAGUAGAUUUUGUUGUUCUUGAUACUGAUCCAACUGUAAAGGAAGCUAAUUUAGUUCCUAUCAUCCUUGGAAGGCCAUUUCUUGCAACUUCAAAUGCAAUCAUCAACUGUAGAAAUGGGCUUAUGCAACUCACUUUUGGUAACAUGACACUGGAUCUCAAUAUUUUCUAUAUGUCUAAAAAGCAAAUCACUCCUGAGGAAGAAGAAGGUCCAGAAGAGCUAUGUAUUAUUGAUACUUUGGUGGAGGAGCACUGCAAUCAGCAUAUGCAAGAUAAGUUGAAUGAAAGUCUUGUGGAUAUUGAGGAAGGUUUUUCUGAAUCUCCUAUUGGGCUUGCUACUCUACAAAGUUGGAGAAAGAUAGAAGGAAUUCUACCUUUGUUCAAUGAAAAAGAGGAGGCAACUGUUGAAGAAGAAAUUCCAAAACUCAAUUUGAAGCCUUUACCUGUGGAGCUGAAAUAUACAUAUCUUGAAGCAAAUAAUCAAUGUCCUGUUGUGAUAUCCUCAUCUCUGACCAGUCAUCAAGAGAAUUGUUUAAUGGAAGUUCUCAUGAGGUGUAAGAAGGCAAUAGGAUGGCAAAUAUCUGACUUGAAAGGCAUUAGUCCUUUAGUUUGUACUCAUCAUAUAUAUAUGGAGGAGGAAGCAAAGCCAAUUCGUCAAUUUCAAAGAAGGUUGAAUCCUCAUCUACAAGAGGUGGUGCGAGCUGAGGUGCUGAAGCUACUUCAAGCAGGAAUCAUUUACCCUAUUUCUGAUAGCCCUUGGGUGAGUCCUACUCAAGUGGUACCAAAGAAGUCAGGGAUCACAGUGAUUCAAAAUGAAAAAGGGGAAGAAAUUACUACACGCCUCACUUCAGGUUGGAGGGUGUGUAUUGAUUAUAGAAAGCUGAAUGCUGUCACCAGGAAGGAUCAUUUUCCAUUGCCAUUUAUUGAUCAAGUGCUGGAGAGAGUCUCUGGACAUCCAUUUUAUUGUUUCUUGGAUGGGUAUUCAGGCUAUUUUCAAAUUGAAAUUGAUUUGGCAGAUCAGGAAAAGACCACUUUUACAUGUCCAUUUGGAACAUUUGCUUAUAGAAGAAUGCCUUUUGGUUUAUGCAAUGCACCUGCUACAUUUCAAAGAUGUAUGUUGAGUAUUUUCAGUGAUAUGGUGGAGAGAAUUAUGGAGGUUUUCAUGGAUGACAUCACCGUAUAUGGAGGUACAUUUGAGGAGUGCUUGGUUAAUUUGGAAGCAGUUCUUCAUAGAUGCAUUGAAAAAGAUUUGGUGCUGAACUGGGAGAAAUGCCAUUUUAUGGUACGUCAAGGAAUUGUCCUUGGCCAUAUCAUCUCUGAAAGAGGCAUUGAAGUUGAUAAAGCAAAGGUGGAGCUUAUUGCCAAAUUACCAUCUCCAACAACUGUGAAAGGAGUAAGACAGUUCCUUGGCCAUGCAGGGUUCUAUAGGAGGUUUAUAAAAGGUUUUUCAAGUCUUUCAAAACCUCUUUGUGAGCUGUUAGCUAAGGAUGCUAAGUUUAUAUGGGAUGAAAGGUGUCAGCAUAGCUUUGAUCAACUGAAGAAGUUUUUAACAACAACUCCAAUAGUGAGAGCCCCUAACUGGCAAUUACCUUUUGAACUGAUGUGUGAUGCCAGUGACUUUGCUAUAGGAGCUGUGCUUGGCCAAAGAGAAGAUGGGAAGCCCUAUGUGAUUUACUAUGCAAGUAAAACACUAAAUGAAGCUCAGAGGAACUACACAACUACAGAGAAAGAAUUGUUAGCUGUGGUAUUUGCUUUGGACAAAUUUCGAGCUUAUUUAGUGGGGUCUUUCAUCAUUGUCUUCACUGACCAUUCAGCCUUGAAGUAUUUAUUGACAAAGCAAGAUGCAAAAGCAAGGUUGAUUAGAUGGAUUCUAUUGUUACAAGAGUUCGAUCUUCAAAUCAAAGAUAAGAAAGGAGUGGAGAAUGUAGUAGCUGACCACUUGUCAAGGUUAGUUAUAGCACAUAAUUCCCAUCCCUUGCCUAUCAAUGAUGAUUUUCCUGAAGAAUCACUCAUGUUCCUAGUGAAAACUCCUUGGUAUGCUCAUAUUGCUAAUUAUUUAGUAACUGGGGAAAUUCCAAGUGAGUGGAAUGCACAGGACAGGAAGCACUUCUUUGCCAAAAUUCAUGCUUAUUAUUGGGAAGAGCCCUUUCUCUUUAAGUAUUGUGCAGAUCAGAUUAUUAGGAAGUGUGUCCCUGAAGAUGAGCAGCAAGGGAUUCUAUCUCAGUGUCAUGAGAAUGCAUGUGGAGGCCACUUUGCCUCUCAGAAAACAGCCAUGAAGGUAUUACAAUCAGGGUUUACUUGGCCAUCUCUUUUCAAAGAUGCCCACAUCAUGUGUAGAAAUUGUGAUAGAUGCCAAAGGCUUGGAAAGCUAACAAAAAGAAAUCAAAUGCCUAUGAACCCCAUUCUGAUAGUUGAGAUAUUUGAUGUUUAGGGCAUUGACUUCAUGGGACCUUUCCCAAUGUCUUUUGGUAAUUCUUACAUUUUGGUGGGGGUAAAUUAUGUUUCUAAAUGGGUUGAGGCAAUCCCCUGUAAGCAAAAUGAUCACAGGGUGGUUCUCAAGUUUCUUAAAGAGAACAUUUUCUCAAGAUUUGGGGUGCCCAAGGCCAUAAUCAGUGAUGGAGGAGCUCAUUUUUGCAACAAACCUUUUGAAGCUCUGUUAUCCAAGUAUGGAGUGAAGCAUAAGGUAGCCACACCUUAUCAUCCUCAGACAUCCGGGCAAGUUGAGCUAGCUAACAGGGAAAUAAAGAACAUUUUGAUGAAAGUGGUGAAUUCCAACAGAAAAGAUUGGUCUAUUAGGCUUCAUGAUUCAUUGUGGGCAUAUAGAACAGCUUAUAAAACUAUUCUUGGGAUGUCUCCCUAUCGUCUUGUCUAUGGCAAAGCAUGCCAUCUCCCUGUGGAAGUUGAAUACAAAGCUUGGUGGGCAAUAAAGAAGCUGAAUAUGGACUUGAUCAAGGCCGGAGAAAAGAGAUUUCUAGACCUUAAUGAGAUGGAGGAAUUAAGAAAUAAUGCUUAUAUCAAUUCCAAAGUUGCAAAACAGAGGAUGAAGAAGUGGCAUGAUCAACUCAUCUCCAACAAGGAAUUUCAGGAAGGGCAAAAAGUUUUGAUGUAUGACACAAGACUCCAUAUCUUUCCUGGGAAGCUCAAAUCAAGGUGGAUUGGUCCAUUUGUUAUUCACCGAGUAUAUUCCAAUGGAGUGGUGGACUUAUUGAAUUCCAAUGGCAAGGAUAGCUUUAAAGUCAAUGGAUAUCGUCUCAAGCCGUUCAUGGAGUCAUUCAAAUCAGAAAAGGAGGCAAUCAACCUCCUUGAACCUCAAAAAGCCUAAGUGAAAAGGGUUUGCUGGACGUGGCUUUACCACAGUCCAAAAUUUUUGUAAAUUUUGUAAAUUUUCAAGUUGUUUCUAUACUUUUGAUUUUAGUUUUUGAUCUUAAAUCAUGUUUUUAGGUGUGUUUUAAUCGUUUUAAAUGAUCCCAGGUGGAAGAAAUUUCAAGGGGAUUGAAAGAAAAAAAAUCGGGUCGAAAUUGGAGCCGAAACAGAGCAAAAACAGGGGAAAAACAGAGCUCUGCGAAAUUUCGCAGGGUGAAGGAAACCUCUGCGAAAUGAGCAUUUUGUUGCGAAACCAUUCCGCAGCACUGUAGAAGCCUCUGCGAGUGUAUUUCGCAGCUGCGAAAGUGAAUUUGGCACACGAGUGCCACUUCGCAGUACAGUAGCAUCCAUUUGGCAGCUGCGAAACUCAUUGCGAAAUGGAAAAGCGUGAUUUCGCACCAAAAGUCCCAUUCCGCAGGGUAUUUCGCAAUUGCGAAAGUGGUUUUGGCACACGAGUGCCACUCCGCAGCACAGUAACAUCAAUUUCGCAGCUGCGAAACUCACUGCGAAGUUGCUGCGAAAAUGGCAAGUUGCUGCGAAAUUGGCGUUUAGUUGCGAAACUUAAACUGACCCCUGAGCUUCCGUUUUUCCUAUUUAUACCGGUCAAAAGUGCUGCGAAAAGGGUUUCAAAAAUCAGAGCACCAUUCUCGCAGCCCCUUCAUCUUCUUCGCCAAGCCACGCCGUCCGAACCUCCGGUCGUCUUCUCCGUUUAGCAGCGCCGGCCAAAGAUCGAUAUUCCAAAAUGGCACGAACGCGAGGGGCAAAAUCUUCAUCCCCUUCGAAUCGCAAAAGGAGUCUGCGAAAGGAGCCAAGUCCAGGUUCUGCUCCAGAACCUGCUCCAAAGCCUUCGCCGUCGAGACCACAACCUUCUCCAGUGAAGCCGGCGCCACUAAAGCCGCCGGCAAGACGAUAUUUGACAAGGUCAGGCGGUUGGCCAUUGAAGAAGAAGCCCAGGGUUGAGAGCUCUGAACCAAUUGAUUUGACUGAGCAAUCCCCUGAGCAGUCCCCAAAUCCUUCACCAGUUCAAACUCCAGUGCCGUCACCGGUUCCCUCGCCAAUUCCCUCACCUGAAGCAACUCCAAUUCCAUCGUCGGUACCAUCUCCGGCACCCCAAGAAAAAGCUCAGGAGCCUCAAGCGCCAAUUCCAGAGCCCCAAAUUGCAGCUGAAGCACCUCUGGAAGAAGUGAUCCGAAGGCCAAUGCUGCCCCAGCCCCCAAUCGAAGGAAACUUGGAUUGUCGAACACGGGCAUUCCAUUCUGAGCUUUGCUUCGAUUUAACAGCAUUCAGAGUGAGGCCAGAGCUUGCCCAAUCCUUCCAGCUGCUGAGGAGAUAUCAUAUGGAGCAUCUGCUAGCUCCAAGGGAUUUUUUCUAUCCCCGGGUAGUCACGGACUUCUACCAGACCAUGACAACCAAAGAAGUAAGAAAUCCAACUCUGAUCCAUUUCAUAAUUGAUGGAAGGCAUGGUAUUUUGGGAGCAAGACACAUUGCUGAAGCUCUGCAAAUUCCUUUUGAGCCAACCCAAUUCGACAAUUUUAAAGCUUGGGUAAAUCCUACUGAGUUAGAGAUGGUUCGCACACUAACCAGAGGAGCUGCAAAUCGAUCACACCUGUUGAGGGGGGAGCUACCUCCAGUGAUGUUUUUGAUUGAUGCCUUUUUGAGGCAUAAUAUCUAUCCCCUGCAGCAUUGGACCCAAAGAAGGGGAAUUCUCCUGGAAGCUUUGUACAAGAUGUCAGAAGGAUUCUUCUUUGGGCCCCAUCAUCUUAUCAUGGCAGCCCUUCUAUACUUUGAGGAAAAGGUUCACAAGAAGAAACUUCAAAGAGCAGAUUGCAUUCCACUCCUCUUCCCAAGGCUGCUAUGCCAAGUUUUGGAGCAUCUCGGAUACCCCUCUGAGCCUCAGCAGGAAAGAAAGAGAAUAUGCCGUGAGCCAUUUACUCUUGAUAAAUGGAAUAAUAUGACGGCCUACAAAAUUGAUCAGCCUGGGCAGCCUCAGCCAGCAGCAAGGAGAGCCUCCCCAAGACAUGCACCUGAAGGUAUAACACUUGCUACUCCUGCCAUCCCUCGAGCUUCACCAGCUGCACCUGCUGCAUCACAGCCAUCCACAUCAGCUGAGCCGAGGAUGGCCAUCCCUAUAUCCGAAUAUCGAGAGCUGUGCCGAGCAUUGGAGACUCUUACAGCUUCCCAGAGCAAUCUUGCUCAAGAGUUGGCAGCCAUCAAAGCAUGCCAGGAGCAGAUGUUAGCCUCUCAGGCUCAACAAGCUGCCAUCCUAAGGCAGCUUCAAGUCCAUUUCGAUCUGCCACAAGCUGUAGAGCCCUCCACUGAGACUCCACCAGAGCCACACUCUCAGCCUUCAGAGUCUCUUCCUCCAGAGCCAGAAGCCCCAACUGAUCCACCUACAGAGGAGGCGGAUCCUUCUGCUUAGCACCAUCACCCCACUCAUCAGACAUUAUAUAUAUUUGCUGUUUAUGUUUUUAUGCAUGUUUGUUUUGUUUUAGUUGAAAUGAAAUCCCAGUAUUUUGGUACUAUAUAUGGGAUUCCUUGUGAUUACUUGUCCUUAGCAUUGUACUCGAAUGAAUUGAAAGUAAUACAAGUUGAAUUUUUCUUGUUAAAAGUUAGCAUUAAAAUUCUCCUUAUUUCCUUUUCUCACAUAUUCUAUUCUUUUUGAAACAUGUGGUUUUCCCCAAUCAAUAUUCGAAUUUGAUAUCAGCAUGGAGGUACCACUUCCUCCCUUUUAUUACAGUCACUCAAAUCACAUUGAGGACAAUGCUCAGUUCGGUUGGGGGGUAUGAGGAAGGAAGUAUUCUAAAUCUUUUUGGUAUUGCAAUUAUAUUGGUUAAUUAGUUGUAGAUUUUACGUUUUACUCUUGUUACUCUAUUCUCCAUGAAUUUUGAGGAAAAAUUUUCAAAUUAAACCAAGAGAAAUUGAACUGUUGUUUUUCACUUGACUUAGAGUAUGGAUUAUGCUUACUAAAGUGGUUCAAUUGUUGAAACUUCUACUGAAAUUGAAUUGAGUUCUUCCAUUUUAAGCUAUCCACACACUGUGCACAUUAGUUUCUGAUUAUAAGAUGAAAAGCUAUUUCCCUCUUGACUUAGGAUAAUUUUGGGACUUGGUAUAUUUGACCUCAUUUGAUAAAAAUUGAAACACCCUGCAAAAGGCCAAUGAGCCUUUGAAAUAAAGAAAGAUGUUUGCUUGCCUUGAAACCCGAGCAAGGUCUGAGGGGCAUAUGGUGAAAGCCUUUAAAGCCUGGUGCCCUAAGCCUUAAUUGGUUGGGAGUCACCGACCUCAAUGCUCGUUACAAGGGUGAAUAGGUAGAGCUAGCAUAUGGUAGAUGCUUGGGUAUUAGAAAUUCAUUCUUAAAAGUCCAGGGAAAAAUCCGAGGAGUUAGUGGUUGAAAGAUCCUUAAAACUUGGUGCCCUAAACCUUAAUUGGUUGGGAGUCAUCGAUGGACCCCCAUUACAUGGACAAGUCAGAAAGAGUACCCCAUAAAGCUACUUUAAAAAAAAAAAAAAAAAAAAAAAAAAGAUGAUGAAAGUGUGUUCUUUUCUUAUUGAUUUUGGUCAGAUUGCUAAAGUGUUGAAAAGAGAUAGGUUGGGGGGGGAGACUAGUUUAGCAUAUUAUUCUCGGAAUCUAAGGAACCAAUACACAUAGAUUUUUGUGGAAGAUUGAAGUUUAGUUCUUAGAAAGUGAAAUGAUUUUAAAACUUCAGUUUGCAUAAUGCACUCCCUUGAUUGACAGUGUUUAGCAUAGGUGUUAUGACUCUUGUUGAGAUUUGGGUUUGUAUUUCUUUAAUGAUUCAUGUGAGAAGUAAAUCAUCAUGCCACUUAAGAAUUAUUUUCCUUUCAGCAUGAUGUUGUAAAUUUUAGAUUAGUUUGCUAUUUAUUUUUAUUUUUCUCUCCUUUAUUGCUAAGGGACUAGCAAUAUGUCGGUUGGGGGGAGUGAUUACUACUCAAAAAGUGCUAUUUGAUAGCCUUUAAUUAAUCCUUUUUAACACUUUUGAGUAGUAGUUUAGGCCUUUUAACUCAAUUGGCAUGUUAAGGAUCCUUUAAAGCAAUUUUGAUCACUUUGUGCAAGUUUUGGUGUUUUUGUUAGUAUUUCGAUCACCAAAGCAAGUCAAGAAUGAGGAGAGCUAUGAGGAAUCUUGGGCAAAGCUUAGAAUUCAAUUGCCAAGAGUGAAUCCGGAUUGCAAGGAGAAAAAGCAAAGAGGAUCAGUCAUGGAGCAUAUUCUUGAUGACAGUCGUAGCAGCCACUUUUGGAGCACUUUCUGAAGUCCAAAUGAUGCAAGCUAUAUACCAUUUCAAAGCUCAGGAAGUCAACAAUCCAAUGCUUCAAACGGUGUGCGAUUCGGAAUUGAAACGAAGAAGUUGCAGCCAUUACAAGCCAGACACUCUAAAGUGUUGCGGAAUCAGCCAUGUGUUGCGAGAAUUUCGCAGCACUUUUGUACAGUAAGGUGUUUCUCCUUCUAACGAUGCACGAACCAUGCCGCGAGAAGGGAGCUGGAAACUUCAAGAUGGAAGCCAACUUGGCAGCCUAGUGAAGAUAGCUCGGUCUUGCAAGAUAAUUUCGCAGCCCUCUUGGGUGUCUGCGAAAUUUCGCAGGCCUCAUUUUUCACCUGCGAAAUGGCUCCUGAAGCCUCCCGAAGCUUGCUACCGACAUUGGGAGAUAUUUUCCAUUAGAUUUUUGUUGUCUAAAUCCCAAAAUACUCCUUGUAAACCACCAAUUACAUGAUUCCUUAGUUUUUAAGUUAGUAAAAAGACCAAAUAUCUUUGUAACAAUUAGUUUUAUAUUUUGUUGUUAUAAAUACCUCUCGGGAGCCUGUUCUCAGGGAGGAGUUCCUUCUGUAAACGUUUGGUAAGCAAGUAAAGUCUAUUUUCUUUCUACUGCCUUACCUUCUCACUUUGUAUUUUCAUUUUAUUUCUAAGUUAUGAAUUCUCUGAGGAGUUUUCCCCAAAGAAUGAGUAACUAAACCUCCAAUUCCUUGGAGCUAAGGUUGCCGGGGAAGGUUCCAAGUGCAAGAAUGCAAAGCUCUGUGGUUUUAGCUAGUAAUGAAGAGGAAGUGAAAUCCUUUAGUGAUUUCAAUGUUUUUAGUUAACUUAAAACACUUUGGAGUCACCUGGGCCAACACUUGGUAAGGCAAGUGAUUUCCAACCAUGGAAAUGCACUAGUUUACCCCUUGCGAGCCUCUGGUAGGUGACUUCAAGGUAGGAUUUUCUGGAAUUACCAACACUUGGUAAGCUUUUGGACUCCUAGGAGACAUCCAUUAGUUAUCUCUUGCGAGUUUGUGAAGGGAAUCCAAGGUUAAAGAUCACCUUGAAUGGUAAGUGCUCGUGAGAGGCAUGAACCAUUGCAAGUUGUAUCAGUGAGAGAAUUAAAGUGAAAUCUAAUUGAAGGAGUCUUUGUACAUCACCGGUUAGAGAAUUGACUAUAAGUUGAAUCUCUAAUGCGAGGAAAUGAACCAACUGACCAGAGCCGUGUCUUUUGCAUGAGGAACCACCCCAGUGAACCUAAAUCUCCAAGGAAUGUUUUUUUCUUCCUAAAUUAUUCCAAACUUCUGUUAAGUUAGUUAGUUUAAAUCUCAACCUUUACAAAUCAAAGUUUGUGUUUUAUUCCUUAAGCUAACCGUGAAAUGAAACAAGACCAAUUCACUUGGAAUUGGUAUCAUUGAUUGCCUGCAAAUCAUUCCCAAUGAACGAUCCUAGAGCCACUAUACUAUAGUAGCUUUGUAUUUACUACCCUAGUGUAUGGUGUUAUAGGUAUAAAUUUUGUUGAUCACUUCCUCAAUCAAGGAGCACCAGCUGAACACAAAUCAGCUGAGACACCAAUUAGGCAUGAGUCAGUCAUCUCCAUUAUUGUUUUAUUUUUUCUUUCCACCACCCCAUUUUGUUGUGGGGUGUAUGGUGCAAUGAGCUGGUGAUCUAUGCCUGCAUCUUCACAAAAUUUGUUGAAUUUUUCUGAAGUAUAUUCUGUACCAUUAUUCGACCUUAUAACCUUGAUUCUGUAUUCACUUUGAUUUUCAACCAUGGCCUUAUAUCUCAAAAACACAUCAGCAACCUCAGCUUUGUAAGUGAGAAAAUAAAUCCAACAAAAUCUUGUGAAGUCAUCAAUAAAUGCAAUAUAGUACUUACUCCCUUUCAAAGAUGGUGUCUUUUGAGGUCCACUCACAUCUGUGUGAACCAAUUGUAGUUUCUGUGUUGAUUUCCAUGCUGCUUUUUGAGGAAAAGGAAGUCUUGUUUGCUUCCCAUAUUGAUAGGCUGCACAUAUAGGAAGUUCUUCUUCCAAAUCAGGGAGUCCUUCUACAAUCUAAUUCUUCUUCAUGUAGAGCACGGUAUUGUGGUGGAAAUGCCCUAAUCUUUUAUGCCAAAGCAUUGUAUUGUUCUCGUGUUGUGCAGCAGUAAUUUGCUCAUCUUCUAACAUAUUUAAGGCAAAACUUUUGCCUUUCAUUUUUAUGUUGAACACCUCUUUGCCUUCAGCAUCCUUGAUUAUGCAAUUUUUGUCUUCAAAACAAACUUUAAACCCUUUCUCAACAAGCUGUCCAACACUUAGCAAAUUUUGGUCAAUGUCAGGCACAAACAAAACAUCAGAAAUGAGCUUUAAACCUGUUAGGCUUUCAAUAGCUAAUGUUCUUUUACCUUUUACUGGAAUAUACUCACCAUUUCCUAUUCUAACUUUGGAAAUAGUUGUCCUAUCAAUCUCCCUAAAGCGAUCUUGAUCAUGUCAUGUGGUUUGUGCAACCACUGUCCACGAGCCAGCUUUCAGAGGUGCUACCGUUUGCAAAACAUGUUGCUGAAAAUAGUUGUUCCUCCUGGUAUUGUUCAGCUGCUACAUUGGUUUCUCCCUGCUGCUGCUGAGUUCUACAGAUCCUUUCUAUGUGUCCAUGUCUACCACAUUUGUUGCAUUUCACAUCUGGUCUCCACCAACAUUUUUGUUGAGGAUGAUUUGUUUUCUUGCAAUGAGGACAGGGUGGAUAGGUUCCAGUUUUUUUAUUGUUGUUGUUGCUUGGCUUAUUGUUGUUCUUUUUGUUCUUCCUCCUUCUUGUGUUACCUUCAUUGGUCUGUGUCUUUGCUUGAAAAGCUCCUUCUACAGAACUUCCUUGCCUCAUGAGUCUUCUUUGUUCCAAAGCUUGUAAAGCAUUUAGUAGUUCUGCCAAGGUGAUACUUGACAAAUCUUUUGUGUUUUCCAAAGAAGAAAUUGUAGCUUCAUAUUUUUCAGGAAUUGUGACAAAAUUGUUUUGAACAACUCUUUCAUCAGAAAACUCUUUACCUAGCAACCUCACCUUGUUUGCUAUGGUAAGAAGUUGUUCUGCAUAAUCUUUUAUGGUUUGAGACUCUUUCAUCCUCACCAUUUCAAAUUCUCGAAUUAGAUUCAUUACCUGCACAUUUCUGACUCUUUCAUUGCCUUGAUAUUCUUCCCGUAGAUGCUUCCAGAUUUCUGCAACAGAUUCAAGUUGCAUGAUUCUGGUGAGAAUUAAUGGUGAGACUACAGAAAAUAAGCAAGCCUUGGCCUUAGCCUUCCUCGUCUUUUUCUCCUUAUGGUUUUUCAUCUGUGACACAGUUGGAUUGGCUCCAAGUGGAGAAAUUUCAUAAUCUUCCUCUAUUGCUUCCCAGACAUCAAGAGCCUGUAGAUGAACAGUCAUCCUGACAGCCUAAGUUUGGUAAUUUUCUCCAUUGAAGACUAGUGGUGCUGCUGUGAAGCUUGCUUCUUCCAUUUCUGCAAGGUUUUCAGAUUCAGGUUUGGUAUACGGUGUUUAGGCUCACACACCUCACUGGUCCCUCAAGACAAAAAUUGCUCUGAUACCAAACUGUUGGAAGCAGGCGAGGUUAACACACCAAGCAACAGAGAACAGAGAUAUGCUGCUACUGAUCUAUAUUUUUUAUUUGAUCAUAAGGCUGAAUUUAUACAGAUUGUGUAACAUAUAUGACCUCAAAAAAAGCAUCAAAUCAAGCUACUUGUUGAACAAAAAACUACCUCCUACAAAAUAGCAUCAGAAUUUAACUUAAAAGCAAAAACAUAAUAAUAGCAACAGCAAAAACAGAAACAUAAAAAUAGCUUCAACAUUCUAGUAAUCUCAUUGACUUCAAUUGCAUGUGGUUGACGAUUUCAGCCUUUUCCUCAGCAGCUACUAAGGCAUAACUCUCAACAGGGCCUCUUAAUUUCCAUUCUGGCAUCUAUAUGACCUGAUAAAUAGAAAGAAAAAAAAACAGAAGAAAAGCGGCACCUGGGUUCAUAGUAAGCAUCAAGACAGGAUGCUGAAAGAAGGGAGAGAGGAGAUUGCAAGUCCAAUCCUGAUAAAAUAUCAACAAAGAGUAUUAAAUGGGGCCAACAUAAAGACCCAUUAAGGUCAGCAGAUGGCAUGGCAUUUUUCUCCUUAAGUUUUCCAUGAUUAGGCUUGAAGUCAAAAUUUCACAUGUAAAUUUGUAUUUCUACAUUUCCCACUGACGACACCCAACUUCAACUUGAGUUAGAAUAACAUUGUGUGAACUUAUCUGGCCCUCAAAAUUUACUGUGAAGUGCUUUCUGCGUGUGAAGAUUCAGAAAAGCACCAAGGGAACAUGUAUGGUCUGCCUUUUUCUGAUGUUAUGUUUGUCUCUAAUUCUGUUCCAUGUCAUGGUAAAUGUUCACAUUGCUUGUAUGGAACACACCAGGAUCACUUUUUCAGGUUUAGGGGGAUACAAAAGGCUUCAUAUUGGGUUCAAUGCUUUUAAUGUGUUCAUUGGACAAAUCUGAAUUAUCAUACGCAUUUAGAUAAGAACAAUAAUGUGAAACCCUAGUUACACCUCCCCUGCAUAACCCCAACCCUGCUUGCUCUAUUUCAGUUUACUCACAAGUUUUACUGGUUCUUAUAAGUCAAGAAAAGGCAACUGAUGUUGGAUCGACUCUCUUCCAUGUAAAAAAUGCAACUUUUAUACAUAUAAAAGAACUUCUUCCCCUCACCAAUGUGGGAUUUCAUAGAUUUAUUCUGGAAACACAUCAAAGGAACAUCUUUUCUCUUGGGUGACCCUAAGUGGUGAGUCAGAUCAUUUGCAUGCCAUUGAGUUGCACAGUUGGAUAAAUGCACCUGCCUCCUGGGCUCCAGAGUUAAAAGGGUGGAUCCCUGGAUUGCAACCCUCUUGGCAUCUUGGUUUCUAUUCCAACAUCCACAUGACUUGACAAAACAAAAAACAGAAUAAAAUCAGCACUAUAUUCAUGCUAAGCACCAAUACAUGAUGGAAAUCAUUGCUUAAAGAUUUGGGGUCGUUUUAGGUUUUGACUGCCUCCUACCACCUCACCUAAUGACAAGUUUUUAUGCUUACAAAUCAAAUAUCGUUCUUCAUUAUAUUAAAAUCAUUUUAAGAUUUCAGAUCCAUCUGCUAAUUAUGAUUAUGAUAACAUUUAUUCACCUGUGCUUCUCAUUUUCGACACACAAGGCAUCUAGGUUUGCAGGAUUUCCUUAUUAGAUGAGAUAAAUGAGUACGUAUGGUUAUGUAUCCAGCAUUCAUUAACCAUGGUAUGUGACAUUUAGAAUUAAGAUAGCAAGCAAACUUUCCCUGCAGCUAGAGUAAAUUGUGAUUUCUUAGCCUCUAUGAGUGGUUCCCAAAUCAAAUUAACAUAGUGAAAUAUACGUAGUCCAGUGAAAGGAAAUGUAAAUUAUAAACUAACAGCACUACACUACUGGUAACAAUCGAUACUCUCUAUAUAAUGCAAUAAACAAUGUCACAAUUGCCUACAAGCAAGGCACAAACACUAGAACAAGUAAAGCACAAACCUUUCCCAACAGUUCCCAGUGACUGAUGCAUAUCAUACCCUCAACUCACAGAAGGGGAUGAUAUCAGUGCACUGCAGCACUUAUUUUACACAUACUACCACUACUACUACUACUACUACUACUCAUUAGCCAAAGUCACUCAGUUGGGAUGAGUGUGAGGUAGAGGUUUGUGGGGUGCUAUGUGGAAAGGAGUUUGGCUUCUUCUCAGGAGAUGGUAGCUUCUUUGCAGGAGUUGAAGGAGGCUUAAUCUUCUGUGGUGGAUUGAUUGUAUGAGUCUUUGGCACUCUCUUCUCUAGUACAGGUGAAUACCCAGGGGUGCAUCCAUAAUGCGGUGGCUUCUAUCCCUUAGGUGGUUUGCCAAAUUCAAAAUCGAAGGAUUUUUUUUUUUUAAGUAUACGUAUCUUUGAAAGCUUUUAUUUUGUAUGGCAAAUGGAAUGAGAGGAGCAGUCAUAUUCUAUUUGGCCAGAGCAACAUAUCACAAAUGAACAAGCUAUUUACUGCCACACUGGGCAAAACAUACAUAAUCCUUGUACUUCAAACAUCCAUGAAUUCUCAUCAUUUUCAGGACACGUUGCAUGGUCUAUCAUUCUAUAUGUCGGCAUAGUAAGUGCAGCUAAUAAGCCUAUUCAGAGCUGAAAUUCAAAAUCUAUUCACAGGAUAAUGACCUUAUUAUUGGAUUUUGCUCACUGUCAUACACACAUAUCAGAUAAAGCCCCACAUGCUCAUAAGCUACAAGCAACCUACAAGCACUAAAAUGAGUGUUAGACGUAUGAAACAUUCCCCAAUACUAGUAGUAUUACCUGUUCCAUAGAACACUAAAUUAGAAGAGAGAAGAUGUGAGACUCCAGCUUUUCUUUCUACAUAUUACUCAUAUCAAGUUGGAAUAGUUAGGCGGUAGAGGCUUGGGGUGGCUUGUGUAGGGGACUAGGCAGCUUCUCUCAGGAGUUGAUUUCGUCUUAUUCUGGAUGUCCAGGUUUCGUCCUUUCGAAUUUCCCAUGCAAAUCAGCAUUCUCCUUGGGAAACUUCACUCCGUUGGGAAACUUGUGUGAAUCUUUGGCAUUCUCUACCAGAGAAGGCCCAGGGCAGUGACCAUAAGGUGGUGGCCUUUUUUCAGGUGGUGGCUCCUCUCCCACUGGAGGCUUGUGGUAAUCAGCAAGAGAGGCAGUGGAGAGAAUCAUCACCCCAAGGAACAGCACUAGCAAGUAUUUGUGAGCCAUAUUUGGGAUCUGAUGAUGAAGACUAGAAGAUAGGAGUUGCCUCAUAUAAUGGGUUGGAGACUAUAUCUCAAGGGGACGUGUAUUUAUGCAUAUGAUCUAUAUAGGACCAUCCUCCUAAUAUUUUCAAAAUAAUGUUAUUGUCUCUCUUGGGUGACAGUUUGAUUUGGUCUAUUUCCAUGCCACUGAGUAGAAAAGUUUGACAAUUGGCUACACCACCUACCUGGAUUACAUGGUUGAAAGUGAAGAUCAGUACAGUGUGAUCACACUUGACCUCUUGUUCCCCAUUCCAGUAUCUAAUUAACCUGACAAAAGUAAAAGGAAAGGAAAAAGGGAAAAAAUAGAAUAAUGUUCAAAUAAAAACGAGAAAAAAUAGCAUAAUGUUGAUGAAUCAUGAUAAGCAUCAAGGCAUGAUAGUGAGAGAGAGGAAAGAAGACAGUGUAAUUUGCAAUCCUGAUAAUCAUUAUAUAGCAGUAACUUUAAUCAUUUUUCUAUCACAGGGAACAUGACACUCAUCUUCCUAUGGAGAUAUUGCAUAAGUUUUUUUCUUUGUAUGUCAACACUAACCAAUGAAGCAUGUUAGCUGGUUUGAAACUGAAACUGUAGCCCUCUGUUUGGUUCUUGAAAAACUUGAGAGAAAAUGGAAGUAAAGUUAAAAGGAAAGAAAAAGUGAAAAAAAAUAAAAAUAGAUUGAAAGUUAACAAAUUAUUUUUACAUGUUCCCUCAAAUUUCUUUCACUUAUUUUUCCUUUUCUAUAUAAAGAUUAAAUGAUUUAAAAAUCAUAAAUUUCUAACUAAUUAUAACUAUAUUUGAUUUUCUUUCAUAUUUUCCAAGAUAAAGUCAGACAUGAGAAAAUCAUUUUCCUUAAAAAAGAAAUUCUUUCCUUUACAGUUUCUUAGAACCAAACCUGGCACAAAAGUCCAAAUUGGGGUUUCUCCAUGUUCCAUUUUUUAUGGCUACCUUUAUGGACCAUAUAAUAUAGAAUGUACUUCUGCAUACCUUCAAGAUCAAGCUGAACUAUAAGAAAAAGACAAGCCAUGGCCCACGGAGCAGGGAUACCAAGCUGCCUUCUCCUAGAUUAAGUUCCAAGAUUUCAGUCUUCAAACCUGCUAAAAGCUAAAGGCAUGUUUCCAGCCUGCGGCAGAUAACAUGCACUGUCCAACAAUAAAUUGCAAACACAUUCGAUGCAGUUUAUUAGUACAAUAAGAUUAAAUCCACCAAAUCUUUUACAGUUCAACCAACACUUGAACUAGUAGCUAGCUUCACUACUGGGUAAUAAUAUAUAAACCAAACUCUUGAUAGGAACCAACCUAUCGCAGAUCGAACUUCUUACAUCCACCAUGAAUUACUGAACCAAAAGAAGAAUCGAAGAGACUGCCAAGGAGGAAAGCCUUCCUAUAACUAGAUAUUUAUAUUCCAAAUUAGGGAGAGCACCCACUGCCCAGGCCUCGCCCAGCAUAAACAGAUAGUAUACAUAUACAUGCAAAAAGCUCCAACCUUCAAGAUUUUAACUAUUAACUUAACACAAUUAAAAAUGUAUCCAAAAAGCAAAUCCCCUUGAACUCCUGAAGCAAUUACUCCAACCAAAUAAAGAUUUUAAGAGUUCCAUGUUCAUAUCCUGCAAGGAAAUCAUUCAAUGUUCAGACCUCUAAUUUCUGUCUUUCUAAAUGCCCAGCCAAAAGGCAUAAAGUAUCAUCCAAAUUGGAUGCACAGCAUAUGUUCUUAAAUCAUGGGAUUUCACCAUAAGUUACUACACUCUAACAGGGCCCAGAAAUUGACCUCCAGAUAUGCCUAUCAAAAAAUUAUCCCCACAUACAUUUUUCUGCUGAAAAGACAAUAUUGUUACAUUUGACAUUCAACCACUACUUGAACUCAACAACCAGGGAAAAGAAUAUAGUAUUUCUACCAAUGAGGAUGAGAGGGGCUGGUGAAUUAACAGGUAAAAGUUUGUUUUGGGUUCAUUGUUUGCAUAAUAAUGUAAAAAUGGAGUAGUAUAUUAUAAAUUAAUGUAAAAAUGGAUUAGCAUAACAUAAAUUGCCAUAAGAGAACCACAAACUACAAAGAAACUUAUUUUCCAAACAAGGAAAAUUAUUCAUAGCCAUUAUUACAUAAGAAAGGAAAUUGAUAAAAUUAUUAUCCAGUUCCCCAUCAGGAAAUAUGAAAGUACUCCUAAAAGCCUCAAUUCUAACCAGAAAACCAUAGAAAUGUAUUAGAAAUAUUGUACAGGGUUCUCUCCAAUAUUAGCUUCAGUUGCUAAGGAGAUCAGAACCUUGAAAGUAAGUCACAAAGGUCGUGUGGGUUUCCCAGAGUCUUCAACAACCAGUAUUCACAUAUGUACACAUUAAAAUUAAAUAAAGCAGGUAUCAAUUCCACAGGCUUUAAGAUUUGAAUUGCUUCUCCCUGGAAUCAUACACCACUCAUAUUGUCACUGACUUUCAAUUACUUCUCCCUGCGAUCAUAUGCCACUCAUAUUGUCACUGCCUUAGGGAACAAAGUGAAAAUCUGCAAUUUCAAUUAAUUCCAACAUAAAAAUAAAAAUCAAUCCUCAAAAAAUGGAUUGCCAGGAGGUAAAUAUAAUAGAAGACGAACAACUCUCACAACCAAGUUAAAGAAACCAGCCGCUAGGUACCUUUGAGUUCUAUACUACCAGGAACAAAUUGGAUGAGAUUAUUUAAAGGCUAUUCCACAGUGGAAAUUCAUUCGUUCAAAAAACAUUUGUCAUGCAUAUAGGCAAUCUAUCCUAUGCAUUCAUACAUCAUGGUCUCAUGCAAUCUUAAUAAAAGUGGUCCUGGAAAAAGAGAGAAAAAAGUAAUUACAAGCCUGUGCGACCAGAUUUCUUUUGUUUUUUUUUUUUUUUUCCUUUGCCAAACAACCAUGUUCAUAGUUUCAGAAGUUCAUUCUGUCUUUAAGAGACCAUGGCAGUGACUUGGCCAUUCAGCUAAGANNNNNNNNNNNNNNNNNNNNNNNNNNNNNNNNNNNNNNNNNNNNNNNNNNNNNNNNNNNNNNNNNNNNNNNNNNNNNNNNNNNNNNNNNNNNNNNNNNNNUCACCAAGGACUCCUCAACCUCAAAAUAAUAGAGAAAGUCUAGGACACCAUGUCACUACUGAGGACAACCCAACACCACAACAUUUCAGUCCGUUCAAAAAGAGUAAUUGGAAUUGUUGCAAAAAAUGUUCAACUAGUCCCAACAGGAGGCAAAUUCCUCCAUUUCUUCAUCGGGUCCGGAUCCUUUGCUCAAAAAGGUAAUUUUCUUACUGCCCUAAAAGAAAAAGGGAAAAUGUGAGUCAUUGGAUUGUUGACUCAGGAGCUUUUGAUCACAUGACUAGAGUGCCACAAUUUUUCAAAAUUAUACACCUUGUUUUGGGGAUGAUACAAUUCGUAUGGCUGAUGGUUCUCUCUCAAAGGUGACUGGUACAAGUUUUAUUGUCAUCUCUAAGGACCUAACUCUUGACUCUAUUCUUUUGGUUCCAAACUUGGAUUGCAAUCUAUUGUCCAUUAGUAAACUCACUUAUGAAAAGAACUAUGUUACUAAAUUUUUCCCAAACCAUUGUGUUUUUUAGAAUUUGAAUUCGGGGAAGACGAUUGGCAAUGUUGAAGUGUGUUUAGGACUCUAUGCCUUCAAAGUGAAUUAUUAUAUUGAAAGACAAUCUUAACCAACAGUUGGUGAAAAAUGGUGUCUUUUUGUCUUUAGUUCUAAUAAAGAUAGUGAUGUUAUGUUAUAGCACUAUUGUCUAGGACAUCCUAGUUUCUUAUAUCUCAAAAAACUCUUUCCAUGGUUUUCAGUGUGAAAUUUGUCAACUAUCCAAGCAUCUUUGCAAGCCCUAUCCAUAGUUUUAAAAGACUUAAGGCACACCAAGACGCAAAGUCCUCUUGGAGCCUUAGGCGCAAGGCACACCUAAGGCGCGAACUUUAGUAAAGUGAGGUGCAUCCUGUUUUACAUAUAUAUUUUUAUAUAAUACAAUCAAGUGCCCGAAAAUUUUCCUCUAAUUUUCCCCUUCUUCUUCAUCCUCUUCUCUUCUUCACAUUGUUCGGGAGGCUAGGACAUUUUUUUUUUUUUACAUGUCUAAAACAAGCAUAUAUUGGGUUUUGGAAGAAGAACAAGCCAAAAUGACAUCGUUUUGGAGCCUAAUCUUUUAAAUAAAUAAAUAAAUAAAUAAAAACCAGCCAAAAAUGACACCGUUUUGGCCCCUGUUCUUUUAAAAGAACAAACCAAACAACGUCAUUUUGAUCUCAGGAAAUUAAAAAAACAAAACCCUCGUCAUUCUCCCUUUGCUACUCUACAACUCAUCGUCAAAGGGUAAAAAGAUGACCAAAAGAAGAAGAAGAAAAAAAAAAAACGACGACAGAGGAUAGAGGUGCACCUGUUGAGGGCGUUGCGCCUAGCCAAGAGGCGAGCGCCUUGCACACUUAAUCAACGCCUCUGUGAAGGGGCGGCUCCUGCAAUCAGGCGAAGCGCUGAAGGGUGAUGUCACAUCGUCUAGAGCCUAGGCGCACCUUUCACAACUAUGACCCUAUCCAACUCAACCAUACAAACCAUCUCAUCUUUUUUCCAUACAUAGUGAUGUUUGGAGGUCAUCUAAAAUAAAGAACAUAACAGGGACUAGAUGGUUGAUGAUCAUACUAGAAUUUCUUAGAUAUUUCUAAUGAAAAAAAAAUCAAAAAUUAGUCAAAUUUUCUAAAAGUGGACCAGAAUUUCUUUAUUGAAUUAAAAAGUUGAAAUUAAUAUUUUGGAAAAGUUAGGGCCGCUCAAGAGGUAGAAAUAGCGCUCGAGUGGUAGAAAUAGCGCUCGAGUGGUAGAAAUAGCCCUCAAGUGGUAGAAAUAGCGCUCAAGCGCUAGGACCGCUCAAGCACUUAACUAGCGCUUGAGCGCUCAUAUAGAAUCUGCCAGAAUAUGGAAGAAUAUUUUUUGGAUAAUCAUGAAAAUUGGAUUUGGAAACUUUAGAAUAUCAAUCUCCUUCGGCCUAGAGGUUUAUAUAAACCCUAUUAUAACCCUUUAGGGUUAAGAAAUUCACCAAGUGGUUUACCCUAACUUGUCAUACCAUUCCCGAUCUCUCAUCAAGGAAUCAAAGUGUUUAAUCUUGGGUUGUUUGAAGACCUGCAUCCCUUCAACAAGGCUAAGGUGUAUUCACUAGAACAAUUGAAAUUGUUGCAUUGCGGACAUGAAUCAAGUUGCAGGUUCUAGAGAGUAAGUCUUUAGAAUAAAGCAGACAAAGAGUUCUAUGUGACUUUAUCUCAUAUAGUGGAUUUAGCUUUGAGGUCUUAGACCUCGUGGGUUUUUAUCUCCAUAGUUAGUGUGGGGGUUUUCCACAUAAAAAUUAUUGUGUCUCUUGAUCUUAUGUUUGAUUUUAGAUAUUCUAUUUAUCCCUGAUAUCUCACAGGUUAACUUUAGGUUAAAAAUUCAACUCCCUAUUUAAUAAUUUUUAAAAUACACCCAUUCACGAGUGUUAUCCUACUGGACAUUGGUUUUUCACCAUAUAUAACACUCAUACCAAAACCCAUGCAACAUGGACUCCAACCUUAAGCUUAACUUUCUACGAAUGGAAAAAAAAAAAGACAUAACAUAAAUAGACAGAUUUAACAACAUGCUCCUAAUCAAGGUGAAUGUCCCUCUUUUUGAAAGAUAUGACCUUUUCCAUACGAGGAGCUUUCUUUAAAAUUUCACCUCUACCAAUUCCCAUGCCUUUACAAAGUUGUGGAAAGCUCCAAAGAGAAGGCCCAGACAUGUAAUGGGUAGAUUCCCUACCUUAGAACCUUACACCAAAGCUAAACCCCUAAUAUUUGUGACUUCUAUAAGAAUCAAUUCAUUUUUUUCCAUAUUUAUUUCUAAAUCAGACAUUGCCUCAAACCACAUGAAGUUAUAACUUGGAUGUUACAGAUGCUCUUAAUUAGUGUCACAAAAAAAUAGGGUAUCAUCAUCAAACAAGAAAUGUGACACUUCCAUCCCCUCCUCCUGUCUUCCUCCCACUUUGAAACUUGAGAUGUAACCCCUUUUAUCUAAUUCUCCUCAAAAUUCAAUUGAAAGCCUUCAUUGCCAAUAUGAAAAUGUAAGGGGAGAGAGGAUCUUUCUACCUCAAAUCCCUUGAGCUCUCAAAGAAACUGAAUAGGACACUAUUUACUAGAAUAGAGAAUUGAGUAGUGGAAAUGAACCAUUUGAUCCACCUCACCCACUUAUGAUCAAAGUCCAUUUUAUCCAACAUCAUUAACAAAAAGUUCCAAUUUACAUGGCCAUCGUCCUUUCCAAUGUCUAACUUGCAAAUUACCCCACUAUUGGGACUCUUUAACCUUGAAUCUAGAGCAUCAUUUAUGAUUAGAACUGCAUCUAGAAAUUGUCUGUCUUCCACAAAAGCAUGCAAAUAAACUAAAACUAUUUUACCCACCACAUUUUUUAGUCUUUUAGCCAAGACUUUUUCCAAUAGCUUGUACAAAAAAACCCCCAACUAAGCUAAUCAAUGUAAAAAAUUUUAGGUUCUCUGCUGCACCUAUAUUAGGGAUCAAGACCAAGAACAUGACAUUUAAAUUUUGCUCAAAGGAACAAUUAUCAAAAAACUCCCCAAGCUCAUUUGCCAAAAUAUUAUAAUAAAUCCAUUUGGCCCCUACAGCUUUAUCCCCACUCAAGCUAGACAAGGCAACAAGAAAUUCCUCAUCAAAGAAAGGUAACUCCAAUUUCCUAGAAUCAGCACAUAGCAUAACUUCAAAGGUCAUCCCAUUAAUGUUGAGUCUCCACUCGCCCAUAUCAGAUAGGAGAUUUUGGAAGGCCCUAAACUCCCCUUCCUUUAUAUUUGCUUCCCAAGCAACCAUUUUGCAUUCACUCAAAUUUUAAACAUGAAGUUUUUUAUUCUUUGGGCAUUGACCAUUUCAUGGAAAAUUUUGGUGUUUUUAUCCACCCCCUCUUUUAACCAAAUUUCUCUUUAUUUUUGCCCCCAUACAUAUAGAUUCUUCUAACAAGGCCCACUUGCUAAACUCAAUCACCACUAACCUUUGGCCUCAACGAUUUCAAGAGAUAAGGUAACUGCUCUCUACUUUGAGUCCCAGAAGUUGAUCCAGUUUAGCACCUCUAGGUUUUUUGUUGAGACAUUCCCAAAACCUUCUUCAUUCCAAGAUUUUAAAUCUCGUUUGACAGCCUUUAGUUUAACUUCCAAAAUAUGACCAUACAAGCCAUCCACAUUAUAACCAUCAACCAACUCCUCACAAAAUCUUUUAAGCCUUUUGUUUUAGGCUACAUAUUUUAAAAUGUAAACUGUGUUUUCCCACUCCUUAUCCUACCUCCAUCUAAAACUAUGGGGUAAUGACCAAAAAUUGGUUUAGGUAAAAUACUCUAGAUUAAAGUAGAAAAACGAUUCUACCAAUCAUCUGACACUAGGAAAUGGCCAAGCUAGCCUUGAAGAAGACAAAAGAUUAUGAACACCACUCCAAGUGAAUAGCCCUCCAACUAGCGAAAGAUCCCAAGGUCAAGUCCUCUAUGUCCUCUGAAAAGAACCUCAUAUCAAACAACAUUCUAAGGCAAUUCCUCCUUUUCAUGGGGAACUUGACCAUAUUAAAAUCCCCUCUGAAGCACUAGAGGUCAUCCCAAAGGCCUCUUAUGGCACCCAACUCUACCCAGAAAUCCACUCUUUCUCCCCUUUAAACCAACCCAUAAACUCUUACGUAUACCUAGACAAAGCUAUCUUCACAAUUCAUAGACAAGCAAUAGAGAAUGCUUCCACCUCCUUACCAAUUAACUCUAAUACCCUACUAUCUUGGAAAACCAAAAUGCCUACUAUCAAGCUUCUAACUUCCAAUACCAUUUCAAAAAUUUUCCUACUCCUAAACUCCUUACCAGUUGAACGAACAUCUAUCGAACCUUGGUUUCUUGUUAACAAACUAGAUCAACCCCUUGAGACCUUAUCAAUGACUUUAUUAUCAUAUACUUUUCCUCAUCAUUUGCUCAUUUGACAUUCCAAGACAGGAUUUUUAGCUUCAUCAUGCAACCUAUGUUGGAUCCUAACUGCUACUCUUGGAGCCCUUUUCCUUUUUGUUGAGCUUUUAUAAUUGACUAAGCAUCCCAACUUGUUGAGGUCCCUCUCAAACCAAGAUAUCGAGGUUAACUUCCUCUUCACCUCCAACGAAAAAACAGAAACCCCUCUCCUUAGCCUGCCACACAAGGGAAAAGAUCUCUUUUUCAAAUCCAUCAACUGGCAUUCUUGAGAAACUAUUGAAAUUUGCCAACUUACAAGAUAUACAAUUGGAGGAGUGCUUCUCUACCAAACAACUACUAAAAUUCACCUCAAAGGUGACCUUUUCCCCUGAUCUCUCCCCGGCCUCCAUACCCACUGACCCUUUCACAAAAUUUUCUAGAAUUUCCACUAUCAAGCCGUUACGGAGAACCAUCCUCAACAAACUCCUUUGACUAAUGUGAAAAACCCCACCCAAGAGCAUCUUCCAGAAGUUAACUUACAAGAUUAACUAUAAUCUUGUGAAGACUCGUUACCUAAUGGGUAAAAAAUUUGAAAUUCUAUUAGUAUAAUUCUUUUUAGGCACAAAAGCUGUGAAAAUAGCAUUGGUGCUCUAAUUAAUAACCCCAUAAUUAUUAAGCAAUAAAACAACUUUUAAUAAAUUCUCUUUCACCACAUCCCACCAAUCCUAAUGCAAAAAAGCUAGGAAAAAGUCAUCAUUGCUCUAAGCAUUUCUCCUCACUAGUUGAAAGACUGCUUUAUGAACUUCCUCUUCGACAAAAGGACAAUCCAACCAAUUAGCACCAUUUUCCAAAAUGAGAGACCAACCCCCACUCUUCUAUCCUCUAAGGAUCUUCAUAUAACCAUUAAUGCCUUUCUAUACCAGCUAGUAUAUAUCGGGUUUUGGGCAAGUCCUAUAAAUUGGUUUGAGUAAGAUUUUUAAUUACCCUGUUCUUUCUUUUUAGUUGAUAAAUAUGCAUAUAUGUAGUAAUUCAUACAUCAGAAAAGAUUUUGCUAAAACAAAAGAAUUGACAUGCAGAUAGUGACUUCUUGAUAAGAGUAAUAGCUUAAGGGAGGAAAAUGAACUCCUCCAGUGGCCCCAAAGUGGUAAGUUCCUUCAGAUCCCAUGUUGCUAUUCUGCAUUUCUUUGUGUUUUGGCAUCAGCCCUCUUAAUUAAUUCACUAUCCAGCUUCUCAAAUUCCUCGGAUUCUUCCCUUGUUCUUGUGGAAACAUCUGCAUCUUGUCCUUGCAUUGUUAUGGAUUGGUGAUUAUCAUUCUUUGAGAACUGUGUGGCAGCUGCUCGUGCACCAGCUAUGGCUGCAAGGAGACCUUCUGGUUUCUUGUCUUCAGCAGCUUUGGAGCCAUCAAAGCAAGAAACAAGUAAUCCUGGUUUCAAAGAGAGGGGAUCUUGUGGUUCUGGAAGCAGAAACUUGACAGGUAGUGGAGCUUGAACAGGACGAAGACCCCUAACUGCUGCCUCAUAUAUCUGCAACAAUUUCAGGGGGGAUAAGUAAUUAAAAAUCAGUCACUCUAUUGCAUUAGUUAGACUUGCUUUCAAUGCGAUAGCAAAGAAAGAAUCAUCAAUGAAAAAAGAAAAAAUAAAUGAAAAAGAACAAAAAGGAGAGGGAAAAAAAAAUGAUGGGUGCUCAAUUUGUACUUUUCUUUCCAGGUUAUAAAUACGUUGGUACCCGCGCAUCUCAAAUGGUAUGAUUAAUUUCUGCAUCAGGUCAGGAGAACUAAGUCCAUCAAUAUACUAAAAAGCAAAUAUACCAAAAGGCAAGCAAAAAUGUUUAACCAUCUUGAGUGUCAAACUCUCCAAGAAACUAUAUACUUUUAGCUGAAUGAAAACACAUGCCUGUGGUUGCUCACAGAGCCAGCAAAACUCUGUUUGCGCUUCUAGCCUUACCUACAAAUAGAGUUUAGGUUAUCCAACCAAAAUGGAGAUACAUCACACAAAACAAACUGUACCUAAUCAGUUUACGAAGGGGACGGGGGGAAGCAAAAAGCAAAAGUAAAUUUCUAAGAUGCCCACCCCUUCAGGUACCUCCUUCCAGCACGCCAGCUCUUCACAUUUAACACAACCAACUACUUCAAUACAACCUGUGGCAAGAAUAGAGUUUGUUGGAUUUAUUGUAGCAUGCCAUACAGAAAAAUUUAGCAUUUCAGUAAGAAUAAGAAUAAGAGAGCUACUUUCCACUAAAAUACGAAUCACCCAUCAACUGUUGCAAACAGACAACAAUGUGAAUAACAGGUUUUAUAUAUAUAUAUAUAGAGAGAGAGAGAGAGAGAGAGAGAGAGAGAGAUAGAUAGAUAUAGAGAGAGAGAGAGAGUCAAAUAAUAAUAAAGGACAAAAAUAUUUCUUUGAGAAAGACUAAUUAGAAAGAAGAAACAAAGAACCCACAUGAAAUCAAUUUAGAUAAGAGAAAUACCUUUAAGAAUCUAGUUCUUUUUGCAAAUUGCAACUUAGAAUUGGAAUGCCACAUAUUAUUAUAAGGUAUCACAAGAGAUUAUUGCUUCAUUUUUUUUCUUUGCCAGAUCAGUUUUAAUAAAUAUAAAUAUAAAAAUAUAAGCAUGUACACACACACACGCAAACACAUUAUGUGUGUAUGUUUAUGGAUAUGUAGAUAUAGGUUUUUAAUAAUAGAGCAUGAAAACAUAUCUAGUCAGAAAUUCCAAAAAUCCAAAACCAUUAGCAACACCUAACAGUCUUGAAACUGGGUAAUGUUCUGGAAACUUGAGGUCUGCUAUCCCAUUCACAGCAUAGAUCUCCCUGUAGAAAUUCUCCAUUGCUUUGAUUGUGUCUGAAUCUGGGACCUUACUAGCAGCAUGAAUCCAGAGUCGGCCUUCAUAAAACAAAACAUGUAUAUUAAGAAAUAUCCUUGUAGAACAGUAACAUUUUUGCCAGCAUGCAAUUCGUGUUAAUAAUCCUUGGUUCUCACCACUCAUUGUACAUUACAAUGUAAAGACCUAAUAAGCCCUAAUAUAGGUAGGUGUCUGUGCAGAGAGAGAGAGAGAGAGAGGGGAGGGGGGUGAAAGGAAAGAUGAUUAUAGAACAAAUACAAGUUGAAUCUCCUGAAAUAAUGUCCAUCAAGUUAUUUCCUAGCAACAAGUACUGAUUAUGCUUUUCCUGAUAACAUGAUUUUCUUUGCUAACAACCAUACUAUAUUUUAUCAAGAAAGAGUAGUGCAUGUGGCGUGCAUCAAGACCCAUUAGAGUUCCGCUAAACCUAUAGUUCUGUCAACGUUAUCAUUUACGUUUCCUCUAGAUAAUGGCAUUUUCCUCUAAAACUCUUGCACCAUUAGGCUUCAAGUCAAAAUUUCACAUGUGAACUUUGGAAAUUUUCUCCAUUUGCCCCUAAGGAUACAGUUAGAAUUGACUUAAAAUCCUGAUUGAUGUAUACUUUUAACCGAAGAAUAUUGUAUAUAAUAAUUGAAAUAUUGUUGAUUCAUCGUGGAAAUACAUUUUGUAAGGAAAGUUGUUAAGAAUUUAGUAUGCUAUAUGGAGAAAAAAGUCAUGACUUAAGGUUGAGUAUGUAUAUUCUAUAUCAAAUAUUAGGUAGGAAUGUGGAAAAGAGCAGAGUGUAAUUAUAAGAAACAAAGAAAUAUAAGAUAUUCUUGAAAGUGGAAAAUGUAAAAUGGCUAAAAGUCAAAUUUAUGAUGCAUAAGGGGGAUCAUGUCACAUAAGAAACUCAUGGCAUACCAAAUACGUGUGGUAUGGAGUAACAAUUUUGUUAAAAUAAGUUUCUCGUUGGAGUACAUUAGGUGACAAUUUUUUAAUAUCAAAUUAAAGAGUCAAGUGCAUCAAUGAAGUCAUAUGUAGAAAAUUUGUUUGUGACAUGUACCAUAAAGAUAAGAUUGACUUGAUAUAAUUUAGUCCAGGUAGGAGUUGUUAAAGGUGUCUCAAAUUUCUAAUUGAUAUAUAUUUUUUUCUAAAAAAAUAUUAUAUAGAUAUUUCAAUAAAUGAUUAAUUCUUUGUAAAAAUACUUACAUAAUAAAAAACAUCAUUAGAAAUAUCUCUAUAAAUAUUUUAAAUCACAAAAAGAAAAAAAAAAUCACUAUGAGAUAAUUAUAAACAUGCAACAUUGUACCAAGUAAACAGAAAUGUGAUAAAAAAAUUUUGAGAAACACUAAAUAAAGGAAGGGCUUGUAUAUCAAGAUGUAAAUAUAGAGAGCAAUAUUUUUAAUCAUAUGAUAGAAUUAUUUUCUCUCAUUCAUGAUUAUAAGCAAAAUUGGGAACCAUUAUAAAAUCUUGUACACCUCGUGUAAAUUGAUGUUUGUCUUCAUAUUUUACACCAACAAAUGACAUUGAAGUUGUCAUUGAUAAAAGGGAAAAGGCAUGGCCUCCACACCAUGUGCUUGAAUCGUAUGGUUCAAGUUUAAAGAAUUUUCUCCAUAAUUUGAAGAUCUAAAACAUUUUCACCUUUAAAUUUCAUUUAAUUAUUAAUAUCUACAAAAAAUAGUUAAAUACUCUUUCUAUUUUUGAGUUGUUGAAUUUUUUGAAAGUUUUUAUAUUUGUUAUCAAGAAUUUAUAUUUUAUUAAGUGUGAAUAUUUAUAAAUAAGAUAUUAUAUAAUAUUUGGAUAAGAGAGAAUGGUGGAAUAUAAUAAAGUUUUAAUCCUUCCCAAUUUUUAUCUUUUUUUUUUUUUUUUUUUAUAAUCGCCUUUCUCUUUCAAUCCUAUUAUCAGGUACCUUAUAUUUGCUGAUGCUAUCUGGAACUAAAUUCCAAUCAGACAUUGUCCAAUUACUAAUAGGACAGAUCAUGUCUCUCUGUUUCUAAACUAACAUGUAUCGUAAUGUGGCCUCAUAAGGAAGGCUAGGAAGAUGGAGGAUUUUGUGGGAAGCGACCAGAAUCAGAUGGAAGAGAGAUAGCCCUGUUGACCUAAUGGCUGUAAUAGGAGAAGCGUGUGGAUUUAUGGGACUUAACUGAUACUAAACCUAUAUGAUGCUUGGAGUGGUGUUUCUUUCAUUUUGUUAAGAAAAUAUGGCAGCAUACAUCCUUUCAAUUGAGUGCAUCAGAGCAUCCAUAAUAGAUGGUCUGCAACCCUAGGUGCAUGCCACUUUCUGACUGAUAAUGAAACUGUCAGGUACUUGGCCUUGACUAAGCUCAACAGCAUCACAUAAAAAGAAGCUUUCAUACUUAGAUUACUGUUUAAAGCUUUUGCUUAUUUGCUUUCUUAAUGCCAUUAUGACAUUAUUGUUUCAAUUCUGCUACCGAUUUUCGAAGUUCUGGGCAUCUACUGAUUGCAUCAUUAUAUGAGAAGUUGCAUGAGUUUAUGUAUCCUGUUAUUGCUCCUUUGCGAUUUCACUGCUCACGGGACUAACCUCUCCAUUCAGUCGAAAUGAAUUGUAAUUUCUUUACUGGUAGCAGUAGUACUUUUCAUAGCAAAGAUAAUAGUAAAUAUGAAAUAUAAAUAGAAGGAAAUCUGAAUUGUAGAUGGCACUAUAAGUAACACUCAAUAUUCACUACAUAAUAAAAUAGACAGUGUUACAAAGGUAGAGAAACCUACAAUGAGUACUCAUCACCAUUCUCAAACAGAAACAUAGCAGCGACUUAUACAUAGAACCUAUAGGCUUGCAGGGAAAGAAGGGAAAGAGUAACAUGAUAAGUUCACAGCGGGUAGCAGCUCUUAUUUUACGUAUUACUCAAAAUCUCAAACUAACCAAAGUCACUCAGUUGGGAUGGGUAGGAGAUGGUGGUUUGUGGGGUGGCUUCUGGGUAGGAGCUGGUGGCUUCUUUGUUGGAGUUGAAGGAGGCGUAAUCUUCUGAGGUGGCUUGUAUGAGUCUUCGGCACUCUCUGCAGGAGGGUGCCCAGGGUUGUGACCGGAAGGAG
rnacentral:lncRNA from 1 species